CCAAUUAGUGUGAAAUCUCUCUCAAAUCACUUCCUCCCAUUCGCGAAGAACCCUAAGUAUCUGAACCAAGAUCCUCCAAAAAUCUCUCAAAUCCUAUCAUCCUGAAAUCCAUUUCUACAAAAUCUCACAUGAAGUCUCUGUAUUCUGAAAAUCCAUUCAAUUCAUUCGGGUAAUUUUUAUCAUGCACCGUGGUAUCCCAAAUCACGUCGUCUAAUUUUUGUGAGCUUCAAAUUCAUCUACCUCAAGAUAGAAAGGUAAUUUUUGUUUAUGUUUGUUGUAAAAUUGUUCCCAUGAUAUGGUAGGACACGAAUUGAUGAUUUUUGAAUGGAAAAUUGGUUUUGUUUAUAACUCAUUUUAUUUUUGGUUUGCAUCUUCGUCUUUCCGAUAAUGGUCAAGAACACUACUUUCUAGUCGUUAAUGGAGGAAAAACAUGUUUAUACCAUUCCUCUCCAUAAUCCAAUUAACACUCAUUUUGGGUAUUCUGCCAAUGUGAAUGUUGGGUAUUUUUUGUUUGGCUCUAAUAAAGAUAGCUCAUUGUUGAAUCCGGUGACUGGAAAAAAGGCCCUGUUGAUGAAACUACUUUGACCGUUGAAGGAUUUGAAUCCUGAUGGAGCUACUUUGCUUGUUGAUGAAAUGAAUAACACUAAAUUAAAAUUUGGAAGUAGGUGUGUUUUAGGUACUGAAUUUCAGAAAAAGCCUCCUAUUUAAACUCUCGAAUGAGAUGAAGGGAUUAAAGAUUGUUAAUUUUGCAGUGUUGCUGAGAAGAGUAAAAAAUUUGGCAGCAAUUCAUCUGUCUGUCACUGCCAAUAACAUAUUCAUGUUUGCAAUCAAUGGAAGGGGGGUAUCCGUUGCCUUUGUCCACCAUUUAUGGUAAUAGGAACUGGGACUGGUUGUGCUUGGAAACAGCUACAAUUUGCUUCAUUAAAAAUACUGGUAAUUUGUUCUAUUUUACUGUAUUAUUUUUUAUUGCAUUCCCAGUUCUAUCAUUAUUUGUUUAUUUAAUUAAUGUUUAAUGACACAUCUUUAUGCUUUUUGUCCUUCAUUUAUCUCAGUUAAGUAUGUUUAUAGAAUUAUUAGUAUGUUUAUAGAUAGUGUGUAGAAUAAUUUAAUUUAUAAUUUGUAAUUAGUUAAAAUUGUAUGUUUUAUUCGAAAGAAUCAUUCUAUUAACUUUUAGGGUCAGUUUGAUUGUAAAGAUGAAAUUUGGAUAGAAAGAAAAUGAAUUUCAGGAAAUUGAAUUGUCUAAAAAUUAUUUUACUGAGAAUUAUCAAUUAUUGUGUUUGAUUGAUAUAAUUUUUUAUGUGAAAAAUGUUAAAAUAAAAGUAUUUUUUGAUGUUCGUUUGACUUUAUUUUACAUAAAAAUUGUCAAUUAAAGGGAUAAAAUUUACUGGUAUUGGGGAUAGAAUUUGUUCCUCUUGCCCAAAGAAAAAAAAAAAGGAGCCAAAAAAAUCAUCUAUCUUUUGGUGUUCAUUUGACUUUGUUUUAUAUGGAAAUUAUCAAUUAAAGAAAAAUAUUUUUUUACAAUUAAUGAUAGAAUUUGUUUUCAAUGCCAAAAAAAUAAAAAAUAAAAAUUGGCAACUUACCUAGAAAACCAAUUCCCACCAUUCCUUGAAAACUAAGAAAAGUCCACUUUUCAAAAAAACCAAGCAAAUGAAUUACAUGGAAAAUAUUUGCUAUCAAACACUAUCAAAAGGUGGAAAAUAGACAAAAUUUUCCAUUUUCCAUGGAAAAGAUGCCCAAUCAAACAGGGCCUUAAUAUAUUUUUCCAACAGAAAUUGUGUAGUUUUAGUUCGAAAAUUUUUAAUAUAGUUUCAGUAUAUUAUUUUCAUAUUACCAAUAGAAUUUUAUCAUUAAAAUUUCUUAAUUUAUUUUUUAGGAUUUUGUUUUUUUUAUAAAUUAAAAAUUUAAAAUAAUCUUUAAUUAAUAGGUAGGAUUGAUUGAAAUUAAAAGUAUGUGAAUUUUUAUUUUUAUUUUUGUUCUUUUUUACAACAAGCAAUAAAUAUAGCAAAUCCUUGUUGCAAAACACACUUUCUCGCAACAUUUAAUGAUUGUUGCAAAAUGUUGUAUCGUAAGAAUUUCAACAAUAUGUACUGAGCAUUGCUAUAGAACAAAAUUUUAAACAGUUCAAUGAACAUUGCAAAAAAAAAAAAAAAAGGAAGAUUAAAACUUUUGCAACAUAAUAAAAAAAAAUUAAAACUUUUGCAACACUCAAAGAACGUUACAAAAAGCUAUAUAUCAAGAGUUUCAAAAACGUUUAUUGAACGUUACUAUAGAACUUUAUUUUUACAACAUUCAUUAAACAUUGCGAAAAAUAAAACUUCUUACAACAUUCAAGAAACGUUGAAAAUGGUAAUAUUGACAACAUGCAAUUAAAAAAAAUAUAUUGCCAAUGCUUAAUUAAAUUAAUCAAUAGCAACAUUUUUCACUUUUUAAAAUGUUGCAAUAAACCAUUUAGCAGCAUACAAUUCACGAAUAUUGCCUUUUGAAUAUUGCAAAAGCUAUUUUAAUUGUAGUGAAAAUUCGUCAUAUGUAUAUAAAAAUUCAUAUGUCAUUAAAUUAAUUUCAGUACACGUGAUAAAUGAUCAUACCUAAAAAAAUUAUUACCUUCACUAAACUUUGAAAAAUUAAGCUUUCGGACCGAUAACGUAUUAUGAAAAGAGAUAGAAAAAGCAGGGAAAAUAAAAGUCAAUAGACUUGUAUGUAUUAUAAUAAGAACUAGAGCCAUGUAUUCAUAAAGAAGGAUUAUGGAUACAAUGAUAAUAAUUUCUAAAUUUAUAGGGGUACAAUUGUCAUUCACAAAUAAAACUUACCAUUUACAACAAAAUGGUCUUUUUUUUUUUUCUUCAAUUUGCUCCUAAAAAGUUUAUUGAUAGCAACAAGAUAAGUCGGACGUUCUCUUUUUUGAAUUUUAAGAGGCGCGUAGGACAUUUUGAUCUUCAUUUUUCGUCCCAUUCAUUUAUGUAUUUACUUAUUUAUAUAUUAUUAUGCGUUUAAAUUUAAAUUUUAUUCAAAAAAAAUUUUAAAAAAAAUAUUAUGAAUCAUGGAUGGGUUUGUGAUAGCGAUCAUGUUUCCUAACCAAAUGCCUAAUAAGGAUUAUAGAAUUCCCGACCUUCAAUCCACGUGGCGCGUUCCGUCCCACAUUGUCCUUCCUUGAAUAGUAAACGAGGCGGGAUGCAAAACCUAUAGUCCCUAGUUUCGAAUUUUUAGUACUAGCUCUGAAUCAUUUUUCAUUAUUAUAUUUCAUUUUAUUGUUAUGUUCUUCAUUUAAAUCAUAUUUAAGAAAAUUUAAUUAAAUAAAUAAAAUGAUGAAUGAUGUUUUUUAUGUCUCAACCUACCCUACAUUCUGAAAAAUCAGAACGAAACAAGAAUGAUAUGAUGGUUACUAUCCAUUGUCAUCCUUAAAUUCAAAUUUCUUGUUGGGCGAAGUAACUUGGGGCCAGAGGCAGUCCUGAGGGCGCACGAGUUGAGCGAUCGCACAGGGCCUCAAAUUUGUAAGGGCAUCAAAAAAAUUUUUGUUAUAAUUGUAUAUUUAUUUAUAAUUAAAUAUUUAAAAUAUAAAAUUUUUAUUAUUAUGCAAAAGAUAUUAAAAUUAAGAAUAAUGUGACUAACUAGUUAUAAUUUUCUUGAAUAUAAUAUUCUUAAAUAGCGUUCCUACCUUAAAUAAUGUGAGGAAAAAGUAAAAAGUCAAAAAGAGAUUAGCCCGACUAGAGAACUGAGAGAAGAGAGAAAAAUUGAGCAACUACAUUUUCCAAAUCGUCUUUUUGGAGAGAAGAAUUAAAGAAAACAACAAUCUUUUCCAAUUGCCCCAAAGAUAAUUGAGGUAGAGAAAAUAGAAACCAACCGUUUUUUUAUUUGUUUAUUUUUUUUUUUGAAGAAAUCAUCUUUUUUUCCAAUCAUCUUUAAUCUGGCUCCAAAAGAUUCUCUUUUUUCUUUAAGCAACGACUGACGAUUCAUAUUUUUCACUGAACUCUCACUGAAAAUUUGAAUUACAUGUUAUCUUUUCUUUAUUAUCUUUUCGUUAAUCUUAUUCUAUGAUUUUACUGAUUUGAAUUCUUUUUGCAAGAACUUGUUAAAAUUUGAAUUCAGGAUUGAGGAUUGAGAAAGCACGACAUAAUUUUCCUCCGGAGAAGUUGAACACUUACAAGUAAGUUUUUGUUUCCUUAACAUAUUUUUCUUCAAUAAUUUCUUUGAAUAUUCAAGAAAAUAUAAAUUCGUUUUUAAUAUUUUUUUCUCAACGUUCUGAAGAUGGAUUCAUCGUUUAUAAUUUAUAAUUACUAAUUUAAUAAGUGAAAUCAAUUAACUGUGAAGAGAUUUACUGUUAAGUGAAAUCAAUUAAUUGUGAAAAUGGGUUCACUGUUCAUAAUUUAUAAUUACUAAUUUGAUAAGUGAAAUCUACUAAUGAAAUUGAUUCAUUGAAUUUUUACUACCCUCUAACUCUCUUUUCAUUAAUUUGUGAUACACGGGUUUUCGAAGAAUCAAGAUUGAUUUAAUUCCUGUUACUGUUGUAUCUGCUGAAAGAAAAUUUUCAAAAUUGAAGUUAUUAAAAUCUUAUUUAUGAUCAACCAUUUUACAAGAACGAUUGAAUGGAUUCGUUUUGAUAUCUAUUGAGCAAGACUUUCUAAAAAAUAUUGAUUACGAAAGUUUAAUUAGUGAAGUUGCUUUUAAAAAUGCGAGAAAAAAUAUUUUUACAUACUUUGUAUCAUUUCAAGCUUUACACUUGACUUGAUUUAUAUAUUUGUUUCAAGGUUUGCUUAUAUGGAAUUGCACGAAGAGGUUAGUGGUUUGGAUGGUUCUUUGUUGAUGACACAUGAAUUUUGAUGAAGUUCGAGAGAUACUUUUGAGUUUUAUUUAUGUUUUUCUUGUUUGUGUAUGUUAAAAAAAAAAUAUUCAAAUAUCAUAUUUUUGCAAUGAAAUAAUAUUAUUGAAAUAUUUUUCUUUACUAUAUGUUUUAAUCACUUGAAGGGGGUACCAUUUUAAAAUUUCGCACAGGACAUCCAAAAUCUUAGGGCUAGCUCUGCUUGAGGCUGGCGUUUUGUUAAAGAUUUCCUCUUAUAAUUUUGUAGAAAAUAAAAAGCAAUGAAAAAUAAAUCCACUUGAAAAUAGGGUCAUCUCUAAAAGAUAAAUGUAUUAUCCAUUGAUUCCCAUUUUUCAGUUGAAACCCAUCUCCGUAGCAAGGCUAUGAUCCAAUCCAACCUUAAAAUUUCUCAAAUUAUCUUUAAAAAAAAAAAAAAAAAAUUUCACCACAUUUUUAACUCUACAAAUAAAGUGGAGUGUUGCCUAAAUAUCCAUUACAACAGCUAUGUAGAGGCAACCCUGAUGGUUCACAGAUGGUGCAACCGCACAAGGCCUCUACAUUACAGGGACACCAAUUUUUUUUUUUUUUAUUUGUGUAUUAUAAUUUUAAAAUUUAAUUUUUUUUUAUUAAAGGGACCAUGUUUUAAAAAUAUCACAUAGUACACCCAAAAUAUUAAGGUCAACGCUACAUCUAAGUACCACUGUGCAACUUCUCCAUUUCCUAGGUAUCAAAAAAUCUUCACCUCUACAACCACGUACUAUGUUAAUUGCUGAAGAUUAUAUUUACAGUCUGUUUGAGCCACAUUAUUUCAAAAAAAUACAUUUUUAAAUAAUAAUUUGACAUUAUUUCAAUCACACAUUCUUCAAUAAAAUAAUAAUACACAUAAAUAAAAAAAUUCCUUAUUUUUUAACCACACAUUUCCCAUCAAUACAUUAUUCAAGAAUGCAUUAUUACCAAAAUAAUGUUGCUCAAACACCCCCUCAGUAGCAAACAUGAUAGAAUAAAAUUCUGUGACAUACUUAGAUGAAAAUUAAUUCAAUACAGUCUGGCGUUCAAGUCAGACGAUAAAGUAUAUUGGGUGUGGAAGAGAUACAAUAGAUAAAGAUAUAGAUACGGUUUACCAAAACUUUCCUUCGAAGGAAAGGGCAGAGUAUUUAUAGGUGGAAGAAGCUCUAUCUGAAUGCUUAACACGUGACUUUAUUUUAAUACCUCAUUUCUCAUGCUUAAUUAUGUCAAUUUAUAGCCAUCAUAGGUAUGGCUUUCCAUAGUCAGAGUAUAAGCUAAAAACUAAGUAUCGUUGUUGCGGAGUUGUUACAUCAAAUAUUUUGUACGGUGUACUUUGGGCAACUUUGUCAAAGCAAGGCUUGUAGUAGAUGUUCAUCACCCUAGAUAUAUACUGCAGUGGAGAGGUGAUGCAUCGCCUCGAAUAACAAUAACAUUUUAAACAAUGCAUCUAAAAGUAUCCCAUGAUCGUAUCAAAAAAGGCAUGAAGAGGAGACGAUGGGAAUUUGAGUGUUUCCCUUGUAUAGCCUCUUCUUAUUUGGCUGUCAUGUGGCCCACAUUGUAGAAAAAUAUGUAACAAUAUCACUUUUAACAAAAUCUAUUCUCAAACAAUGGAGCUUAAAUAGGGUUACCAGUUUUAUGUUACUGAAAUUUUUUUCAAAAGCUCUGUUGAAAAUUAAUUUUUUUUUCUUUUUAUUAUUUUUUUAUUUUUAGGAGAGUUAGGGGCUAGAGAAUAAAUGUAUGUAAAACAAAGUUGUCAGAAUCAAAUGCUAAGAGAGCAAAUCUCUUUGCAAGAAAGAAGGAAAGGAUAAGGCUGCCAAAAUUAUGAUGAUGAUAGAAAUGGAAGCAAGAAUAUUCAUAAUAUAAGUGAAUUUCUUGGUCGUCCAUGCCGGAUUGAAGCUAUCUUGAACACACGACCUUACCUUUGUGAAGUUAUCAAUCCCUCAAUUCUAUUGUUUACUGGUGCAAAUUCAAUUUUUCCCGUGUUAGAAAUUUUCCUUUUUGUUAAAGUUGAAUAACAUCGUCUAAUAACAUUAGCUUAUAGGGAUAGGACAAAUUUAUUUACGGAAUUUCUGAAGAUCCUUGAGCAACUUGGAUUCAUUUUUCAAUUUAUGAGAUGUGCAUAAUUUUGCUCAUCAAACCACAUCAUCUAAAAGUUUAAGCUAGCAAUUAGGACACAAAUUUAUUUAUUUAUUUAAAUCUUCUUCGACAUUUUGGACAUGAAAUGUGAUUCCUACAACAAAUGUGCACACCUCCAAUUUAUUAAAUGAUAGACUACGAAACUGUAUUUUGAGUGGUAAUUGGUAUGCAAGAGUGGUUAACUAAUGGAUUUGUAAUUUCGACAUCUAAGUUCUGCAAGGCCAAUACAAACCGAUAGAUAGAACAUUUAUUUUUGUCUGCAUUAAGCAUCACAGGCUCAAUUACCGAGAAUUGCAUCCACUUUACACCUGUUACAAUGUGGAAGCGGAAUUGUCCAGAAAUUAAAUAAAAAAAAUUUUAAUUAAAUAAACAAGAUCGUUUAUGUGACAUCUCUAAAAUAUUUUUAGGGAAAAAAAUUAUUAUCUAUUCUAUAUAUUAUAUUUGAUUAUUUUGAAAAUGACGGACUUGGAUGAAGUAUAUUUUAAAUUAUUAUAUUCUUGAGGCAAAUAAUUGGAUUUUGAUAGAGUGAUGAUAAGUCUAUCAAUAUUACACUCGUUGGAGAGCCCGUAUCUAAUUAUGUAUUUUAGGCUCGAGAAAAAGUUAAUUCUAAUAAGUUUGGCUCAAGAUAUUGAAGUUUGUAGAAGUUGUUAUUUAAUUGGAAUUAGAAUUUACCAACUUUUAAAAGGGGUAGCCACGUGUGCUCUUCUAUAGAGAUAAGGUGGUGGAUAUGAGAUUGUAGUUAAUUGUUAUUUUAUCACAUUUUGAUGAUGAUUAAUGUAAAUUGAUAAUUAUAAUCCUAUUUUGAGAUAAUUCAACUUCGGAUAUUGUUACUAAAUUAAAUUAAAAUAUUAGUCCUUACGUUUAUUUUACCUGCACUACAUGAGUGGAUAAGGUGAUUGGGAUAUUUCUAAUUAAGCAAAAUCCAAAUUAAAACUAAUCUAGAACUUAUCAUAUGAAUUAGAUAAAUUUUCCAUCUCCUGCUUGGCCAUGCGUUUAAAGAUUUAUUGGUUUUAAAAAUUAUUUUCACCAAGUAGAGAUUUUACAGAGAUGAGAUAAAAUUUUAUGAAGUCAUUUUUAUCCUAUAUUUUGAUAAAGGAUAAAGGUUUAAAUGUAAUCUUAUAUGUGAGAUAUUCAAGUACUAUCAUACAUGUGUCAUAUCAUGGUUUGGGUUAUCAAAAUUUAAAGUUUAUCUAAGUGGUACACGUUUUCCCCACCGUCAAAAUUGUACCAUGACUCAACUACCAUUUUUUUAUUAUAAAUAAUGUGCAUUUGUACUUUGAUUUUCCACCAAGAAAUUUUUACAUAUCAGACAAUAGAGAGAGAGAGAGAGAGAGAGAGAGAGAGAGAGAAUAAUUUUGAAGAUUCAGUCACCAAAAUUUUGACGCAGUCGAGAAAGUAGAAUAUGGGGGUGUUUGAUAGAUAUUUUUAUGUAAAAAUACAUUUUAGAAUAGCAAAUUGAUGUGAAAUGUGUGGUUGAAAAAUGAAGAAAAGUUUUUGAUUUACGUAUAAUAUUAUUUUAAUAAAGAAUGUGUGGUUGAAAAGAAGAGAGAGAAAAAUACUUUUUGAAUAAAAUAUGAAUGAAUUACCUGCAGACAUUCAUUUUUUUAAAAGAAAUAUGAAAUCCUACAGGAUUAUAAGAAGGCCUAAGAUGGGUGUCACUUGGUCACGGAAUUACUCCAUAAGAUCAAAGUGGUAUGAAAUGCAUAAUUUUUAUUGUUAUAUAUUUGUAUAUGAAAAUUGCACGUAUCUUAUUGGGUGUUUUUGAAUACUCACUCUUACAAAUUUUUAAAGGUUAGUUCGGGUUGAUUGAAGUUGUGACGAAUUGGUGACGCGGACAGCCAAGUGAAUCGAAGAAAGGAAAAAGAAAUUAAAUAUUUAGUUUGCUUUUUUUUUUCUGUAAUUCUAAAUUAUUUGCUAGUUUUAUUUGCUCAAAGACUCUUUUGGUUAUUUUAAAUUGAUAUUUAUGGUUGAAAAUAAAGAAUUUCCUUUUAUUUAAAUCGUUCCACAAUUAUUAUAAAAGAAAACAGCGUUUUUCUUAACAUCCUGGCGUUUUUGGAAAUUUAGGACGUUGCAGUUUAGAUGUUCACGUAUAUGUUAAAUCAAGGAUAAAGAAUUUGAAUUUUUACCUAAAUUGAUGAUUAAUUAUUUAAUUAAUUCAAAUCACGAACUUCCACCUUUUUGGAUCAUAGACUUCUAGCUUUUAAUUACAAGAACUUGAUACAUCAAAUCUCCAAGUCUUCUACUGUAUUCUCCAAAAUCAAAACUACACCAAUGAGUGGGCGUUUUUUUUUUUUAAUUAUAUCAAGAAACUAAUUUUUAAACUGACAAUUGAAUAAAAGCAAGAAAAAUAAUAUUCUCUCUUUUUUCCUCUCUUCAAUUUGAACACUGUGGAUUUAUGUAAUAUGAUUAGAAAUUCUAGGUUCUAUAUAAUCUCUAAUUAUAGAGACAGAAUAGUUCUAAUUCUUGUACAAUAAUAAUUUCACAUUCAAAUAAGAGUUCUAAUUAAAAUCUAAGUAGGAGUUUUACCUAAAGUCCAAAUUCAAUUAGUACACAUUUAAUUACAUGUGUAGUCCUAAAACUUUAUAAUUAAGUUUACAAAUUUCAUAAUAAUUAUAACUAAGUACAAAAUUUUAUUGUAAUUAUAGUUAAUCUCAAAAUUAUUAUAAUUACUAUAAUUCAAUUCCAAUAAUUUAUGGAGCUGACAUAGGGACCUGAUAUAACAUAUAUUAUCCAAACUUCAAUAAUUAGAUCUGUCUAGUAGACUUUAGACCACCCAAUCUAAUUAUUAGUCUUUACUUUUUCACCAAAGACACAGAAACCAAUAAAUUUGUAAUGAUUUCCUCUAACAUGUUGUAUAUGUAUUUUAUCCUCGUCCGAGAUUUAAUAAUUAGGUAUGAGCAUAAAUGACCGUUUUGCCCUUUUAUUUAUUAUCACUAGCUUAAGUAUCAUUUUCUUCAACGAUUAUGUAAACUAAUCACAGAUGUCGAAGUUUAACUGUCGCUAAACACUUAGCUCAAAUUUUAACCAUUCAACAAUAAAUACUUAAGUAAUCACUCUACCCAUUUUUCAAUGUGACGAUUCUCGACACGAAUUCUCUACCUUGCUUAUUUUCGAAUUCUUAGCUCAUCAAGACAUUUAACCAAUCAAAUUAAUAUCACCCAUUGAUGAUCAAAGAACCACUAAAAUCACGAAAAUAUAUACAUAACACUAUUAAGGGAUUUAUAUGAAAUACACAGCGAUCAAGUGAAACUUAAUUCUUCGCACGGUCAUGCUAUAGGAAUUAAAUUUGACACGUGAUCCGUUCAAUAGACUCCAAGUGUACUAGUGCCACCUUUAACUAUUUUUGUAAUAAGGACAAAUCACAAACGUGAAUAGUGAAUCGGUCAAUAUUACAACCUUCCAGUACAAGGUGUCAACCCUUAUACAUUGAUAAUGAACAAAUUAUUUAUGAUCAAAAUAUAAGUUGUGUCACCCUAUAUUUCUCAACGCAAGUAUCCAAUUUAUAUUAUCACAAGUGAUUAUAGGCACUUUAAUUCACAUGCUUAAUAAUAAAUAAAUGCAAUAAAUAAAAUAAACACAUUUUUAUUUAAUAUAACAAUAUUGUUAUUUUUACAUCAGCAAAACUAUACUUGAUAUAUUUGAUAGGUUGAUAGGAUCCAAACCUUAGCAUGCCAUUUAGAAAUCCAUUCGUUAAUAGGAUUCAAUUAAGUUACCGUUGCCAAUUAUGAGUUGAUGCAUGGUCAAAUGACAGCCUCUGUAGCUUCACACACUUGAUAUAUUUGAUAACUUGUUAAACUAUUAAUAUGGGUUGCAGUGAGGGUUCCGAAGUAGUAGAAUGGUAGAAUGACCACUUUUCAGGUAUUAUCGGCAUUAAUAUUUUUCUUAAUUUCGAUGAAUUUAAAUGAAUUAAGGAGAAUCUGCAAUGAUUUCAAUGAUGUUUGAAAAGUCUAUAUCAUCAUGGACGGUUAACAUCUGGGAGAUUCAAGUAUAAAAGUUUUGCAUAAUUUCAUUGAAUAUGCCUCUAGCUUUCAUACCUAGAAUAUUAUGCUUGAAUGCUUAAAAGAUUUAUCCAACUUUAGGGUUUCAUUGUAUUGUAUAAAGUAGCCACUUAAAUACUUCUCUCUUGUACUCAUAUUUGAUAUAGUAAAAAUUAUUUUCUUACAUUUUUGUGAAUUACAAGUACUUGAGAGUGCAAAUGAAGUAAACCCAAUUUUACUUGUGGGUCAUUUGGCAUUCACAUAUUAUAACUAUUUUACUUGUGGACUAAAUUACGUAUAUUGAACUAGAGAAAAAGUCGAUUUGAAUAUACGGAGACCAAUAUCAUUCUAUCCUAAGAUAUCAGGACUUACUAUUAAUUAUUAAGAUAUUUUUCCCAAAAUCAAUAUUGCUAGAUUGAGUUUUAACUAUAUAGGGAUUUAAUUCCCAAAAUAAAUUACACACAUCUACAUUGAAUUCCCAAAAUAAAUUACAUUGAACAAGUAAUCACACUCCAAUAAUUUCCUGAAACCAUCAGUCUUCAUAAUUUCCUGAAACUAACUCAAAUCUCCACGCAUUAAAGAUUGAGUCAAUAUGUUAAAUAUUGUAAAUAAAUAUGAUUAAAUAAUUAAAAUUAAACAUAUCUGAUUUGUUUACCAUACAACGUAAAUGGAUAUAAAGACUUCAAAGGGGUAUAACAUAUUCAAAGUCUCCAACUAAACCUAGUCCUCGUAUCCUCAACUUAUCAAAAAGUCAAUACCUUUAAGGUAUGUGCUAAAGAAAGGCACGAGCGUUGACAACCCCACCAUCUAUACAUUUGACACUUGCCUUGAUGAUUAAGAAAAUGCCUGAUCAUCAUUUACUAAAACUCAUAAAAAUGUUUAUAUCAUCUGCCAAACUCAAUUAUUUCAAAAUUUAUUUUCAAUCAUGUAUUUCAUGGAAUUUACAACUUUUACCAAUUUUCCCUUCAAAUCUUACCAAAGCUAAUUAGGCAACGGCUUAAGGCCUUAGAUAUUUGAGGGACCUCAAAAAUAAACCAUUUGUUCUCUGGUUCUUGCAGACAGUGGGAACAUAUCUUGUUAUUGCAAAUUAUCGCAUGACAGGAAUGACCUUUAUGAUUUGCUAAAGAAAUGAAGGUACUUUCCUGGGUUCUUCAUUUUGCUUUAUUUCCACUCGUCAUUCAUUUACCAAUACGGGUUGACUCCCUUUCCUAGAAAAUAUGCUCAUGCCAAUUUCCUAAAUUUGUGGAUUUAAUUGAAACUCAAAAAAGUUUAACCAUAUUUUCUUACCUUCGUUUCAGUCGAUGAUAAUCUUUGUCAAAUUUUUAAUUUGUGGAAUCACAUACACAUUGAAAGAACAUUUAGUCCAACCUAUCCUUUCCAUCCAAUCUCAUCUUUUUAUUGACAUACUUUAUGUGUUGGUUGGACAAUAAAAGAAAAUAUUAGAUAGCGUUAAAGAAUAAACAACCAUCACAAAUUCACGACAUAUUUAUAGAAUACUGCCAAAGAAAUCCAUUUUAAGGAACUUUUAAUCACUUCCAAACAAGCUCUUAGCUCUAAACAUUUUUCAUGAGCUCGAUUUAUAAUACUAAUUAAACAAUAAAAAGAUAUUAAAACUUUUUCCAUAGUAAUCAACAUUUUUGUCCAGCACUAAGCAUGGCUCCUAAAUAUGAUAUGACAGUAAACAUGUGGGCCUUUCCUGUUUUAAUAGGAAUCCUCAUCUUUGAGAAUUAUGUUAGUUGUUAUUAUGUCCUCUGAGCAUGUUUCCUCAAGAAUCAAUAGAAAAUAGCUAUUUAUUUUUAUUUUAUUUUUUCAUUUUACUCAAACUCGUGUAUUUCAUGUUGAACUGCCUCGUAUAGAAAUUACAGGAGAUUAAGUUAUGAGAAAAAAGUUAUGUUUAAGGGCCUCGUAUUUACUAAUACAUUGUUCUUCAAGGAUCAAUAGGUGAAAAUAUCAUACCUGAGGGCCUCAUCAUAAUUAUUUGCUAGCCCCGAGAAACCGACCCCAAUAGUCCCUUUUCUAGGAACCACCUUGGUGAGCCUUUCUUCGUCAACGAAUUUAGCUCACAGAUUCGCCUCACUUUCUCCACCAACAAGCCUAGUUUGCAGCUCUGCCUCACCGAGUGACUCCAACAAGAUACAUCAAGGUUAACAAAAUGUAGCUCACAUGUAGCAUCCAUGUUGGAUGAGGUUCAAUCAUUUUGAGCCACUUUCAACGAGCCUGGAAGGUUGUUACUACGUAGAUGAAUAUGUGGAUCGCUAGAUUCUGACAUUUGCUCAGCAGAUUAGCACUUUGAGGACGACAGGAUUCAAACAACCCAGUUUGACACAGAACAACUUAUUAAGCAACAGGAAAUCUCUUUCAAUGUGGAUGAGGAAUUUUAUUCAGCAACAUAGGUGGUGUGCUCUAAACUGACUGCAAGGAGCCAAUACUCAUCCAACAAUCUUGAAACCAAUACUAAUCUCGGCAAGUUUAAUAAAUAUUUUGGGUUUCCUUUGGAGUCCCAUGUCCACUCCGUUGUGGCGCAACUCUGGUGCCUAUCCCGCACCAAGAGUGCCUCAACAGCUGAAGCUGGAGGUGAGGGUCCGCUAGAGCUGCCUCCACAACAGUUGCUGGAGGCUGGAGGUUGCGGUGUACCCAGAAACCUCAAAAGUCAUAGUUGGAGGUUGAAUUUUGGUUUAGAUAUUUUAUCGAUCGCCUGAUGGACGAAGUAGCGCUGAGAUUUUAUGAGAACAAAUAAAGGCUUCCUCUAAUCCCAUGCUCAACACAAUAUCCCAAUUAUGCCCGUUUUAGAAUAUCCGCGUCCUACGUAGGUUCGGAGCCGUCGGAAGCGACUACCACUGCGCCUGCCUCGACGGCAUUCAACGGAGGCUACGGAAGCCACGGCGGCGGUGGGAGCACCGGGGCUAGAUCUUGGCCCAGUGUUCAGUCUAACACGAAGAGUUGUAAUUGGUCCGGCGAGAUCAAGGAGGAUCGAGAUCGAGUGGCAUGUAGGUCGCAACGCCGGUGCUACGGGAGCCUCUGUGUCGGUGGGAGCACCAGGGCUAGAUCAUGGCCCAGUGUUCAACACCGAGACCAAGGGGGAUCGAGAUGGAGAGGCAUGUUGGUCCGUCGUAGCCGGACUGUUUUAACGACUAUGGAAGCGGUUCUCAUCAGUAGGAUUUUAGCGAAAAUUAUGGAGUUUUGACCGUUACUCACCAAAAUUUAUAGCAUUGCAGCUGCAAUUAUUGACCAAAUUUUUAUAUACCAUUUUGACAUUUAAUUUAUUCCAUUUGACUGAAGGGCAUUUGUGGUAAUUUAACAAAUAUUGAAUCAUAAAAUUGGGCCGAAAGAGGUGAUCGACGUUUCCAAACAACUCAAAUUUUCCUAAAAAUCUUGUCAGAAUAGCUUCCAAAUAAACGGUCAAUUAAUUAUUGACGCAUAUUAAUUUAAUGGAUUAGUAGUCAAGUUAAUGAUGAAAAUUUUGAGAUAACAUGUUAAUUAUUGAUGACAUAUUAAAAAUUAAUUAAAAGGACAGCAAAAUUGGAUAGCAAAUUUCGACUCUAUUUUUCAAAAAGGGCAGCAAACUUUAUUAUUAUCUCACUUUAAUAAAUGGGGACAAUAAAAUGAAUUAUCAAAAACUAAAUAAAAAGGGGUACGUGAACGGGCCAACACCCUAUCCUGCCUUGCCUUUCAUUAUUAUUUUGCAAAUGAAUCCUAGUAAAUUAUUAAAAUGAUAUUUAGCACAAAACAUCCCUAACUUUCAUUAUUAUUAUGCAAAAUGUCCGUAUCUUUUAUUUUUUAACAUUUUCACCAUUAUUUUUAUAUUUCAUUGCCAAAUCGUUAUUUUCAUCAAUUUUCUCAAUUGAAAGCUGUAAAAUAACAAAAAUACGCUCCUAUUUAAAUAAACAAAAAUAAAGAAAUGAAAAAUAAAGAACAAAUUGUAGCUAUUCUCCCAAAAUUUUCAAAAUAAUUUUCAAAUAAAUAAUUAAAAAACAAAAAUCACUUUUUUAAUUAUUUAUUUGAAAUUGAUUUGUAUUUUUUUUGAAAAUUUUGGAAAUAUAAUUGCAAUUUGUUCUUUAUCUUUCUUUAUUUUUAUUUUUAUUUGGCUUAUUUAAAGAAAAGUGUAUAUUUGUUAUUUUAUAGCUUUUAAUUGAGAAAAUAGAUGAAAAUAACGAUUUUCGCAAUGAAAUAUGAAAUAAGGGUGAAAAUGUCAAAAAAUGAAAGGUAUAGACAUUUUGCACAAUAAUAAUGAAAGAUAUGGACUUUUUUUGUUAAUUACCCUUUUAAUAAUUUAUUUGAACUAACUUGCACUUUUUAAAAAAAGUUUAAGAGUAUAAUUAUAAUUUAUUCUUUAAUUUUUCUUUUCUUUUUUAUUAUUUUAUUUAAAUAGGGGGUAUAUUUAUCCUAUUACACGAGAAAUUUGAUGAAAACAAUGAUUUACACAAUAAAAGGUGAAGGUAAGGGUGUGCCAAAAAAAAAAAGAUAGAGACAUUUUACACAAUAACAUUAAAAGAUAAAGAUGUUUUGUGCUAAUUACCAUUCCUAGAAACAUCCAAAUGAACCAAAGAUGGUUGGUGUUAAAGCACAAAGGGAAAAUUUCAUAUAUUCUAGCGUAAGUAUAGGUGAUUUCAAAACUAAGAUGACAAGUUUGAAUUUGCAAAAAUCAGAAAUAUGGUAGUAACAAUCAAUUAGUUUUCUAAAAAUCAAUGUCCACUUACCUUCAAAAGCCGGAUUCCAUAUAUUAUCCCAUAUGGAGAGAGAGAGAGAGAUGAUUCGUUACAGUUAGUCCCUAAAAUCAAGCAUCCAGAUUCAACUCCCUAAAAUACUGAUUUAAAUCCCUCAACCACAUAAUUAAUUAAUUGUAUAAUUUAUUAAUUAAAUAUAUUAAGGUCACAUAUCUAUAUAAUUUGAUCACAAAUUCAUAAUUUAGUUAGUCACAUAUUAUUUUCUGAUCAUAAAUCAUAAUUUUUAAAUAUCAUAAAUUAUUUUAUAGUUACGAUUCAAAAUUUUAUAGGUCACAAUUUGUUCAUCUGUCACAAAUCAAAAAUUAAUACGUCACAAUUUAUGUAUCGGUCACAGAUCACAAGGUCACAGCUUAUUAGAAGGUCAUAAAUUAAUAUAUUUUUUUAGGUCACAUUGGUCACAAUUUAUCUUCAUUCGUCACAUAUUAUUUAUUGGUCACAGAUUAAUCAAUUCAAUGAUCACAAUCAAACAAAUAAUAUGUGACCACCCCAACCUUUAUGAAAACCACUGCCCCCAAUAGUAUCACCGUCAUCAUUGCCUUCAGAACCACCACGAGCACCGACAGCAACAUCGUCUCCUCCCUGAUAUACUCCUGCCCAAUGCUAGAUCGAAACCUAGAACUUAGCCAAUAUCACCAACAACUCACAUCACAGCCAUUACCAUCGCCAACAUCCCCACCACCACAGUCUCACCACCAUCAUGAUUAGCACUGACGUUUUCGCCACAACACCAUAGCAAACCACCACACACAAAAAAAUCCUGAUGAGCAGUAGCACUUUUGGGGAGGAAAAGCCGUGCUGAAACUACAUUUUCCGAAGAGCGAGAGAGAGAGAGAGACGACGGGUGGAGAGGAGAGAGGAGAAAUUGGAAAGGAAAAGCUGCGCUGAAACGACAUUUUUCGGGAGGGGGGGAGAGAGAGAGAGAGAGAGAGGACGGGUGGAGAGGAGAGAGAGAAAAUUGGAGAGAGAAUAAAUUAAUUGGAGAUGAUCGGUGGAGAGAAAGGACGGGUGGAGAGAGAGAAUACAAUUAAUUGGAGAGGAGAGGAAUUGGAGGGAGAAUAUAAUUAAUUGGAGAGAGAAGACAGGUGAGAGGAGAAAUUGAUUUAUAUAAUUAAUAUUUAAAUAUAAAAAUUUUGAUUUUUGAAAUGUUAAACUACUCAUCUUAUUUUUGAACCCUAGAUUUUAAUUCUAAGGUUUUUUGUAAUUAACACAAGCACAAAUUGGCAAUGUUGUACCGAUUCGACCAAUAAAAUUGGGACCGGCCCAAAACAUUGCAAAUUGGACGUCAUAAAUAAUUCCGAAGCACUAUCACAUGCUGACACUUUCAUAGGUGGGCCUGAAAAAUGAUGCAAAUGCAAUUAGGAGUGGGUGCGGUCCGAUUUGGCUCGAUUUCAAAGGAAACCGAAUUGAACUAAAUACCAAUAGGAAUUUUAGAAAUGGAACCGAACCAAUCGGUUCCGAUUCGGUCCGGUCUGGUUCUUUACAUUGAAAACGUCAAAAUAAAAUGUUCACUAAUAAAAAUUCUAAAAAUGCUACCAAUGUGAUACUUUUAACAAAAUAUAGAAGAACUGAACAUACUAUUCAAAGAUCUAUUUAGGUAUAAAUUUACAAAGUGAAACAAAAUAAUAAUCAUGUAAUCAAAGUGAAAACAAAAUAAAAAUUUCGUAUCUUAUAAAUGAAAUUAUAUAUUGUAAAUAAAUUUAUUUAGAUAUAGAUUUACCCAAUAUUCUAAUUUGGUUUGAAAAUCAAUUAAUCAAAGAAUUAUAAAAAGGGCGAAGAAAAAGAUUCUAAAAUUAAGAAGGAACCCAAUUAUUUUUUUAUAAAAAUAAAAGUGUUGGAGAUUGAGUAAUAUAUUUUACCAAAAAAAAAAAUCCAUUGAGAACCGUCUGGUCCCCACAGUUCCCAUACUAGAAUCGGGAACCGGAUCGGAACUGGUCGAUUCUUAAAAAAUUUUCUCGAAAUCAAAUUUUUUUUUAGAAGAUCCAGAACCGAAUCGGCCAAUUCUAAACGAUUCUAGUCCGGUUCCACCGGUUCUGAGAAAAAGUGCCCACUCCUACAUGAAAUGGCAAUAAUCCAGUAUCCAAAAAGAUGCAGUCAAUUUUGAUUGAAAAUGGUAAAAAUUCAAAAUCAGAGUAAUUUUGGAUUGAAGAUAUGGAUUUAAGAGAGCUUGAGAUAUGUGGAAGACUAUUUCAAGGUGUGGAGUCAUAAGCCAAAACUAUUGAUGGUCGUCUCUUCAUAGUUAAUUAAAUCUUCUUUUGUUUUCCAUCAUUACUAAAGAAAUAUGUUUCCGAUAGCGUUCAUUUUGAAACAUAUCUUAUCUUCUGUCUUUCUAAUUCUCUAUCUGAAGCCAAAGAGUAGGGAUAGCAAAAAAACUCCCUUUAAACCUGAUAUCCGUGGGCCCUGUUCCAAACUAGGUGGGUAUUACCCGCUUAAUCAACUAUUCAGGUUGGGUUCGGGUCGAGAAAUUUUGCCCCGAGGCUGGUACGGUUAACACCCGCCUCCAUCCCACUUAUUUAUUUAUUUAAGAAUUCAGUACUUUAAAUCAAAAAUCUCACGAAAUUUCAUUAAUUCUACUAAAAGACGACAAUUAAGAUUCUUUAAGUAAUACGAAAAACAAUAAGAACCUUAAUUUAUCAAAUAUAUUCUAAUAAUUUAACUAUUAAAAUAAAUUAAUUAAUUAAAAAUUUAAUAACUAUAUUAUUAUCUCACUUUAAUGAAUGAAGAUAAUAAAAUAAAUUAUCAAAAACUAAAUAAAUAUAAAUAAAAAAAAGAGUACGUAAACUAGACAAGUCCCGCCCUGCCUUAAACGGGUAAUGGGGCAAGAAAUUACCCAGCGUGGCAGGGUCAUUGCCAUCCCUACUAGUAGAAUAGUUUCUCUUGCAGGCACAGAAAACUAGUAAUAUUAUCCAUGUCAAAUUUUUUUCCUCCUUCAAAAUUUCCUUAUGUUCUCAUUUUUUAGUAAAACAACAAACUAAAAUGCCAUAAAAAUAUUUAAUCGUCUCAAUUAUUAAUUCUUUUCUCUAUUUUUUUUAUCUCAUUUAUAUUGAUAUUAGAAGUGGGUCGAAUAAAAUUUAAUUGUAAUCAAGUUUAUUAAUUAAUUUUUAUUUCUAUAUAUAAGUCAUUUUGAAAAAAAUAACAUAUUUUGUCAAAAAAAAAAUAUGCAUACAUACACACGCACGUGCGCGCACACACAUAUAUAUGUUAUUAACAGUUAGACCUCGAUUUAAUCUUUCAAUCCUUGAUCCUUUAACUUUUUCGGAUAUAUGGCUAGGUUUUUUUUUUUUCAAAAUAUUGGAUAUUGUAAAUUUUUUAUUUUUUUAUUUUUUCCAUAAUCACCAGUAUUGUCCAACCAACACAUAAUGAAUGUUGAUUCGUUGAUGCAAAGAUGCCAUUGAAUCAAAAAAAAUGGGGUGGAUAGUAUGUUCUUCCAAAUAAACACGGUAUAAUACAAUUCAAAGAUUCUCAUUGACCUGAUAUGAAGGCAAGCACAUGUGGCCAACUUUUUGAACUUAUAUUGGUAAAUGAACAAUCAUGCUACUUGUACAAUGAAUUUGACAAUGUGUGAGUUGACAAGCAUCAUAUUCAUUGAUUUGAAAAAUUGUUUCUAAAUUCAAUUGCUGGGAUCUUUACACUUUACACAUUUUCAAACUCAUUGUAAAUAGUCAUUGUACAAAUAGAUUAAUUCUUAUACGAAUGACUGCAUGGAAAUAAAACGAAAGGAAGAAACCAAGAGAAGUACCUUCAUUUUCUUGAGCAAAUCAUAACCAGCAUUCCUUUCACGCGAUAAUUUGUAGAGCAGUGAUUCAGAACCCGGGAUUAAAUCCCGGGUUUUAAUCCAAGGCCUCGACCUCGGCCCUUGAUCUUAAUCACACGGGGCCCGCAUGAUUCGCAUUGGGGGCCGAGGUUUUGCCACCUUGGCCCUGGCUCCAAACCCGAGAUUUUAUCCUUGUUUGAGCAGCAAUUUCCUAAUUUGUAAUACAAGAUUUCUGGUUUUGUAACAAAAUUAAUUGACUGAUGAUGAUUUGUCAGUAAAUAAUGUAAUUAAAAUUGUAUAUUAAAGGAAGAAAAUUAUAUAAGUAAUCAAACUAAAAUUAGAAAAUAAUGUUUUAUAUUGGUUAUGUUAUAAAUAAUUUAAAGUAUAAAACGAUUUAUUGAGCAAUAGAUGAAAAAUAAAAGAAGUAAAUAAAGAAUAAUUUUUUUUGUCGACAAUAAACUACCAAAGUAAUGUCGAUGAUUGCCACAGACAUCAUGAUCGAUAACUGCUUACCGAAGUGGGUUGGUGAAUUAGGAAUCACUUACAGUAUUGAUGAUAUUUCAUCUCGAAUUCUGCUAGAUACCAUAAGUGAUCAUUAAUGUUUGGCAAACUAAAUUUUUUUAUGAUAGUUUCGUCAAUAAAUAAAGUAGUUAAAAUUUAAUAUUAACAAAUAAAUAUUAUGUUGUUAAUACAAUUAAAACUUGAAAAUAACAUAAAAUUAAAAAACCAAAGAUUUCAUAAGUUACUUCAAAAUAAUAAAAGAUGUAAAAAGAUGCUUCCCUACCGCAUGAUUAAUGACCAAAGCACUGUCGAUGAUUGCCACUUACGUAAUUAUCAUCGAUAAAUGUGGAAGGAGAUAGAGAUGUGCCGACAAUCAUCAAUGGUAUCGUUGUCAAAAGUUCCAACCACAUUAUGUACGAAGUUUUCGUUGGUGAUUGUAUGUUCCAUUAAUUUUAUUAUUAUCAUCAUGGUAAUUAUAUGUCUUUUCUUUUUUCGAAUUAUUAAAGUAGUAGAUUUGUUAUUGGGUGCUUUUAAACUUCAGUUAGCUUUUACUGUAAAAUGCGAUAUAGUGGAUGUUAUGUUAUCUGCUUGAAUUUGUAAUAAUCACAUUUGGUUUCCUUAAAGGUGAUGAAGCUGAAGUAAUUUCCCAACGACCAUUCAAUGGUAUAUUACAUUAAAUUCCAUUAUUACGAUAUCUGGUAAACCUAUUUGUUUCUCAUUCUUUUCCCAUUAAAAUGAAAAAUAUGAUUAUUAUCCGUCACAUCAAACCACCAAAUUUGAAUUUCUAUAUCUUGUGUGGAGUCCAUAACGACUAUAUUUUUCAUUCUCUUCUUACAAAAAUGAGAAACAAAAAGGGCUAGAUGUCUGCUUUGCAUUGAAGUCCAGGAUUGGAUAUGAGAACACCCCCUCCCCCCCCCAACAAAAACAAAAAAAUAAAACAAAAACAAAAACAAAAAAAACUCUUACAAAUGAAGUGGAUGUUGAGAAUUAAAAAUUCUUAUUUCAUUCUACCAAGAGCAAUCAAUUGAAGAAAUAAAAAUAAACACUCAAAAGCAAGCAAAAUAUAUAGAGUUUCGCCUCAACGUGAAACUACGUCUUCUCAUGUCGGUACAGUAACUCACUAUGAUGAAAAAAAGGUUUACAAAAGCACUCCUAUUAUCUCUCUCUCUCUCUUUAUAAUAAUUAUAAAGUCAAACCACGGCUCCCUAUUUAUAAAGCAUAUAAAGGCAAAAUCGAAUUUUACAAUAACUCCAAUUCCUUAAUAAAAUUUUACAAGAAUACAAAUAUCUAAACAAUUCUUAGAUUAAAUUUUGGUUAGGGCAUCUCCACCCCCCACCCCUGGGGCCUCCUACUCCCUUCCAACUCCCACGGCAACCUCACCACAGAGAUUGAUCAAUGCUAACUUCAUGAAAUAACAAUAAUUAUAAUCGAUAAUAAUUAAACUCCUUAACUUAACAGUGAAUGAUUACUCAAAUUCGGCAAGUGAUGUGGUAAUGGUACAUGCAAGUACACUUCUACAACGAAUUUUGGUGGUGAUAUGCAAGAGGAGGUAUGUUUUUAGAUGAAUUAUAAGAAACGGAUCGAAUAUUUGAAUUUUUGUGUUGCACUGUCUUAUUCAUUAAAGCAUGUAUUUAUAGACCAAAAAAGCAGAGCGAAUUCCAUUUCAUAUUUGAUUAACUCAAUAGGUAAUGAAAUUCAUUAAUUUGAUUUUCAAAAUUAGUCCUUUGUUUAGACAAGUUGAUUCACAAAGUAAUGUGUGUCAAGUACUUCUAUCAUGUGUUCAUACAUGGACCAUUGAAAGGGCGAACAAGGCAGUGGAAUGAGGGGGACCACCAUAACAGAGGAGAAUUUGAUUUCAUAAUUUGAAAAAAAGGGGCCGAAGUAUAAAAAAAGGUGGGCAUGAGUAAAAAUGCUUAAACGAGAAACUUAGCCACAACUGCUUUAUAUACUAGAAAAAGAUGUUACAGUUUAAAUAACAAGCUUUACAAACUACGAUAACGAGUAAAAAGUCUAUGCACCAUUUGUGCAACACAAGUAAAAUACAUUGAUAUAUCAAUAUUCAAUUGUAUGAAUAGCGAAAGCUAGAACAGAGUUUGGGUUAUCUACUCUAGCUUACAUUUGGCAAUGGAUCCUUUUUGCCACACAUUGCCAAGAAAAAUUUAGAGACCGACCCAGUGUGAGCGAACAUUGGAGUUGUGCAUAGAAGACGCACUUGGAGAUGUCACACGCCAUUCGUACCAAACCAAUGAUAAUUAAAUUAAAUGCAAUUAAUAUCGGGUGAGACAUAAAGAGUUAAGUAAUUCCAAACCUAUAUUCUCUGUUUCUUGCCCAGUGUUUUUAUGCAUGUCCUAGGACUAAAAGGACAUUUCAAAAUUAGAUGGAUUAAACCCACCAACCUAAAACAAAUUCUAAUUCACUUCUUGCCCAUAGAGAAUAAUAAUAAUCAUUUUCAGCAGCAAGUAUAUAAAUUGCCCGUAUAUCCAUUACUUAAGGCUACGCAACAUAAAAAUUUAUUUAGAUAAUUAGCAUAUAAUUUAAAUUAAACAUUGCAAACACAUUGGGACAGAUAUUAUUUAUCUUAGGAUUCCAAAGUGGAGAUGAUCAUCUGACAAGUUAAUAGCACCAACUCUACUUUAUUAUAGGUCUCUUAGUGCAACGCAUGACUGAGAAUUCUACAAGUGCAAGAUUCAAUUUAAUUUGAGCUUUUAUCUCAUUUCAAUCGCUUUAACAUUUUCAACACUACAUAAUCAAGAAUCGAUGGACCUCCAAAUGAGUAUUCCGUGUCACGCAAACUGGCUCACUCAAUAGGAAAAAUAUUGGAAACCUACAGAAAUCGAAGCCAACCAAAAGAGAACAAUCAUCUCAUGGAUAAUAUAUUCACUCCAAUGUACAAUUUCUUUCAUGGUGCAUUUUAUGUUUUGAUAGAACUUUUUCGAUUGAAUUUUCACUUUUUCUUUAUUGUGUGGUUGGGGGAGAGUAGGAGGGUGUCUUAUAUUUUAGUGGCUUUAAAUAGUAUCUUUACUAAUGAAUAUGGGAUCAACGCAUACCAAAACCAACUGUACCUAUAGAUACGAUAAUAGGCAGAAAUAUUUGUCCAUAAUUUUGCAUGAUUAGCAUUCAUCAUAUAGCAUUACCUUAGAUUUUUGGAAAUAUUCAUGAAGGAAAAUAUUUGGUGUUGCUGUUGAUAGUUCAAUAAACCAUUUGACACAAACACCAACUAAAAGAAUAUCUCAAUGGUCGCCAUCAGCUACAUGAUGUCAUUGGAAGUAUAUUUUCUUGAUUAACAAAAUCAACAAUUUACGCUUUAACCUCUCUACAUUCCAGGACAUGUUGUUCUUGUCCAUUAUGUCAUCUUUUCCAACACUGAUUUGACUACAUGAUUGCCAACCAUGGCCUUGGCUUGGAAAAUGAAACACUUUGUCAACAAAUAUGAAUACAACGCAACUGAUAAAGCUAUUGAUAUUAGCCUUCUUCAUCACUAUGGGCAAAGCUUGCAUUGAGCCCAUAACUAGCUAUAAUCAUCAUGUGGUGACUGAUAGGUAUGUUUUUGCACACUCAUUUAAUGUCUAAAUAAAUUUAAAUAUUAAUUAAUUGAGCAAAUUUCCAUUCACAAUUAUGUAAUUAUUGCAUUUGUAAGUAAAAAUCACCCAAGGUAAUAGAAGAGGUAAAAGGAAGUGAAAAGGGACCAAAAGCGUACAAAAUUGUGAAGUUGGGGACCAAAAUGCAUAAGUGCCAAAAGUUCAAGGACUUGGAAUUGCAAAUUUUGGAGGGUGUAAUUGAAAGAAAAGUCAAAAUUUGAGGACCAAAUUGUACAAUACAAAGUUGAGGGAUAGUGUGCAAAUAUGGGAGGACCUGAACUACAAAUAAUGAAAAAUGGGAAGUAACGCCACUGGCACCACUAUAGCAGUGCCGCGGCAACGAACAGGACCUAUUUGGCUAUAUUUUUGUAAUUGGGGAUCAUUUUAAAAUUAACUAAACACGAUUUUUGGGCCUUUUAAAAGGAAAAUUCAACAAUGUUUCCCCUAUUUCUCUCUUGAACUUGAAGAGAACCCUAGCCUCCUCUUUCUCUCACUUUCCUUUUCAUUUUUUCUUUCUUUUUCUUUUCUUCUUCUUCUUAUCUUUUCUUUGGUAAUUUUUGGGGCAAAAUCUAGAGCACAAGGAGAUUUGAUUAAGGAUUUGACAAAAGCUUUGGGGAAAUCAAGAGCAAGCUCAAAAAAGGGUUUUAUCUACAACUUGUAUUUUCUCAAUUAUUUUGACAAACUUGCAAUGUAUUAUACAAAAUAUUCUCCUUUUUAUCAUUUGUAUGAAAUGGGCAAGUUAUUUGUGUUGGGAUUUAUUGUUGUAGUUUAAUCUAGCCUUGAUUAAUUUUAAUAUUUGCCCUUUGAUUUUGAUUUGCUUAUUUUCUUCUAUUGUAUUUCAUGCAUUUUCAUUUAUGUGGUCAAUGAAUGAUUGUGUUUAGUGAAUUUUAUAUCGUUCAAGAGAAGAUUGUGCAUUUUAGACCAAAUUGUAGAAACCCUGGGUUUGUGUAGGGGAUAGAGAUAUACCCCUAACCCUAGGUGACCCAAUGAGCUAUUUUCACAAAUAUUUAAUGCAAUUGUUUGGUUUUAAUCGAUAUAGAAAUAUAAUAGGGUUAAUUUCGUUCAAGAGAAGUAAUUAAUUAAAAUUAAAACAUGGAGUCUAACAUCGUAAAUGAGUAACUUUUUAAUUGACCUGUGGUGAAAUUAAUUAGGCGACGGUUAAAUGAAACCAUGAAUCUCAACCACAUUUUCUUCCAAAAAUUUCAAGAUUUUUAUGUUUUCUUAUUUUGUAGGUUUUUAGUUAAUUUCCUUAUUUCAAAAUCAUAUUUUUAAUUAUGUGUGUUUAUUUUUAUUGUUAGAAUUAAAUUAUUAAUUACGGUUGUGUAAUCUAAAGUAUAUAUUCCUCAAGGGAUCAACAAUCCGGACUCAAAAUGUCCACUUUAUUACUUGAACGCGACUCGUGUACUUGUGAUGUAUAAUUUUAGCGAAACAGUAACAAGUAAUCAAAAGUACAAGGAUGUUACAAGUAAAGCCUGACAAUAAUACCAUAAUCAAGGAAUGGAAAGUCUUUCCAAUUGAAACUAACGUUCAGCUUGAGCCACCAUAGCUUUGCAAUCCUAAAACAGACAUAAAUUUAGAUAAUAGUAGUUCUUAUUAUAUUAAUUCAUCAACUGCAAUCCUAAAACAGACAUAAAUUUAGAUAAUAGUAGUUCUUAUUAUAUUAAUUCAUCAUCUAACAUAUAAAUCAGUCCUUCCUAUAGAUUACUAGUUGAGUGUGAAGGGGCAAAGCAACAUUGAUGAUUUAUUGUGGUUGAUAAUGGGGGUUGGCUAACAAACCUUACGUAGAAACUAUACCAUUCGCAGUCAAACCAUGAUCCCUGAAUUUGAAACGGGCAUAUAACGAUUUGCAAAAGAGAUAAUGGUGUUGGAUUCCCGGUGCAUAAUGCACAUGUAGACUCUAAUUUCCUGCGCACUAGGAUUGAACAUAGAGGAAAUCAUUGAAAAUGACCUAAUAAACCAUGUGUAUUUUCAAAGUAACCUUUGACUAGUUUUUAGAGAAAAAAAAAACGAAAAUUGAUUUUAAAGGUCAAAAUCCCAAAAGACCCUCAGACUGUCACUUUCUUGUUUGCUUAGAGUCGGCCAAAACCAAGGAAAAGCUACGGUCAAUUUCCAAUUGGUAGACGUUUUCAGUUCAUCUCCGGCGACCUUCUUCUUGUUAAAGUAAGCUUCGAGUUGUUAAUUAACUAGAUUAAUGUUUAGAUUUUCAUAUUGUGUGCGAAUGUUGAAUUUGUGAAGGUUUUUGGAAUGUAAUAUUGGUUAUGUAGGUGUAGAAUUAUGAAUAUGGGUCUAAAUUGGAGAAUAAUAGGUGGAUUUUGAGAUUUGCAAGUUUUUCUCGUUGGAAAUGGAGAUUUUUCGACGAAAAAAGCCGAAAAAAUGCAGGCUACGUUUGUAGCUGGCAUUUUGGGUAAAACCCGAUUGCGUUUGCAGCCGGCAUUUUGGGGAAAACCCGGCUGUUAACAGUCGGGUGCCCGACUGUUAACAGCCGAUUGGCCCAAUUGUCAUGGGGACUGUUUUUAUUUUUCAUGGGCUGAAGUGGGCCGACUGUUAUAGUCGGUCCAAUAACAAUUUUUUUUUAUUUGGGCUGAUUAACAGUCGUCCCAUUAUUUGGGUUGACUAUUUAGUCAGCCCAUUGACUGUUAAGCAGGCCGAAUGUUAUGGUUGGGUCGAUGCCUUUAUUUUUAUUUUUUUACUUUUUUCUUACAUAUAUUUAAGAAUUUCAUUUUAAAUCAUUUUAAUUAUUAGUUUUUAAUAAAUAAUAAUUUAUUUAUUUAUAAAAUUUAAAUGUGAUAUUUAAUUUGAAUAUUUAUUUUUAUUUCCUCAUUUUUGAUAAAUAAUAAUUUUUCAUUCUCGAAUUUAAUUAAUUUUUAUAAUUUUAAUAUUUAGUAAUUCUUUUAAUUUUAAAUUUAAAUUUCAUAUUUAGUUUUAUUAAUAGUUUUUAUAAAUAAUAUUCUUUUCGUUAAUCGAAUUUCAUUAAUUCUUGUCAUUGUAAUUUUGAGUAAUUAUUUAAUUUUAAAUUUCGUUUUUAUUUUUAUUAAUAGUUUUUUAUAAAUAAUAUUCUUUUCGUUAAUCGAAUUUCAUUAAUUCUUGCCAUUGUAAUUUUGAAUAAUUAUUUAAUUUUUAAAUUUCAUAUUUAUUUUUAUUAAUUGGGCUGAUUGUUAAUUGUAGACUGACUGUUAACAGUCUUAGGCCGACUGUUAACAGUCACACUAUUAACAGUUUAAUUUUUUAAAAAAUAUAUAUAUUUAAUUUUUUAUUUUUUAAAUAUAAUUUAUAAUUAAUUUAUUAAUAAUUAUGUUAUUUAUUUAUUUUUUUUAAUUGUCUUUUAUUUAUAUAAUUUAAUAAUUGAAUAUUAUCUGAAAGUAACAAUUUAUUUUCCAUGUUAUUUAUUUAAUUAAAAUUUUUUUUUGUAAAUAUAUUUUCCAAGUGUAAUAUACAAGAUUAAUUUUCUUUAUAAUUUUCAUUUGAUUAAAUAAUAAUUAUGUUAUUUAUUUAUUUAAUUUUUAUAUUCUUUAAUUUUUUAAAAUUUAUUUAAAUAAUAUUUAUAUUCUUUAAAUUUUUUUGAAAAUAUAUUUAAUCUUUAAUUUUUAACUUUUUGUAUUAUUUAAAUAUUAAUAAUUUCCUUUUGCUGAAAAUCUCAUUAAUUUGUAUUUUAAUUUAAUUAAUUAUUUUUAACAUUUGUAUUGAAUUUAUUUUGUUAUAGGCGUCAAGAAUUCGGUUCCCAUUGAUUUUUUGAGAUUAUGCGUUAUUAUAUUAUCUCUUGUUCAAUGUUCUAAUAUUUGAAUUUUUGCAGGAUAGAGUAUCAUUUAGAUGGGGAGUUGAGACGGAUGGCGGGGAAAGCUACUUGGAACAGUAGCUUUGAGAUUUUUACUGUUGUAUUGGAGAUGCUCAAUGAUCAUCAUGAAAAUAUGCUACGACAGUCCUUCUUGUGGGCACUGUACUAGAUGCGAGAGUUGCAGUACUCAGGACUAAUCAUCGAUGUACUUCUAUGUCAGCUUCUGAGGCCAGUCGACGGCGAUUCCCUCCACUUCGACCUCAGGGGCAAGGUCGUCAGUUUCUCGAUAUAUGAGUUUAGCUUGAUCACUGGACUGAAGAUUAUGGGCGAAGAUGCAGCCAUUGAGAGAAGUAAUAGGUUGUACAAGACGUACUUCUAGGGACAUGGGUCGGUGCAUCUACCCGAGUUGAUGGUUGCGAUCAGGGGGUACGACCAGAUGUUAGAUAGAUUGAAACUUGGGCUGGUCUACAUCCUCAAGAAUGUGAUGAGGUGUCAUCACAAGAAGAUUGCCAUCGACAUUUUUUCAUUUGCAAGUUGUUGACGACAUCGAUGCGUUCAACAACUAUCUAUGGGGCCGGAGAUGCUACGAAGACACCGUACAUGUGCAUGUGUUUAUUAAAUGAAUAAUUCAUACUUUUUUGGUGUUUCUUGAUGCAACACAUCGACCUGGCCAUGGACUUGCUACGAGAUCAAGCUCAAAGACAUCCAAAAUCAUUUGACGUCCAUGGUCGAGUCAUAUUAAACACCGAGUUCCUGCGUGCCGUUAUCAUAGAGUAUCAGUCGCUCCAACUUAUGAGUAACGAGUACACGGUGCUAGAAUAUAUGCUCAAGUGGGUCAUAUGAAUGUCGUCGAGUGUCGGGGGGGAAAUCAUGGGAGGGUUGUACACAUAUGUAUAUUCUAGCGUGCAUCAAUAAUCACUAUGUUACGCUGGAGAUCGUUUUUGCCGACACGACUAUAUAUGUGUAAGACGCAAAUCAUUCAUGUUUGACACAAGGCCAGCUGGAGCAAAACCUGGAGUCCGUAGCUGUAAUUGUUCCUAUGAUGGCCAGACGAGCGGGGAUGACUGUACAGGAUAGAUUGCGGAUUGUUCGGAACACGACAACAGUGUGACAGUCCAUAUAGUAAGUGUUUGAACUUUGUUAUUUUCAUUUUUUAGAUUUAGUUUUUAGCUACACAGUACUGAAUUGAUCCAUUCUUGUACAAUUGUAGCGACGACUGCGGCAUAUUUGUCAUUAAGUACGUUGAAUUUUUAAGUAUAGGACAUAAGGUUGAUGGAAUCAACCAAUUGUGGAUACAGAACUGGAGAAAGAAGCUAGCUUGUGAUUUGUUUUAAAUUUUAUGGUGACCCGUAAACUUGUAUUAAAUAUAUGUAACAUUCAAAUUGUAAAUUUAAUUAUUUUUUGUGAUUAUGAAAUAAUUGUAAAUUUGUGUUCAAUAUAUAUAACAUUCAUAUUGAAAAUUUAAUUAUUUUUUUGUAAGUUGAUUUUUUGUUAUUUUACACAUAUGCCGAGUAUGGAACUACUUUUUUCAUAUGAAUCAUUAUAAAUACCAUUUAUCAAGAAUAAAUAUUGAAUAUUGAACAUUUAUGAAGAACAAAUAUUGAACGGUGUAAAGUAAAUGAAAAUAUUAUUCAUUUAACGUACCUGUCUAAUUGUCAUUUAAGGGAAUUUGACUGGUACAAAAUUGCCCAGUAUGCCCUAUGGCUCUGCACCUGCCACACCUACGCGAUCGAGAAAACUCUCUGGUAGAUGGUAUUCUAGAUGUACUUGGACGUCCAGGACCAUGCGGUUCAACUACUGGUGACAACAAAUUAUGAAACGGGAGAAUGUGUUCGGGAACUUCCCACUCGACUUCAUUCGGCAGAGGAAAUAUAGUCUUAGCAUAUGCUGUUCUCCAAGACUCAGUCGUAUAAUACAAAGAGCAUAACGUUCUCGCAGCAAAGUCUCGAAUCAUGGCCACCGCAACUGCAUGCUCACAUGAAAAACUUUCCAACUGAAAUCUUGUACAAAUACAUAUGUUAUCAGUCAAGUCCACCAUAUAUGCCGUAUUACGUACACAUUGCACGAAGAAGCGAAACUUAUCUAGUGCUUCCACAUUCAACUUCCUCACAACCUCUGCCGCCUUAAAGAGUUUCUCCUCUUGAGCUGGGGCCAACACGCUAGUGCAACUCUGUGAUACCGCACGUCGAUUAUGAAACCACUGUUGCAGCUUGUUACGAAUGUGCUCAAUCAUUGCGAGAAUUGGUAACUCUCGAUCCUUCUUAAAUAAUUCAUUAAGAGACUCUGCGUUAUUCGACGUCAUCAUGUUGUAUCGACGUCCUGGAAAGUAUGAUCGCGCCCAAUGUUCUAUCCCCAUGUUCAUCAGAUACUUCAACUCCGGUAAUGAUUUACUUCCUAUCUCGAACAUGAACUUAUUACACUCUUCAACACCGAUACCUAGUUUUCAAAUUAUCUUGUAAAUGGUACAUGCAAUACCCGUGAUGCGCCUCGGGAAAAAUUUUAGUGAUACCGUUUAUUAUAGACUGUCCCCAAUUGGUUACAAAGGCAAGGUCUUCGACUUCCCCGAUCACUUUCUUCAGUUUAGAAAAGAACCAACGCAUGAACAGAUUAUUCUCGUUGUCACUAUGCUGAAUGCAAUAGGGUAAAUUUGGAUGUUGGCAUCUUGACAUGUAGCAAUAAUUAAUUUGCCUUGAUAUUUAGCUUUCAGAGUUGUACCAUCAACUAGAAUUACAGGUCGCAUUGCAUUUCGAAAACCCCAAAUACAUUGUCCGAAAGCCAUAAAGAAAUACGUAAAAUUAUUAUCGCCCCCCAUCUCAAUAAAAAAUGCCAUCUCAGGAUUAGUUGUCCCCAUGUUAUGACAAUACCUAGCCAAUUUAGCAUAGCUCUCCUCAGUCGAUCCCAUUAAAUCCUCCAACGCACAUUCUUUGGCCUUCCAGGCUUUCUGGUAGCUCAUGACCACUCUAUACUCUCAACCGACGUCGUUAAUGAUGUCUGAAGGUCUGUAAAUCGUCCGUGGGUCCUGAUACUUGUGCCUUAUCUGUCGACCAAUAAACCAUGCUCGAGCUUGCUUGUGAUCAUUUCGACAAAUUUCCAAUUCCCAAGUAUGUUCCCGUGCCUAUUUGCGAACUACAAAGCACUCAUUAUUGUCCAUCUUAGUCGCUCUCAAGCACCAAUUGCAAUUGUCAUCAACGCAGGCAACUGUCAACAAUGAUUUGGUUGAUUUCUUUACAUUGAAUUCAAAGUUAUAUUUUAAUGUCAUUCGGUGCACAACUUCCUGCAAAUCUUUCUUGGUUUCAAAUAGUUGUUCAACAUACAAAUCCUCAUCAUCAGGAGCCACACGGGAAAAAUUGGAGGACGGUCCACUUGUUCCACUCCUUGAGCUCCCACCCCGCUCAGAUCUCUGUCGGGAUAAAGUAAUUAAAAUUUCAUUUGUAAAAUCAUUUAUAUUUUCGUUGUCCUCAACUGUCGAUGGAAUUCUAUGCGUAAUAAUGGCUUCACGAUCAGUAGCAAUGGUUUCGCGAAUAACCACAUCAUCUGCAAGAAUUAUCUCCACUGUCUCCCAAAAAUCUCGAUCAUUAUUAUCUGCUCCAUCUGAAUCUUCGCGUUCACCUUCGACAACAUCAUUCUUAACUAAAGUCACGCCAAGAGCAGUCGGAGUCCUAUGCAUUUUAUUCAAUUCUAAUCGAUAAUUCAAUCCAACAUCAUUAAAUAUAGGUGGCAUCGGAAUGGACGAAUCCCCAUAACCAUGGAAUAAAUAUCUCAGUUGCAUAUUGUACUGAGAAGGAUCGACAUUCAACUUAUUUUACAAAUCCUGGUACACUUUCGCGCCGCAUAUGAUGUACUCUCUGUUACGGGAAUUGCAAUACAGCCACAUACAUCACUCGUCCAUCUCCAUUCCCAUCUAUUAUUUUCAUUCAGUUCGAAAUCACCGAAAUAACAAAUCGAGAUUAUCAUAUCUAUAUGACUAUAUAGAAUUUUUAAAUCAAUUACAAUAACAAAAAUUCAGAUAUUUAAUCAACUUGUAAUUAAAAUUAUAAGACAAUUGUCAAAAGAGAAAUUAUAAUAUAAAAAAAAUUCGUAAAACAAUCGGGAAAAACGGCCGACUGUGGACUGUUUUACAGCCGACUGUCAAUUCGACUGUUUAACAACCGACUAACAGUUGGCUGUCGACUGUUAGAUAGCCGACUGUCUAACAACCGUCGGUCAACUAUUAGAGAGUCGUCUAACAGCUGACUGUCGGCUGUUAGACAGUCAGCUGUCUGCUGUGUAACAUUUUUCGUUAACAUCCCACAGUUAAUCGCCGGAUUGUUUAUUUUGCGUAUGACUUUUUAUUUUUCUAUAGUUCUAAAGAAAAAAAUUAUAGAUCUGUUAAAAUUUUUUUUUACUAACUACUGUGUUAUUUAACUACUCAAACGUACACUAAUUUACUGAAAUCGAAAUUAAGCAUGGGUAAAAAUAUACUUACCGAUUUGAAGUAAUUGAUCUGAAAAAAGUUCUGACUUCGACGUUUGAAGUUUUUUGAUAUUUUGAGGUUCAAGCAGAUGAAAAAUGAGAGUUUUUCUGUGUUCGAAGCUCGUUCUGCAGUUUUAUAAAUGGGGUAGUAUUUGGUUUUCAAUUAUUAACUAAAAGGCUAAUAAUGUCUUUAAAACUAUCCAAUAUUUUGUAAUUAUAUAAUAUAUUUAAGGGCAUCUCUGUCUUUUACCAUUCAAGAGGUUAAUGCGAUAAUUUUCAAGUUUUCAAAAGUCAAAGUGGAAAUAAGGGUCUUUGACUAGGUCAAUUUUAAAAAUACCCCAUUGAACAUAGCUGCUUUAAAUGUCCCAUUACAAGAGAACAAAAACUCCCAGAAUCAUCUACAAAUUUAAAGAAGUUAAAUUUGGGUCUGCGAAUUCUUUAAAGGAAAUACCAUAUGCAAGAGCCAAUAACAAGGCUCAAACACAGAUCCAACCCCGAUUUUGCCCUAAUUGGCAUUGGCGACUAGCUGUGACGAUUGACAUUGCAGAUUUGACGACGAUUGACAUUGCAGAUUUUUCAGAUCAAUUACUUCAAAUCGAUAAGUAUAUUUUUAUACAUGCUUAAUUUCUAUUUCAGUAAAUUAGUGUGCAUUUGUGUAGUUAAAUAAUAGAGAAGUUAGUAGAAUUUUUUUUUUAACAUAUCUAUAAUUUUUUUUCUUUAAAACCAUAGAAAAAUAAAAAUUCAUACGCAAAAUAAAUAGUCCCACCAUUAACUGUGGGAUGUUAACGAAAACUGUUAGAUAGUAGACAGCAGACUGUUAAAAGACUUUCUAACAGCCGCCAGACGACUGUCUAACAAUCGACCGACGACUGUUAGACAGUCGGCUGUCUAACAGCUAGGGCUGGGCAAAUCUCCCGAACCGAACCGAUCGAACCGAACCCGAACCAAACUGAACUGAACGCAACGGUUCUUGUCAAAUUAAAUACCCGAACGGGUGUCUAAAUUGAGAACCGACGGGUACAGUUUGAUUCCCGGUUCUAGACCGAGAACCGAAGAACCGAAUAAGAACCGAAUCUUUCUAAUUUUUUUUAUAUUGAGUAAAUCAAAUUAUUUUAAUUUUAAUUUUUCUAAACAAAUUAACAAUUUCUAAAUCCAAAAUUUUGACCCAAUAAUUUGUUUCAUUUCUAAUUUUUUAAUUUUUGGCCCAAUUACCCAUUUUAUUGUAUCAUUUCUUAGCCCAACAAAAUCCAAUCCACUAAAUAACUCUAAACACCUACAAUAAAGUGCAUAACGUUGUUUCGACUCUCGCACUCACUCUCGUAACCUCGCUAACAUUCCAAAACCUAUACAAUCGUCGGCCGACGCUGUGACCUCCGAUCGAAGCUGUGACAUCUGCUGACCGAAGCUUUGACCGUAGCGAUCAUUUGAACAAUAUAGUAUACUACUCUCUGACAUUCCAAAAACCAUUGAAUGUAAGUAUUUUUAUAAUGUUGUUAUAAAUGUUAAAAAAUUUAAUUAUAGUACAGAACCAAAUGGAAUCGAACCGAACUUAAUCUAACGGAACCAAACCCGAACGGUUCCAUAAUUAUAUUUGAACCUGACGGUUCCAUUUACUAGAUACCUGAAAAUUUCGGUUCGGUUUGAUUCUCUUUAGAACCGAACCGACCCGCACCCACCCUACUAACAGCCGAUAGCCGACUAACAGUUGGCUGUUUUUCCUGACUGUUUUACGAAUUUUUUUAUUAUAAUUUCAGUUUGGCGAUUGUCUUAUAAUUUUAAUUACAAGUUGAUUAAAUAUCUGAAUUUUUGUUGUUGUAAUUGAUUUAAAAAUUCUUUAUCAUUAUGGAGAUAUGCUAAUCCCGGUUUGUUAUUUCGGUGAUUUCGAACUGAACGAAAAUAAUAGAUGGGAAUGGAGAUGGAUGAGUGAUGUAUGUGGUUGUAUUGCAAUUCCCGUAACAGAGAGUACAUCAUAUGCGAAAGUGUACCAGGAUUUACAAAAUAAGCUGAAUGUCAAUUUUUCUCAGUGCGAUAUGCAACUGAGAUAUUUAUUCAAUGGUUAUGGGGAUUCGUCCAUUCCGAUGCCACUUAUAUUUAUUACUUAUGAUGCUGAAUUGAAUUAUCUAUUAGAAUUGAAUAAAAUGCAUAGGACUCCGACUGUUCUUGGUGUGACUUUAGUUAAGAAGGAUGUUGUCGAAGGUGAACGCGAAGAUUCAGAUGGAGUGGAUAAUAAUGACUGAGAUUUUUGGGAGACAGUGGAGAUGGUCCUGCAGAUGAUGUGGUUAUUCCCGAGACAGUUGCUACUGAUUCUGAAGUUACUGUUACGCACAAAAUUCCAUCGACGGCUGAGGACAACAAAAAUAUAAUUUACAAAUGAAAAUUUAAUUGCUUUAUCCCGACAGAGACCUGAGCAGGUGAGAGCUCAGGGGAUGGAAAAAGUGGACCGUCCUCCAAUUCUUCAUGUGUGGCUGCCGAUGAUGAGAAUUUGUAUGUUAAGCAACUAAGAUUUGUAGGAAGCUGUGCACCGGAUAGCAUUAAAAUAUAACUUUGAGUUCAAAGUAAAGAAAUCAACCAAGUCAUUGUUGACAGUAGGCUGCGUUGACGAUAAUUGCAAUUGGCGCUUGAGAGCAACUAAAAUGGACAUGAAUGAGUGCUUUGUAGUUCGUAAAUAUGUAUGGAAACAUACUUGUGAAGUGGGAAUUUGUCGAAAUGAUCACAGGCAAGCUCGAGCAUGGUUUAAUGGUCGACAGAUAAUGCACAAGUAUCAGAACCCACGGACAAUCUAUAGACCUUCGAAUAUUAUUAACGACGUCCGUUGAGAGUAUGGAGUGGUCAUGAGCUACCAGAAAACCUGGAAGGCCAAAAAAUGUGCGUUGGAGGAUUAAAUGGGAUCGGCUGAGGAGAGCUAUACUAAAUUGGCCAAGUAUUGCCAUAACAUAAGGACAGCUAAUUCUGACACGGCAUUUUUUAUUGAGACGGGGGGGGGGGGCGAUAAUUGUUUUAAGUAUUUCUUCAUGGCUCUCGGACAAUGUAUUUGGGGUUUUUGAAAUGCAAUGCGACCCGUAAUUCUAGUUGAUGGUACAACUCUGAAAGCUAAAUAUCAAGGCAACUUAAUUAUUGCUACAUGUCAAGACGCCAACAUCCAAAUUUAUCCUAUUGUAUUCGACAUAGUCGACAUCGAGAAUGAUCUGUCCAUGUGUUGGCUCUUUUCUAAAUUGAGGGAAGUGAUCGGGGAAGUCGAAAACCUUGCCUUUGUAACCGAUUGGGGACAAUCUAUAAUAAACAGUAUCGCUGAAGUUUUUCUCGAGGCACAUCACGGGUAUUGCAUGUAUCAUAUACAAGGUAAUUUGAAGACUAGGUAUCGGGGCAAAGGCAUCGUUUCAUUGUUUAGAAGAGCAGCCAAAGCUUACAGUGCUGAAAAGUGUAAUAAGUUCGUGUUCGGAUAGGAAGUAAAUCAUUACCGGCGUUGGAGUAUCUGACGAACAUGGAGAUCGAACAUUGGGCGCGGUCAUACUUUUCAGGACAUUGACACAACAUGAUGACGUCGAAUAACGUGGAGUCUCUCAAUGCAUUGUUUAAGAAGGAUCGAGAGUUAUCAAUUCUCGCAAUGAUUGAGAACAUUUGUAACAAGCUACAACAGCGGUUUCAUGACCGACGUGUGGCAUCACAGAGUUGCACUAGCGUGUUGGCCCCAGCUCAAGAGGAGAAACUCUUUAAGGCAGCAGAUGUUGGGAGGAAGUUGAAUGUGGAAGCACUAGCUGAGUUCCACUUCUCCGUGUAAUGUGCACGUAAUACGAUAUAUAUGGUGGACUUGACUUAUAACACAUGCACUUGUACGAGAUUUCAGUUGGAGAGUUUUCCAUGUGAGCAUGUAGUUGCGGUGGCCAUGUAUCGAAGCUUUGCAGCGAGAACGUUAUGCUCUUUGUAUUAUACGACUGAGCCUUGGAGAACAGCAUAUGCUGAUACUAUAUUUCCUCUGACAAAUGAAGCCGAGUGGGAAGUUCCCGAGCACAUUCUCCCGUUUCAUAAUUUGUUGCCACCAACAGUUGAACCACGUGGUCCUGGACGUCCAAGUACAUCUAGAAUACCAUCUACCAGAGGGUUUCCUCAACCGCGUAGGUGUGGCAGGUGCAGAGCCAUAGGGCAUACUGGACAAUUUUGUACCAGUCAAAUUUCCCUAAAUGACAAUUAGACAGGUACGUUAAAUGAAUAAUAUUUCUGUUUACUUUACACUGUUCAAUAUUUGUUUUUCAUAAAUGUUCAAUGUUUAGUAUUUAUUCUUGAUAAAUAGUAUUUAUAAUGAUUCAUAUAAAAAAAUAGCUCCAUACUCGGCAUAUGUGUAAAAUAACAAAAAAUCAACUUACAAAAGAAUAAUUAAAUUUCCAAUGUGAAUGUUAUAUUUAUUAAACACAAAUUUACAAUUAUUUCAUAAUCACAAAAAAUAAUUAAAUUUACAAUUCGAAUGUUACAUAUAUUUAAUAUAAAUUUAUGGGUCACCAUUAAAUUUGAACAAAUCACAAGCUAGCUUUUUCUCCAGUUCUGUAUCCACAAUUGGUUGAUUCCAUCAACAUUACGUCCUAUACUUAAAAAUUUAAGGUACUUAAUGGCAAAUAUGCCGCAGUCACUGCUGCAAUUGAAUAAGAAUGGAUCAGUUCAGUACUGUGUAGCUAAAAACUAAAUCUGAAAGAUGAAAAUAAUAAAGUUCAAACACUUACCUUAUGGACUGUCGCGCUGUUGUCGUGUUUCGAACAAUCCGCAAUCUGUCCUGUACAGUUAUCCCCACUUGUAUGGCCAUUAUAGGAACAAUUACAAUUACGGACUCCAGGUUUUGCUCCAGCUGGCCUUGUGUCAAACAUGAAUAAUUUGGGUCGUAGACAUAUAUAGUUAUGUUAGCAAAAACGAUCUCCAGCGUAACAUAGUGAUUAUUGAUGCACGUUGGAAUGUACAUAUGUGUACAACCCUCUCAUGAUUUUCCCCCGACAUUUGGUGACAUUCCUAUGACCCACUCGAGCAUAUAUUCUGGCACCGUGUACUCGUUAUCCAUAAGUUGGAGCAACUGAUACUCUAUGGUAACGGCACGCAGGAACUCGGUGUUUAAUAUGACUCGACCACGGACGUCAAAUGAUUCUGGAUGUCUUUGAGCUCGAUCUCGCAGCAAGUCCAAGGCCAAGUUGAUGUACUGCAUCAGGAAACACCAAAAAAGUAUGAGUUAUUCAUUUAAUAAACACAAAGUGACGUGUACAUAAAAAACACGAAAUGAAUAGUUCACUUACAUCGUCGGUGAGUCAAGCUCCCGAAGUGGUGAUAUCGUGGAACCACUUGUAAGCGUCCGAGACCGUCGUUUGACCUAUCGUGCGGCUAACUCUGAAAAAAAGGGAAAUGUUAAAAUAUGCAUAGACGAGUUAGCGUAUAGUGCUUUGUUAAAAUCAUACAAUACUUACCCGGGGAUAAUUCUCCUCCACUCCAUCUCGAACGCUUUCCACUAGGCGUUGUCCACCUCUUUGAAUAAGUUCGGAUGCGUCCCAUCGAUGAACGUCCUCCUCUUGGCCUCAGUCGUAAAGGGGAAAACAACAUACUGUGAUGACACUCUCAACCUCUUGCCGACCACCUGCUCCGUUUCAUCAACAGCAUGUCUCUUACCCUCAAUCACGAUGGGCGUCCUCUCGACCUCCGGGGCCACCUUCUCCGUCCCUCCCAUUGGGGCCACCCCCUCUCCCUCCAUAGGCAACCACAAUGAUUAUAAUGUCUUAUCACGCCAAAAAUGUGGGUGACCCCCUUUCCAUCACCACUCUGCCACCCUCUCGAUCAUCAUCUCCACCAUCCCCUCUGUCCCCCCAUCGCCUACCGGCUAAAUCUCCUCUAGGUGCCACUACCGUAUCCUGAAGAUCGACAACGCAAGACCGUAGCAUUCCAACAUCAUGGGAUAGAUCGUCAACCCUCUCUGUCAACUCUCGUCCCAUAUCAUCGAUCUUCCCUAUCAGAUAAUCGACCUUCCCAGUCAGAUCGUCGACCUUCCUUGUCAACUCUCUUCCCAGAUCAUCGACCCUCUCCGUCAACUCUCGUCGUAGCGCGCCGACCUCCUCCACUAUAAAUCCAGUCAAACAGGCAUACAAAUCAUCACUGUGUGUCAGAGAUACACGGGGGAGGUGUCUGGACGAGGGAGAAGGAGAUACCCUCGGCGGUGGCGAUGCCAAUGGCGGCGGCGAUGCCCUUAAUGGAGGUGAUGCCAAUGGCGACGACGAUGCUCUUGGGGGAGGUGAUGCCAAUGGUGGUGGUGAUACCCUCGGCGGAGGUGAUCAUCGAUCAACUGGACUGCCCUCCUACAUAAAUAACAUUAAAAAUUAUUCAAUAAAUUUAUAGGUCGACGAUAUUCAAUAAAUUAUAUUUAAUUCAUAUACCCAAUCUCGGUCUAGGUUUGGAUCAGACAUCUCCUCGUCUUGGGUCUGCGGAAUGCCUAAAUCUCGCACAAGACCCCGAGCCUCCUCUUCCAUCGAUGACGUCAACUCAAGUAUGACUUCAAGCUGACAUAUUGACAUUUCAACUAAUUAACGAUCAUGUAAACAUAUUUUAAACUACGCAUAAUAUAAAUCACAAAUGCAUAAUACUUACCUGAGGAUCAUCGAAGAAAGUCGAUAAUUGUUUCCCAGUGGGGCAUCCGUCUGCUCGCGAUGAUCUCCAAUGAUGCAUCUGAGGGCAUCGUGUCUCUCCUCGCUUCGCAAAGCGGGCCCCUAGUACAGGGACUAUCUCAUACACCCAAAUCUGCAACACAUACACUUAUUAUGCGUAAAUAUAAUAUACUAAAACUUUAACUUUAAUUAUAUUAAACAUUUAUCUGUACCGCUAAGGGCAAUCCAUAUGUAUCGUAUUUACACAUUGACCCCUUGGGCCUCGAGUGUGAUUUGGUGAAAACAUGUAAGGUGUCUUUGCAGUAUCUCCGACCCCAUGGAUAGUUGUUGAACGCAUCGAUAUCGUCAACAACUUGCAAUUGAAAAAUGUCGAUGGCAAUCUUCUUGUGAUGACACCUCAUCAUACUCUCGAGGAUGUAGACCAACCCAAGUGUCAAUCUAUCUAGCAUCUGGUCGCACCCCCUGAACGCGACCAUCAACUAGGGUAGAUGCACCCAUCCAUGUCCUUGGAAGUACGUCUUGUACAGCCUAUUUCUUCUCUCAAUGGCUACAUCGUCGCCAAUAAUCCUUAGUCCAGUAAUCAAGCUAAACUCAUACAUCGAGAAACUGACAACCUUGCCCUCGAGGUCGAAGUGGAAGGAAUCGCCGUCGACUGGCCUCAGAAGCCAACACAGAAGUGCAUCGAUGAUCUGUCCUGAGUACUGCACCUCUCUCAUAUGGUACAGUGGCCACGAGAAGAACUGUCAUAGCAUAUCUCCGUGAUGAUAUCGAGCAGCUCCAACACAGCAGUAAAACUCUCAAAGCUACUAUUCCAAGUAGCUUUCCCCGCCAUCCGUCUCAACUCCCCAUCUAAAUGAUACUCCAUCCUGUAAAAAUUCAAAUGUUAGAACAUUGAACAAGAGAUAAUAAAAUAACGCAUAAUCUCAAAAAAACAAUGGGAACCGAAUUCUUGACGCUAAUAACAAAAUAAAUUCAAUACAAAUGUAAAAAAUAAUUAAUUAAAUUAAAAUACAAAUAAAUGAGAUUUUCAGCAAAAGAAAAUUAUUAAUAUUUAAAGAAUACAAAAAAGUUAAAAAUUAAAGAUUAAAUAUAUUUUCAAAAAAAAUAAAGAAUAUAAAUAUUAUUUAAAUAAAUUUAAAAAAAAUUGAAGAAUAUAAAAAUUAAAUAAAUAAAUAACAUAAUUAUUAUUUAAUCAAAUGAAAAUUAAUCUUGUAUAUUACAUUUGGAAAAUAUAUUUACAAAAAAAUUUAAAAUUAAAUAAAUAACAUGGACAAUAAAUUGUUACUUUCAGAUAAUAUUCAAUUAUUAAAUUAUAUAAAAAAAGACAAUUAAAAAAAUAAAAAAAUAAAUAACAUAAUUAUUAAUAAAUUAAUUAUAAAAUAUAUUUAAAAAAACUAAAUAUAUAUAUAUUUUAAAAAAUUAAACUGUUAACAGUCUGAUUAUUAACAGUCGGCCCAAGACUAUUAACAAUCUACUAUUAACAGUUAACAGUCGGCCCAAUUAAUAAAAAUAAAUCUAAAAAUUAAAAAUUAAAUAAUUAUUCAAAAUUUCAAUGAUAAGAAUUAAUGAAAUUCGAUUAAUGAAAAGAAUAUUAUUUAUAAAAAAUUAUUAAUAAAAAUAAAAACGAAAUUUAAAAUUCGAUAAUUAUUCAAAAUUACAAUGACAAGAAUUAAUGAAUUUCGAUUAACAAAAAGAAUAUUAUUUAUAAAAAAAACUAUUAAUAAAACUAAAUAUGAAAUUUAAAUUUAAAAUUAAAAGAAUUAUUAAAUAUUAAAAUUAUAAAAAUUAAUUAAAUUCAAGAAUGAAAAAUUAUUAUUUAUCAAAAAUGAGGAAAUAAAAAUAAAUAUUCAAAUUAAAAUUUAAAUUAAAUAUCACAUUUAAAUUUUACAAAUAAAUAAACUAUUAUUUAUUAAAAACUAAUAAUUAAAAUUAUUUAAAAUGAAAUUCUUAAAUAUAAGUAACUAAAAAAUAAAGGCAGUGGGCCGACCGUAACAAUCGGACCGCUUAACAGUCAAUGGGCUGACUAAACAGUCAGCCCAAAUAAUGGGCCAACUGUUAAUCAGCUCAAAUUAAAAAAAAAAAUAUUAUUGGGCCGAGUCAUGGGCUGAUUGUUAGUCAGUCCAUGACAAUUGGGCCAACUGGCUGUUAACAGUCGGGUGAUUAGGCACCCGACUGUUAACAGCUGAGUUUUCCCCAAAAUGCCGGCUGCAAACGCAGUCGGCAUUUUUUCCGGCUUUUCUCCUCGAAAAAUCUCUAUUUUCGGCGAGAAAAGCUUGCAAAUCUCGAAAUCCACAUAUUAUUCUCCAAUUUAGACUCAUAUUCAUACUUCUACACCUACAUAAUCAAUAUUACAUUUCAAAAACCUCCACAAAUUCAACAUUCACACACAAUAUGAAAAUUAAAACAUUAAUCUGGUUAAUUAACAACUCGAAACUCACCUUAACAAGAAGAAGGUCGCUGGAGAUGAACUGAAAAUGUUUACCGAAUAGCUUUUCCCUGGUUUUAGCUGACUGUAAGCAAAUGGGAAAGUGACCGUCUGAUGGUAUUUUGGGAUUUUGACCUUUAAAAUCAAUUUUCGUUUUUUUUCCUCUAAAAACUGGUCAAAGGCUACUUUGGAACUACACAUGAGUUAUUGGGUCAUUUUCAAUGAUUUCCUCCCCUUUCCUCGUGUUUUCAAAUUUCUACUUCCGAUUUGUACCUUUUUUUUUCUAAUUGACAAAUUAAUUAUAAGUACGUUUAUAGAUAGUAAAUAGAAUAAUUUAAUUUAUAAUUUCUGAUUGGUUAAAAUUUGUAUAUUUUAUUCGAAAGAAUCAUUCAAUUAACUCUAAUAUAUUUUUCCAACUGAAAUUGUCUAAUUUUAGUUCGAAAAAUUUUAAUAUAGUUUCAGUUUAUUAUUUUCAUAUUACCAAUAGAAUUUUAUCAUUAAAAUUUUUUAAUUUAUUUUUUAGGAUUUUGGUUAUUUUGUAAAUUAAAGUUUUAAAAUAAUCUUUAAUUAAUAGUUAGGAUUGAUUGAAAUUAAACGUAUGCUGAAUUUUUAUUUUUAGUUUUGUUCUUUUUUACAACAAGCAAAAAAUAUUGCAAAUCCUUGUUGCAAAACACACUUGCUCGCAACAUUUAAUGAUUGUUGCAAAAGGUUAUAUAGUAAGAAUUUCAACAAUAUGUACUGAACAUUGUUAUAGAACAAAAUUUUAACAAGUUCAAAAAAAAAAAAAAAAAAGAAUUAAAACUUUUACAACAUUCAAAGAACGUUACAAAAAGCUAUAUAUUAAGAGUUUCAACAACGGUUAUUGAAUGUUGUUAUAGAACUAUAUUUUUACAACAUUCAUUAAAUGUUGUGAAAAAUUAAACUUCUUACAACAUUCAAGAAACGUUGAAAAUGGUAAUAUUGACAAAAUGCAAUUAAAAAAAAUAUUGCCAAAGCUUAAUUAAGUUAAUCAAUGGCAUUAUUCACUUAUUAAAAUGUUGCGAUAGACCCAUUUAGCAACAUUCAAUUCACGAGUGUUGCCUUUUGAGUAUCUUAGGGAAGGAUUAGGGAUACAAUAGUAAUAAUUUCUAGAGUUACAGGAGUACAAUUGUCAUUCACGAAUAAACUUACCAUGUACAACAAAAUGGUCUUUUUUUUUUUCCUUCAAUGUGCUCCUAAAAAGGUUUUUAUUGAUAGCAACAAGGUAAGUCGGACGUUCUCUUUUUUAAAUUUUAAGAGGCAGUAAGGAUAUUUUGAUCUUCAUUUUUCGUCCCAUUUAUUUAUUUAUUUAUUUACUUAUUUAUGUAUUAUUAUCUGUUUAAAUUUAAAUUAUAUUCAAAAAAAAUUUUUAAAAAAAUAUUAUGAGUCAUGGAUGGGUCUGUGACAGAGAUCAUGUUUCCCAAGCCCAUCCCUAAUAGGGAUUAUAGAAUUCCUGACCUUCGAUCCACAUCAUGCCCUGUCCCACAUUGUCCUACCUUGAAUAGUAAAUGGGGCGGGAUGCAUAACCUAUAGUCCCUAGUUUCGAAUUUUUAGUACUAUCUCUGAAUCAUUUUUGAUUAAUAUACUUUAUUUUAUUCUUAUGUUCUUCAUUUAAAUCAUAUUAAAAAAUAAAUAAAUAAAUAAAAUGACGAAUGAUGGUUUUUAUGUCUCAACCUACCCUACAUUCUGAAAAUUCGAAACGAAACAAGAAUGAUAUGAUAGCUCCUAUCCAUUGUUAUCCUUAAUUUCAAAUUUCCCGUUGGGCGGAGUAACUUGAAACUGGCGUUUUGUUAAAGAUUUCCUCAAAUAAUUUAGCAGAAAAUAAAAACAAUGAAAAAUAAAUCCACUUUAAAAUAGGGUCAUCUCUAAAAGAUAAAUGUAUUCUCCAUUGAUUCCCAUUUUUCACUUGAAACUCAUCUCUGUAGGAAGGCUAUGAUCCAAUCCAACCUUAAAAUUUCUCAAAUUAUAUUAAAAAAAAAAAUCACCGUACCUUAACUCUACAAAUAAAGUAGAGUUAACUCUACAAAUAAAGUGGAGUGUUGCCCAAAUAUCCAUGGCAGCAGCUACGCAGAGGCAACACUGAUGGUUCGCAGAUGGUGCAACCACAAAGGGCCUCGACAUUAUAGGGACACCAAAAAAUUUUAUUUGUAUAAUAAUUUUAAAAUUUUAAUUUUUUUUAUUAAAAGGACCAUGUUUUAAAAUAUCACACAGGACACCCAAAAUAUUAAGGUCAACCCUACAUCUAAGUACUGCUAUGCAACUUCUCCAUUUCCUAGGUAUUUGAUCAAUAAAAAUAGGGAAUGUGGCUCAAGGGAGUGACAAAAUUAUUAAUAAGAUGAGGCAAAUUAAAGAAACAAACAAAUGUAGGAAGUUGAAAUCUACUUAAGAAACAAAAUGUACUUUCCUAUUAGCCGGAAGGGACAAUAUGACAGAUACCAAAACAAGGCAAUAGCUUAAGAGAUUCAUAGAUUACAUAAUUAUAAGCCAGAAAAAAAUAAACAUUGAUGAUUUAUUGUAGUUGAUAAUGGGGGUUGACUAACGAACCUUAUGUAGAAACUAUAUCAUUCGCAGUCAAACCAUGAUCCCUGAAUUUGAAACGGGCAUAUAACGAUUUGCGAAAGAGAUAAUGGUGUUGGAUUCCCAGUGGAUAACGCACAAGAAGAAUCUGAUUUCCUGCGCACUGGGAUUGAACAUAGCUGCUUUAAAUGUCCCAUUACGAGAGAACAAAAACUCCUAGAAGCAUCUACAGAUUUGAAAUUUGAAGGAGUUAAAUUAGGGUAUGCAAAUUCUUUAAAGGAAAAACCAUAUGCGAGAACCAAUAAUAAGGCUAAAACACACAGAUCUAAUCCAGAUUUUGCCCUAGUCGGCAUGGGUGACUAGCUGUGACAAUUGACUUUGCAGAUUUGACGGCGAGGGGAAAUACAUGAAAUUGACCCAAAUAAAAGAGGCUCUUUUCUAAAAUGGCCCUUGUCUUUUCCAAACAUUUGGAGCUACCUAAAAUACCCUUAGACAAACAUUAAAAACAACCUAUUUCAUAAUAAAAAUCUUCUAUCUAAGUCCUUAAAAAAUUAACAAGUAAUUUUUCUAAAAAUUUGAAAGAAUUAUUAAUCUUUAUGAAUAAUUAUAAAAUGAAAAAACCCAAAUAUAAGAGAGGACCAUAUAAUAUAAAAAAGGUUGUUAAAAAUAAAAAAGAAAUUAAGAUUGGAAAAGAAAUUGAUAAGAUAGGAUAUCAAGAACAAUUAUAUGCAUCACAAGAAGUAUUAAAGUGUUUCAAAGAAAACUUAUUAGAAAAUUUUGCUAAAAGAAUUGUAAGAUCAAUAAUUAUAAAAGAUAUACAAGGUAUCAUAGAUAAAUUAGAAAAAAGGAAGAAAAAUAUCUUAAAAUACGAUAUACCUUUUAGAACAGACAUAGAUAUGAUAAUAGAUGUUGAUAUUAUAAAUUCUCAGACAUUACUAGACUUUGAAGAAUUACUUAAAAAUUUAUGAGAAGGCCAAUAAAAAAUAGAUUACCACAAAGAAUUUUUAGAAUAUUAGAUUUUUGUUCGCUCAUAGUAGCAUCAUCCCGUUGGUAUCAGAGCCAUAGAGAUCAUGAGAAAAUUAUAAAAAUAAAUUACCUAAAAAUAUUGAAAAUAAAUAAAAUUUAUGAUUUUUGAAAUUAUUGAAACUUAUAAAAAUAGACUAAGGUAUCAAGUAAAAUAUAGUUCUAAUAUAAAAGGCUAUAUAGAAGAAGAUAAUAUAGUUGGAACAUAUAGUAAAGACAUAAAAGAAGUAUUAGAAAUUUUUAGAGUAAUUAAAAAUUUACCUUUAGAACUAAAAGAAAAAAUAAUUAAAAAGAUAUUAUUUGAAGAAUAUAAGCAUAUAUAUAUAUUAGAAGAAAUCCAGAGUGAAAUAGAUUUCAUAGUAAUCUAAAAAAAAUAUAUUUUAUUAUGGAAAUCAUAAAAAUAAAUAAUUAUUAUUAAUGUAUUGAAGAAAAAGGAUGUUAUAUAUUUUUCAACCCUAUCCCUAAUAAAUUAAAAAUAAUAACAUUAUAUGUAACUAGGAAUUUACCUAGAGAAAUAAAGGAACAAAUAUUAUAUAAAUUAAUUGUAGGAUUUAUCAAAGAUAGACGUACAUAUGAAAUAAUUAUCGAAGUAUUUGAAAAUGAAUUAUACCAUAGAGAAAUAUUUGAAUCAUCAUAAAGUAUAAUGGAAGAAACUAAAAAUAUUUUGGAAAGAAAGUUAAGAAGAAUAAGAUUAAUAAAUAAUAAAAUUUGAGAUGAAUUAUUAAUACCUGAAGAUAUAACUAAAACUCAAGAAAAACAAAUAUUAAAAUUAAAACAAGAAAGGUAUAAAGAAAAAGCAAGGUAUUAUGAAAAAUUAAAAGAAUUAACAAAUAUUAAAGUUAUAAAACAAAAGUAUGAUAAAAUGAUAAGAGAUUGUAAAAAUGCUGAGUAUAUAGCAUUUUAUUAUUGUCAAUCAAAAAAUCGAUAAAAGAAAAUGUCAAUCAGUGAACAUAUGGAAGAAUUAAAACAUUUAAUAAGAACAUUAAUAAAUGAUGUACAAGAAAUAAAGAAUGAAAUAAAAGAAGCAAGAAAUGAUAUAAAUAUAUUAAAACUUGAAGUUAGAAAAUUAAAAGAAAAUGAAGAAAAGAAUAAUAGGAUAGAUAAAAAAAUUUAUAGAAAAAGAAAUAACCAGAAUAUGAAAAAAACAUAUUGAAAGAGAAAAUAUAAUAAUAGAAACAGGAAGCAUGGAUGAUGAGUUUAGAAAAAAUAUAUUACCUAAAAUAUUAGAAGAAAAUGAAUCUAGAGAAAAAAUGUUAAGUAAACAAAAAAUUAAAGAAAAUCAAGAUAAAGAAAAUGAAUGAAGAAUUAGAUCUACUUAUAGAUAAUUUUGAUCAUUUAAGUUUAGAAAGUAUAGAUGAUGAAUACCAAAAUCUGAAUGAAUACUGGAGGAGGGCCUAAUCCCGUAAGAACCUCUAAACAAGAAUUAAUAGAUCCAAAUGAAAGUUAUGCUCUGAUGUAUAAUAAAUCAUAUAGACAAUUUUAUGAUAAGAUAAGAGAUAAACAACUGUCUAAAGGAAAUAAAUAUAGUAAUAGAUUUGAAUUAAAUAAUAAUUAUGAUAAACCUGUUAACCAUGGAGGAACAAAAUUAGACUUAGAUUGUAAAAUAGAUACUAAGAAAGUUUUAAUAACUUGGGCAGACUCAAUGAUAUUAUUCUUUUUAUAUAAUAAAGAUGAUACAUGGAAAAAUACUAAAAGAAGAAUAGAUUUUUUAAUUGCAUCUUUUGAAAGAAAUGUUAGAAAUUGGUGGGAAUGAAUUAGUAGUGAUACAAAAUUAUUAAUAAAAAGAAAUGUACAAACAGAAAUAAUAAAGUCAGAUAAACUAGGAAUAGAAAGAUUAGUAGAAUAUAUUGCAAAUGAAUUCUUAGGAGAAAAUUGGUUAAGAAAUUAUGAAGAAGAAACAAUACGAGAAAAAGAUAAUGCAAGAGUUAAGUUAAUUAAUUUAACAAUUUGUGAUAUGUGUAAAAUUAAAUAAUAUACUUGUGAAUUCAAGGAUUACUAUUAUAUUCAAUUUUAUAGUAAUGAGAAUCAAGAAAUAUAUCAAGAUAUGUAUUACAAUAAAUUACUAGGAUCAUGGGGAAUAUAUUUUAAAAUAGAAUUUGAAAAAUAUAUUAAAGAAAAUAUAGGAAUACCUAGAACACUAGGAUCAAGAAUAAUAUUCUUAUUUGAAAGACUUGCAUAUAUAUGUCAACAAAGACAAUUAUUGAAAAAAUCAGGAAAAUUAACUAGAAUAUGUUGUGAAGAUAUGGAAAAACCUACAAGAUGGGGAUGUAAUUCUGAAAAAAGAAAUAAAAGAAAGUAUAAAAACAGAAAGUUUAAAAAAUAUAGAAACUUUAAGAAAAAAUACAUAAAACCUGGAAGGAAAUAUUAUUAAAAAAAAUAAUAUACAGAGAAAUAAACCUUAUAAGAAAAAUAAAAAAAACAAUGUAAGUGUUGGAAUUGUGGAGAAAUGGGUCAUAUAAGUCCUGAUUGCGCACAAAAAAAGUGAGAAUAUUACAAAAGGAUUAUUUUGAAAUAGAAAGUGAAUUAAGUAAAAUAUAUGAUAUUAACAUUAUAAUAAUCAGGAAAUAUUUAUAAGUGAAGCAGAUUCAGAAGAUAAUGGAUCAGAAUCUGAAUAGAGAAAUUGAAGAAAUAGAAAAUAAUAACAUAGAAAUCCAAGAAUAUGAGGGAAUGGAAAGUUAUGGAUUAAAAAUAACUUUUGACAAUAAUAAAUUUAAGAAAAUACAAAAGUUAUCCUUAGAUUUGAAAAUAGGAAAAUGGGAAAUUCUAGAUAGAAUAUGGAGAAGAGAAAUAAUAGCAAUAAAUGAAUACCAUAAGAUUGAAAAAACUAUAGAUGUCAAAACAACUCAAAGAACACAUAAAAUAAACAUUUUAACAAAAAGUACAGUAUCAGAAUUAUUAUCAAAAAUAAGUAAAAAAUAUAGUGAAAAGAUCCAAUAUGUUUAUUUAGCAGGAAUAUAAAUAAUGUUUAAAUCUUUAUUUAGGGAAGGAAUAGAUUCACCAUUAAUUGUAAGUUUACAUGAUGGAAGAAUUAUAAAUUUUGAAGAUGGUCAUUUAAGAACUAUAGAAGGAAAUUUAGCAUAUCAAAAGUUAAUAUUUACUUGUUCCCCAAAAUAUUGUGUCUCAUUGAAAGAUAAAAACUUUAAUGAAGUCUUAGGAUUACAUUUCAAAUUACAUAGAAAUGAUAUAAUGGAAUCAAGAGAUCAAAUUAUGAUUAUGGAAUAUAGAGCAUUAUAUACAUUUACUAAUUCUAAUUAUGGGAAUAUUUAUUCCAAUAAACCAUACAUAGAAAUUCAUAAGGAAUGCAAUGAUAUUGGUAGAAUAGUGAAACCAAACAAACAAAUAAAUCUUAUUCCAAAAGAAUAUGAAUUUAAUAUAACUAAAAAUAAGCCUGAAAUAACAGAGUUAAGAGAAGAAGAAGAUUAUAAAAUAAUAUUUCACAAUGGAAGGUUGAUAAAGAAAUCAAAAAGCCUUAAGACUACCGAAUAAAAAAGAAUAUUUGGGAGAAACUAGUGGUAUAAAAGAAAUAAAAUCUCAUGGAAAUAUUGGAAAUAUGAAAAUAGAAGGAAAAUAUUUCAACGGUAGAAGGUAUAUAAAAGGACCAAAUAUAUUGAUAAAUACAGGAGCUGGUGAAUGUUAUAUGGCUGCAAGUAAAAAUGAAGGAUUAAUGACUUACAAGAUAGAACCAUAUGAAUAUAGGAAUUUUGAUGAACAACUAUAUAUUACAGAAUUAAAGGUAAAGGUACCAAUAAAAAUAGGCGGGAUUGAUUUAUUAGUACCAUGUUAUUUGGUUGAAAGUAUGGAUAUUGAACCUCAUAUAUUAUUAGGAAUGAGUUUCUUAAAUGGAUUAGAAGAUUAUAGUAUAAAAAGAGAAGGCUUAGAUAUAACUCAUAAAGGACAAACUACAUUAUGUAAAAUAGGAAGUAGAUGAGUAAUCAAAUAAGUUUUCCAUUGGCAGUAUAUAUACAAGUUACUAUAGUAGAAACAAACAUAACAACUUGUGCCUUAAUUGAUAUAGGAAGUGAUAUAACAAUUUUCAAAAAUUUCUUAAUAAAAUCAUGGAAUAAAAAUAGUAAAAUAAAAAUAACAGGAGUGACUGGAGAAAGUACUCAAAUAAUUGAUAGUGCUAAAAAAAUUAAUAUAAUACUUGGUAUUAAACAAGUUAUAAUAAAUAAAGUAUACAAUUAUAAUAACCUAGAAUGUGAUAUAUUAUUAGGAAAUGACUUUAUCCAACAAUUUCAAUACUAUAAACAAAAUAAUUACAUGAUAAUGUUACAAAUACCUUGUGACAUCUAUUAAAAAUAUCAAGAGAAUUUAGAUCCUAGAGAGUUCAGCCAGCCCAGCGUGGUGAUAAAUGGGAAAAACGACCAAUAGUACAAGAUGAACUAAAAAAUAAAAAACUAUCAUAUAAAAAGAUCCUAAAAACAGAAAUAGAAAUAAGUAUGGAAAAAAUUAUAGAACAAUUAGAAAAGAUUUAUGGAGAAAACCCAUUAUUAUUUUGGAAACAUAUUAUCCUAAAACUAAAAUAGAAUUAACAGAAAAUGUUAUAAUAAGAGUUAGUCCAAUGAUGUAUACCUUACAAGAUAUGCAAGAAUUUAAAAUUCAAAUAAAAGAACUAUUAGAACAAAAAUUAAUUAGACCCAGUAAUUGACCUCAUAGUAGUCCAGCUUUUAUGGUUAUAAAACAUUCUGAGCAGAUUAGAGAAAAAGCUAGAAUGGUAAUAAACUAUAAGGAAUUAAAUAAAUAUACUAAAUUUGAUGGUUACUUUUUACCAAAUAAAAAAGUCCUAAUAAAUCUUGCAAAAGGAAAACAAUAUUAUUCCAAUUUGAUUGUAAAUCAGGAUUUUGGCAAAUAAAAAUGGAAGAAGAUAGUAUAUAAUAUACAGCUUUUAGUACACAUCAAGGAAAAUAUGAAUGAUUAGUUAUGAAAUUUGGUUUAAAAAAUGCACCACAAAUAUUUCAAAGGAAAAUGGAUAAUAUAUUCAAAAAGUUUAGUGAUUUUCUUAUUGUUUAUAUAGAUGAUAUACUAAUAUGCUCUAAUAAUAAAAAAGAACAUAGGAAUCAUUUAUUACAAUUCAUAAAUGAAUGCAAAAAGGAAGGAAUUGUACUUUCUAAAAAGAAAUCUAUAAUCAAGAAUAAGAAAUAGAUUUUAUGGGAUUAUCAAUAGAUAGAAAAAGAAUAAAAUGACAUACUCAUAUAUCUAAAAAGAUAGAAAGCUUUCCAAAUGAAUUAAAAUCCAAAGAAUAAAUAAAAAAAUUUUUAGGAUGUUUAAACUAUGCUAAAGGAUUUAUUGAAAAUCUCUCAAAAAAGAGACAUAAGAUACAAAUUCUACUUAGGAAAACAAAUACUAAAGGUAACAAAGAACAUACUGAAAUUGUUAAAUCAUUAAAAGAAGAAUGUAAAAAUUUAUCAAAAUUAAGGUUACCAGAUGAAAAAGAUAAUCUAAUUGUUAAUACUGAUGCCUCAGAUAAAUAUUGGGCAGUUAUAUUAAAAACAGAUUUAAAUGAAAUAUGCAGAUAUUCAAGUGGAACUUUUAACCAAGCAGAAAUAAAUUAUACUACUCAUGAAAAAGAAUUGUUAACAAUUAUUAGAGGAAUAAAAAAGUUUUCAUUAUUCCUUUUAUCUAAAAAAUUUAUUGUUGAAACUGAUAAUUCUCAUGUUGUAGGACUUAUUAGAAAUAAGUUACCUAUGGAAUCUCAAUAUAAAAGGUUACACAGAUGGCAAGCAUAUUUAUCAUUCUACAAUUUUGAUAUUAUUCAUAUUAAAGGAAUAAAUAACUAUCUUGCAGAUUUUUUGAGCAGGAAUAUCGAAUUUGGAGAUGGAUAAUAUCAAAAAUUUAUUAAUAGACGUCAACAGACGAAUGAAAUUCCUCAUGGAAGAAUCAGAAGAUAUGAAAAUUGGAAUUGAGCAAUUAGAGCAAAUGGCAGAAUCUAUCCAACAAAAUGUCAAAUUGUUGGUGGAAAUCUCUAAUUCUCAUUCCAAAUAUACCAAAGAAUUGAAUGACAGAAUUGUUGAUAUUACUUCACAAUUCGAGUCAUUAAAUACCAAACAAGAAAUACCAAUUGAUACAAUCUAAAAAAUACAAACAGGUACGCAGCAAGGAAGCAGCAAUAGACCCAGCAAUAUCAAACGAGAUAUAGCAAGUCCCCGGAAGGUAACUAUAAAAAAUGGUGAUGAGCAUAUAAGAGUUAUCAGAAUCAAAACUGAUGAAGAUGAUGAUACCCCUUUAUCAUCAAAAGAAGAAGAAUAUAGAUCAUUUGCCAAACUUGUUCAUGAAUUGGAAGAAAAUGAAUCAUAUUUUAUUGCAUCAGGAGAUCAUGUUUAUCCCAGAUUAAUAAUUAUCAAAGAUGCAGACCCUUUCAUGGUCAAAAUGGCGACAGAUUAUGAAUUUCUUGAUUUGAUCUAUCCAGUAAAAGAUUUAAAAGAAAUUGAAAAAUUUGAUGAUAUAUUCAGGGCAGAGGUUUCAAAAUUUGUCCAAGGGAGAUCGAUUUAUAUCAAAUUUUAUUCAAUAAGUCCCGAGGUUGAUGGAAGGAUAUAUUAUCCUGCUGAACAUAUUAUCACAAUUGGAUAUGUUGGCCGAGAUUUUCGUAUUGAAGUUGGCCGAAAUAAUAAACUAUUGCCUAAAAUCAAUAAAUCAUGGAUAAAAUCCCAAAGAGUUUUGGGGAUGAAAGUUCUUUAUAACAUUGCAAAAAACUUAUAUGAUAAAAAAUUCAGAUGCUUGUGUCAAUAUGAAGGAUGGACACUCCUUACGAAUAAUGGAAAAGAAAAAUCUACUAUUUUGAAAGAAUAUAUCUAGAAAUUUGAUACUCAUCAAAUGAAUGGAAGUUCUACAACAAUCCAAGAAUCAUGUAGAUUGAGGGAGUGCCCCACACGCAGACAAGAUUAAAAAGAUUGACAAAAGAUGAAUGGAAGGGGACCUACCACUACCAAAGCAUCUAGCCAGCUGCAUAUGGAGCCAAAGAUGGAGAGACAAUAAUAGAGGAAAAGAUGUCCCUUUGAUGAAAAAGCAAAAAAUGCAUGUGAAAAUGUAGACCCCAGGAGGAAAAGAAUAGAGAGGCAUGCGAGCCUUUUCAAAUUCUGAUGUAUGCAAUGAUGUAAUAGACCAAUAAUAGCAAGUUUGAGUCAUGUAUAAAUAGAGGUCUUUGGGGAAAGAAUGGAUCAUCUCGAAUUAGAAACCAUUCUCUUUCCUUAAACUUUCUUUAAAACCAAUUUUUCUGGAAACCCCUUGUAUACAAUAGAAAUCUUGUAUAAAUCAUUAUAGAAAUAAAAUCUCAAUCUUUUGAUAUCAGAAAAAUAUGAGUUUUUAAACUUCAUAUCCCAUAGAUUCUUGACAGAUUGAAGAAGAUAAUCUCUUUCUUACUUUAACAAAGGGGGAAUUUUCUUUACUUAAAAUCCUUAUUCUUAAUUCUAAGAAAAGAUACAGUGAGGGUAGGAAGCUGAAAUAGCAGAAUUUCCAUUAAGGCAAAAGACCGUUUGAGGGAGCAGUUUGCAGAUUCAGAGCCUGAAAGUCACUCAGUUCUAAGAAUACAAAUUUAAGAUCAUAAGUAAGGUAAAAUUAUUGUCUUUGUUAAAUUUAGAAAGAAUUCUUCUAAUAUCUUGAAAGAAUCGUAGGGAUUAUUACUUUUCAUGUUUGCAAAAAAUUUAUCUAUCAUGUUAUUAUUCAUAAAGCUUGUAAGGAAUUAUCUAAAUGAUACCAGGCUAUACAAUUAAAGGAUUAGAUAAUCUGUUAGAAAGACUGUUAGAAAAAAUAAAAAAUAUUUUUUCUCAACUAGAGACUAUGGAUAUAUCAUAUAAGGAAUAUGAUAAUCUUAAAGAAUUAUAUGACAAUUAUAUUACAGAUUAUACUAAUUUAUUAGAUCAAAAGAUGGAACUAUAUAUUAAAAUUCGAAACGAGAGAAAUAGAAGAAUUUUGGAACUAUUCCAAUAAAUUAGGAUAUUUUGUGCAAAAUAUGGCAAGCCAUUUCAUUAAGGGUAUUAUAGACAUUUUGGCAAAAAUGAAUAACGAUAGGCCAUUUAGAAAAAUUCCUCGACGGCGAGAGUAGAGGAAGAAGAGAUAUUAUAUUUGUCUUAAGAGAUUAGGGCUUCCACUUCCCCUUUCCUCUUGUUUUCAAAUUUCUACUUUUGAUUUGUACUUUUUUUUUAAUCUAAUUGACAAAUUAAUUAUAAGUAUGUUUAUAGAUAGUGUGUAGAAUAAUUUAAUUUAUAAUUUGUAAUUAGUUAAAAUUUGUAUGUUUUAUUCGAAAGAAUCAUUCUAUUAACUUUUAGGGUCAGUUUCAUUGUAAAGAUGAAAUUUGGAUGGAAAGAAAAUGAAUUUCAGGAAAUUGAAUUGUCUAGAAAUUAUUUUAUUGGGAAUUAUCAAUUAUUGUGUUUGAUUGAUAUAAUUUUUUAUGUGAAAAAUGUUAAAAUAAAAGUAUUUUUUGAUGUUCGUUUGACAUUAUUUUACAUAAAAAUUGUCAAUUAAAGGGAUAAAAUUUAUUGGUAUUGGUGAUAGAAUUUGUUCCUCUUGCCCAAAAAAAAAAAAAAAAAAAAAAGGGGCAAAAAAAAAAAUUAUUUUUUGGGGUNNNNNNNNNNNNNNNNNNNNNNNNNNNNNNUCAUCUAUCUUUUGGUGUUCAUUUGCUUUUGUUUUAUAUGGAAAUUAUCAAUUAAAGAAAAAUAUUUUUUUACAAUUAAUGAUAGAAUUUGUUUUCAAUGCCAAAAAAAUAAAAAAUAAAAAAUAAAAAUUGGCAACUUACCUAGAAAACCAAUUCCCCCCAUUCCUUGAAAACUAAGAAAAGUCCACUUUUCAAAAAAAACCAAGCAAAUGAAUUACAUGGAAAAUAUUUGCUAUCAAACACUAUCAAAAGGUGGAAAAUAGACAAAAUUUUCCAUUUUCCAUGGAAAAGAUGCCCAAUCAAACAAGGCCUUAAUAUAUUUUUCCAACAGAAAUUGUGCAGUUUUAGUUCGAAAAAUUUUAAUAUAGUUUCAGUAUAUUAUUUUCAUAUUACCGAUAGAAUUUUAUCAUUAAAAAUUCUUAAUUUAUUUUUUAGGAUUUUGGUUUUUUUUUAAAUUAAAAAUUAAAAAUAAUCUUUAAUUAAUAGGUAGGAUUGAUUGAAAUUAAACGUAUGCUGAAUUUUUAUUUUUAUUUUUGUUCUUUUUUACAACAAGCAAUAAAUAUAGCAAAUCCUUGUUGCAAAACACACUUUCUCUCAACAUUUAAUGAUUGUUGCAAAAUGUUAUAUAGUAAGAAUUUCAACAAUAUGUACUGAGCAUUGCUAUAGAAUAAAAUUUUAAACAGUUCAAUGAACAUUGCUAAAGGAAAAAAAAAAAGAGAAGAAUUAAAACUUUUGCAACAUAAAAAUAAAUAAAUUAAAACUUUUGCAACAUUCAAAGAACGUUACAAAAAGCUAUAUAUCAAGAGUUUCAAAAACGUUUAUUGAACGUUGCUAUAGAACUUUAUUUUUACAACAUUCAUUAAACAUUGCGAAAAAUAAAACUUCUUACAACAUUCAAGAAACGUUGAAAAUGGUAAUAUUGACAACAUGCAAUUAAAAAAAAAUAUAUUGCCAAUGCUUAAAAUUAAAUUAAACAAUGGCAACAUUUUUUACUUUUUAAAAUGUUGCAAUAAACCCAUUUAGCAGCAUACAAUUCACGAAUGUUGCCUUUUGAGUAUUGCAAAAGGCUAUUUUAAUUGUAGUGAAAAUUCGUGAUAUGUAUAUAAAAAUUCAUAUGUCAUUAAAUUAAUUUCGGUACACGUGAUAAAUGAUCAUACUUAAAAAAAUUAUUACCUUCACUAAACUUUGAAAAAUUAAGCUUUCGGACUGAUAACGUAUUAUGAAAAGAGAUAGAAAGAGCAGGGAGAAUAAAAGUCAAUAGACUUGUAUGUAUUAUAAUAAGAACUAGAGUCAUGUAUUCAUAAAGAAGGAUUAUGGAUACAAUGAUAAUAAAUUCUAGAUUUACAGAGGUACAAUUGUCAUUCACAAAUAAAACUUACCAUUUACAACAAAAUGGUUUUUUUUUCCUUCAAUUUGCUCCUAAAAAGGUUUUUAUUGAUAGCAACAAGGUAAGUCGGACGUUCUCUUUUUGAAUUUUAAGAGGCGCGUAGGACAUUUUGAUCUUCAUUUUUCGUCCCAUUUAUUUAUGUAUUUACUUAUUUAUAUAUUAGUAUGUGUUUAAAUUUAAAUUUUAUUCAAAAAAAAUAAAAAAAAAAUAUGAAUCAUGGAUGGGUUUGUGAUAGCGAUCAUGUUUCCUAACCCCAUCCCUAAUAAGGAUUAUAGAAUUCCUGACCUUCAAUUCACGUGGCGCUUUCCGUCCCACGUUGUCCUACCUUGAAUAGUAAACGAGGCGGGAUGCAGAACCUAUAGUCCCUAGUUUCGAAUUUUUAGUACUAGCUCUGAAUCAUUUUUCAUUAUUAUAUUUUAUUUUAUUGUUAUGUUCUUCAUUUAAAUCAUAUUUAAAAAAAUUUAAUUAAAUAAAUAAAAUGAUGAAUGAUGGUUUUUUAUGUCUCAACCUACCCUACAUUCUGAAAAAUUGGAACGAAACAAGAAUGAUAUGAUGGCUACUAUCCAUUGUCAUCCUUAAUUUCACAUUUCUUGUUGGGCGCAGUAACUUGAGGCUGGAGUUUUGUUAAAGAUUCCUCAAAUAAUUUAGCAAAAAAUAAAAACAAUGAAAAAUAAAUCCACUUUAAAAUAGGGUCAUCUCUAAAAGAUAAAUGUAUUAUCGAUUGAUUCCCAUUUUUCAGUUGAAACUCAUCUCUGCAGGAAGGCUAUGAUCCAAUCCAACCUUAAAAUUUCUCAAAUUCUUUUAAAAAAAACUUUUUUCACCGCAUUUUUAACUCUACAAUUAAAGUGGAAUAUAUUUCAAAUGACAGAAUGAAACUUAAUUGAAGGAACUCGUUUUAACAAUAUUUGCAGUGAACCAUAAAUUUGAUCAUGGGCCACAAUUGCAUGACUAUUUGUUUGAACUCAUGAAGUUCGUUCUAUAAAUCAUGAUAAAGAAUUCAUCUAGCGACAAAGGCAUGCUUUGGAUCAACGAAGCUUCUUUCUUAGCUAAGAGUCUAUAGCAUUUGUUUUUCAAUAAAAAGUGUGUACAAUUUGAUCAACUCGUCAAUAAAUAUUCCAUACAAGUCUUCAAUUCGACGUAUACGCCUUUUAAAAUUGUAUUUAGUCAUAAUUUUAUGUUCCAAGCAAAUAAUUUUAUGAUUUAUUCUUCUCAAUAUUAGGAUUUGGGGUCAACAUUGUUAAGAAGGACAGCUCAAACUUUUAUAAGUUGGUCUAUGUUUUCAUCUUUUUUCGAUAUGAAAUUUUAUCCCUUGACAAUCAAGUUAUUAGUAAGUUCUGGAUCCGUAAAAUGAAACCUUAGCAUGUCAUUAAGAAAUCCAUUCGUUAAUAGGAUUCAAUUAAGCUACUGUUGCCAAUUACGAGUUGAUACAUGGUUAAAUGACAUUCAAACACUUGAUAUACUUGAUAACUUGUUAAACUGUUGAUAUAGGUUGCAGUUUGAGAGUUCUGAAGUAGUAGAACGAUAUAAUGACCACUUUUCGAGUAUUAUUGACAUUAAUAUUUUUCUUAACUUCCAAUGAAUUUAAAUGAAUAAAUCUAGAGAUCAUAGUAAAUAUGAGGCUUAAGGAGAAUUUGCAAUGAUUUCAGCUACGUUUGAAAAGUCAAUAGGGUCAAAUUCAUCAAUGACAACCCAACUUUAUUUAAAUAAAUUCACAUAUUCGACGUUAAUUUUAAUAUUUAAAUAAAGUGAUCAUUUGACAUCUUACUAGUGCUACCAAAGAACGUGUGAACCAUAAUAUUAAACACAUCUGAUUUGUUUAUUGUACAAUGUAAAUGGAUAUAAAGACUUCAAGGGGCAUCGCAUAACAUAUUCAAAGUUUCCAAAUAAAUAAAGUCAUCAUGUCCUCAACUCGUCAAAAAGUUAAUACCUUUAAGGUAUCUGCCAAAGAAAGGCAUGAAAAUUGACACCCCCACUAUCUAUAUACACCAUUUGACACUUACCUUAACGAUUAAGAAUAUGUCUAAUCAUCAUUUACUAAAACUCAUAAAUAUGUUUGUGAGUUUCAAAUUUUAUUUUCAAUCAUACAUUUCAUUGAAUUCACAACUUUUUAUCCUCUUUUCUAUCAAGCCUGACCAAAGCCACUUAGGUAACAGCCCAAGGCCUUGGAUAUUCGAUGGAGAAUAAAUCUCCCUGUCCCGGGUUGGGGACAUGGAGGAAGGGUUGGGGACAGGGAGGAAGACAUGCGGCGCCCCUGUCCCUAACCCUGUCCCCAACUCGGGACAGGGAGCAGGGCUCUUCGAGGGACCUCAAAAAUAAACAAUUUGUUCUCUGGUUCUUGCAGAAAGUGGAAAUAUAUCUUGUUAUUGCACAAUGCAUAUUAGUGCAUGACAAGAAUGACGUGUAUGAUUUGCCAAAGAAAUGAAGGUACUUUCCUUGGUUUCCUCCUUCUGCUUUAUUUCCAGUCGUCAUCCAUUUACCAAUAUGAGUUGAUUUCCUUUCCUAGAAAAUAUGCUCAUGCCAAUUUCCUAAAUUUGUGGAUUUAAUUGAAACCCAAAAAAGUUUGACCAUAUUUUCUUACCUUCAUUUCAAUCCAUGAGAAUCUUUGUCAAAUCUUUAAUUUGUGGAAUCACACACAUUGAAAGAACAUUUUAGUCCAACCUAUCUUUUCCGUUCAAUCUCAUCUUUGCAUUGACAUACAUUAUGUGUUGGUUGGACAAUACUGGAGAUUAUAAAAUAAAAUAUUAGACAGCAUUAAAGAAUAAACAACUAUCACAAAUUCACGGCAUAUUUAAAAGAUGCUGCCAAAGAAAUCCAUUUUAAGGAGCUUUUAAUCACUUCCAAACAAGCUUUUAGCUCUGAACAUUUUUCAUUAGCUCGAUUUAUAGUACUAAUUAAACAAUAAAAAGACGUUAAAAUUUUUUCCAUAGUAAUCUACAUUUUUGUCCAGCACUAAGCAUGGCUCCUAAAUAUGAUAGUAAACAUGUGGGCCUUUCCUGUUUAAUAGGAAUCCUCAUCUGAGUAUGUUUCCUCAAGGAUCAAUAGACAAUAGCUAGUUUUUUUUUCACAUUUUACUCAAACUCGUGUAUUUCAUGUUGAACUGCCUCAUAUAGAAAUUCCGAGAGAUUAAGUUAUGAGAAAAAAGUUAUGUUUAAGGGCGAUGUAUUUACUAAUAUCAUACCAGAGGGCCUCAUCAUAAUUAUUUGCUAGCCUUGAGAACCUGACCCCAAUAGCCCCUUUUCUACGAACCACCUUGGUGAGCCUUUCUUCGUCAACGAAUCUAGUUCACAGAUUCGCCUCAUUUUCUCCAUCAACAAGCCUAGUUUGCAGCUUUGCCUCACCAAGUGACUCCAACGAGGUACAUCAACGAGCCUGGAAGUUGUUACUAUGUAGAUGAAUAUGUGGAUCCCUAGAUUCUGACAUUUGCUCAGCAUCUUAGCACUUUGAGGAUGACAGUAUUCAAGCAGCCCAGUUUCACACCUAACAACUUGUUAAGCAAGAGGAAACCUCUUUCAAUGUGGAUGAGGAAUUUAAUUCAGCAACAUAGGUGGUGUACUCUAAGCUGCCUGCAAGGAGCCACGAUCUGAAUUUCUAGAGAGCAUGUUGAAACCAAUACUGAUCUCGGCAAGUUUUAAUAAAUAUUUUGGGUUUCCUUCCGACUCCCAUGACCAGUCCCUCCAUUGUGGCACAAUUCUGGUGCCUGUCCCGCACCAAGAGUGCCUCAACAGCCGAAGCUGGAGGUGAGGGUGCGUUGGAGCUGCCUCGACAAUAGUUGCUAGAGGCUGGAGGUUGCGGUGUACCCAGAAGCCUCAAAAGUCAUAGUUGGAGGUUGAAUUUUGGUUUAGACAAUUUAUCUAACAUCUCAUGGACGAAGUAGCACUGAGAUUUUAUGAGAACAAACAAAGGCUGCCUCUAAUUCCGUGCUCAACAUAAUAUCCCAAUUAUGCUCGUUUUAGAAUAUCUGCGUAGUGCGUCCUACGUAGGCGAAAGACAAGGAAGAGACAGUAUUCAUAACGAUGGAGAGGUGCCCCCUGGUUCAAUGCGAGGCUUAAUUGAAUAUCUCCAGUAUUUGAGAAGAAUCUAAAAGACUUUCAUACAGCAGGAGGCGGCCCAAGGCUCUUACCACCAAUGCAGGAAGAUUUGCAGCCAUCGGAAGCGACUACCACUGCGCCUGCCUCUACGGCAUUCAUCGGAUGCUACGGGAGCCUUGGUGGCGGUGAGAGCACUGGGGCCAGAUCUUGACCAAUGGGGAUCGAGAUCGAGUGGCACAUAGGUCGCAAUGCUGCUGCGACUACGAGAUGUCGUAGCUGGACUAUUUUAACGACAAUGGCUUGAGGCUUACGCCGUGGAGAUGCAGUCCACGAACUGCUGCUUAGGCUUGAAGACUUUGAAAACGGGAAAAUGAAAGUGAAAGUUCUAUAACUUUUAAGUUUUUAUUUUUCAUUUAGGGGGUGUUUGAGAGUCAUUUGUAUGUAAAAAUGUAUUUUAGAAUAGUAAUUUGAUGGGAAAUGUAUAGUUGAAAAAUAAGGAAAAAAUUUUGAUUUACGUGUUAUAUUAUUUUAAUAAAGAAUGUGUAAUUGAAAAGAAGAGAGAAAAAAUACAUUUUAGAAAAAAAUGGGUACCAAAUGGGGGCUUAAUUUCCCUUAUUCUGGCCAAGGGCUCAAUUUGUAAAUUGAAAAGUAAAGAGCCAUUGGACACAUUAUUAAUUUAGUGGGUUAGCGACGAAAUUAUGCCAUUCUAUAUUUUAUUAAAUAGCGUAUAACAACGUAUUUUUUCAUUAUAUUUCAAAUAAAUAAAUAAAUAAGUACGAAAAAUAUAUUUCCCUAAUUUCAAAGUAGAGAAACAAAAUUUUUUGACGUAAAAUAUUAUCAAGGACGAAAUGUAUUAAUUAGGGCUUGUUUGAGCCACAUUAUUUUCAAAAAAAUACAUUAUUUAAUAGUGAUUUGACAUCAUUUCAACCAUAAAUUUUUCAAUAAAAUAAUAUUACACGUAAAUUUAAAACUUUUCAUUAUUUUUUAACCAUACAUUUUUCAUCGAUUUGACAUGAAUAAUGCAUUUUUCCUAGAAUGUGGCUCAAAUAUGGGCUUAAUUAAAAAGUCGAAUAUAAGAGUUUGACGAAAAAAAUUGCAAUAAUAAGCAAAAAUUAAGAACCUUAACUAUAAUUAAAAUGUAGUGUAGCUAAUAAAAAUUGCAAUACCAAUAUUACCGUCCUAAAAUAAAACUUGGCAUCCCUUAGUAGAGACAGAAAAAAAUGAACAAACCACUCGAAAGGGUUCUUUCAUCCUAUCCGAAACUUUAAGAUAUGUUUUUUUAUAUGCUAGCAGAAAUAUAAUACAAAAGAGGCAAAUAAUAGAAAUUUACUACUUUAAAACAUAAUUGUUCUUUCCAAGUACCUAUAUUUAAUUAUCCGCAAAGGGCCAACUGAUUCAAAGCUCCAAAUUUGCAUAUGGCUUAAAUUUGCUGAAUUUGUUCUAUCUCCUACAAUUCUAAGUCUGCUUCAUCAACAAUGUUUGUUGUUGUUGUUGUCAUAAAUAUGGUAUGAACAGGAAUCAUUGGCAGCACAAGUUGAACACUCAGCUUAAAACUCCUCCACGUGCCAGAGAUAUAAACAGUGCAUAAGAAGAGCAGCAUAAUUAUGGAGUAGGUAUACCAAAAGAUAUCUCGUGGGAAGAAUUAGGGGUGUAAGCGAUCCUAUUUUACCGAUUUUUGACAGAUUUUCAAACCAAACCGGUUUGAAAGAAACCCAAACUUAAACCAAACCAUUUUAAACGGUUUGAAAAAAACUCAAACCUAAACCUAACGGUUUGGUCUGAUUUUAAACAGCCGAUUUCGUCAUAUAUAUUUUUUCCGUCUACUUUUAUAUCAUUAAUUCAUUGAAUUAAAUAUAUAUUUAUAUCUUACUAGUAAUAAAUCUAAGACAAACUAAACCCCUGUUUGAACCAAAUUUCUGGAACAAAAAAAUGAAAAUUUGGAUCAUUAUCCCACAAGUCCAGCCUCCUUUGUUGACCUGUUAUUUCAUGUGUGGGACCCAGCCUCCUCUCCAACGAUCAAUUUUCUUGUUACGAUGAUAUGGAAAAUAUGGCUCAAACGAGACUAAAUAUAUCUACUAUAAAUUUAAAUACCAACUAGAUCAAAGAAAAAUUACAAUAAACUAAAACGUAGUUUUUUUUUUUUUGUUCAUCUUUUUUAGGCUAAUAACGAUAUAAUAAUGUUACAGUACAAGUCUAUUAAAUUAGAUAUAAGGGCCAAAAAAUAUAAUGAUGUUCAAUAAGACCUCUUGAUCAUCAUAUCUGAAUAAAGGAUACUGAUUAGACAAAGAGAAUAACCAACCACAAUAAUAAAGCAAUUGUUUAUAAUAUCUAAACAUAACAAUUACACAAGUUUACGUUUGUUUGAUGUUACGAAACGCAUUUAAUUUCAGAUUCUUACCUUAAUUUGUUCCAAAAAAAAUUAUUGAUCUGAAACUUUAUUCGUAGCAAAUAUUAUCACCGAAUGUUUAGGAUCUCUUUGUCUCGGAUUUGGUAUAAUAGAUUACUAUUCAACUUUGAAGAGGCGUGAAAAAUCUAAAAAAGAAGUGUGUGGUGCCGAUGGCUCAAGACUGUGUUGGAUGUCGGCUGGGAGUUCAUUUAAAUUUUGAAGAGGAAAAUGACUUUUGAUAAAUUAUGUUAGUCUUGAGAUUAUUAUAUAUAUAUAUAUUAGGAUUAUUGGAUGAUAAUAAUAAUAAUAUAUCUGUAUUAGAAAAUUAGAAAUUGACUAAAAUACCCACAAAUGACAAAACUAUUAAAUUUUACAUAUUUGGAUGAAUUUCCAAAAAAAUUCAUUUCUUCAUUUUUUUUAUUUUUAUAUAUUUUUUCGCCGGUCCGAUUUGGUUUUAAACCGCAAUUAAAAUUCUCAAACCUAAACCAAACCAUUUUGACCGGUUUGGUUUGGGUCAAAACCAUUUCGUUGAUCGGGUUCACGUGGCACCAAACCGACGGUUUAUAAAAUGCGAUUUCGAUUCAAUUUUUCGAUUUGUCGAUUUUUGCUUACAGCCUAAGAAGAAUAGUGAGGCCAAGAAACAAACCAAUAGGGAAAGAGUAAUUCUUGACUUGAAUGCGUAUGUAUCCCCUAUCAACUUGAGGUGUCAAUGAGAUUUCAUGGAAACAUCCACUAGUGUGAAAAUGAAAACAGUUUCAGAAAAAAAUGGAUGUUUCCAUGAAACUUCCAAUUUUCUUAUAUAUAGGGAUAUAUCAUGCUGCUCAAUGCAAGCAUCAUUAAUGAAAACAGUUUCAGAAAAAAAUGGAUGUUUCCAUGAAACUUCCAAUUUUCUUAUAUAUAGGGAUAUAUCAUGCUGCUCAAAGCAAGUAUCAUCUUCAUAUUCAAUUCAUCACUUCUCCUUAAUUUCUCUCUCUAACCAAAAUCCAAGCAUUCUGCAAUCUAUCCAACCAAAAACCAAGAAUUCUUCAAUUCAUCACUUCUCCUUAAUUUCUCUCUCUAACCAAAACCCCAAGAAUUCUGGAAUUCAUCACUCUCUCAAACCAAAAACCAAGAAUUCUGCAAUUCAUUACCUCUCCUUAAUUUCUCUUUCUUAACAAUCUUUCAGGUAAGAAUAAUGUCAUACUUUGAUCUAAGACACGCUACCCCAUUAGUUGUAAACAUACUGAAAUCAUCUAUAGCCAUGCCUUGGGAAUGGGAUCCAUUUGGUAUAGUAAUUGAAAACUUCACAUGGGUCAAGUUUUGGCUUCUCACUAGCUUUUUUCUUUCUCUUCUCCUUCAUCUCCAUUGAAAUCCCAUUGGCAUCUCAAGUUGAUAUGGGAUGCAUACGCAUUCAAGUCAAGAACUACUCAGUUUCCCUAUUGGUUUGUUUCUUGGCCUCACUAUUCUUCCCACAAGAUGUCUUUUGGUAUAUCUACCCCAUAAUUAUGCUGCUCUCUUUAUGCACUACUUGUAUCUCUAGAAUAUGGAGGAGUUUUAAGCAAAAUGUUCAACUUCUGCUGCCAACAAUUCCUGUUCUUAACAUAUAUAUGACCACAACAAUAAAUAUUGAUGAGGAACCCGACUUAGAAUCGCAUGAGAUUGAACAAAUUCAGCAAGUUUAGGCCAAAUGCAAAUUUGAAGCUUUGAAUCAGUAAUUAACUAUAGUUAUAUGGAAAGAACUAUAAUGUUUUGAAGUUGUAAAUUUUUGUUAUUUGCCUCUUUUGUAUUACAUUUCUGUUAGCCUAUAGCGAAUAUAAUUAGAGCAAAAAAACGUGUUUUAGAUUUUCAGAUUUUUUUUAAUUAUUUUUUUGCCUCUAUCAAGGGAUGUCAAUUUAUAUUGGUACUAUAAUUUUGAUUAGUUGCACUACAUUUUAAUUGUAGUUCUCGUUAUAGCAAUCAUUUUCUUAAUUUUUUUCAUCAAAUUUUUAUCUUCAACUUUUCAUUAAUUAAUACAUUUUGUCAUUAAUGAUGAUUUACUUCAAAUAUUUUGUUCUAUGCUUUGAGAUGACGAAAAAUAUUUUUAGUACUUAUAUAUUUAUUUAAAAUAUGAUAAAAAAAAAAAGUCAUCGUACGCUAUUUAUUAUAAUAUAGAAUGACAUAUAUACCGGUUUGGAUCAAUAACGUUCACUUCAAUUUUCUACUUUUCAAAGUCUUCUAGCAUGAGCUGGAGAUUUUGCAGUCGACUGCAUCAAGCCUCAGGCCAUAGUCGUUAAAACAGUUCAAUUACGACAGGGCUACAUGCCACUCCAUAAAGAUCUGAACACUGGGCCAAGAUCUGGCACCGGUGCUCCCACCGCCACCGAGGCUCUUGUAGCAGCGGCGUUGCGACCUACACGACACACAAUCUUGAUCCCCCUUGGUCUCGGCGGACCAAGUACGACUCUUCGUGUUAGACUGAACACUGGGCCAAGAUCUAGCACUGGUGCUCCCACCGCCACCGAGGCUCCCGGAGCAGCUGCGUUGGACCUACAUGCCACUCGAUCUCGAUCCUCAUUGGUCUCGACUGACCAACCUGGGCCAAGAUCUGGCGCGGUGCUCCCACCGCCACCGAGGCUCCCGUAGCAGCGACGUUGCGGCCUACAUGCCACUCGAUCUUUAUCCCCCCUGGUCUCGGCAGACCAUGAAAUAAAUUGUAAAUUGGAGUAAUUUAUUGAAGUCAUAUAUUGUCCUUGAGAUGAUUGCUCUUUUUUGGUUGGCUUCAAUUUCUACAGGUUUCCAAUAUUUUUCCCAUUGAGAACGCCAGUUUGUGUGACACCAAAUACUCAUUUGGAGGUCCAUUUUUGGUGUUGUUGUGGUUCUACAAGGUAACUCGCUUAACUGGUGGGUUAGCAUAUUUUGUACGGGAAAAGCUAGGAAACCCAUAUUUGUGGGGUUUCUGUCACCGCCUCCCUGUUUUCCCCAGCUUUUCCAUUCUGUAUAGCAUCUAUUGAUCCUUGAUUGUGUACUGAAAAUGUUAAAAAGUGAUUGAAAAGUGACAAAAAGUUCAAAUUAAAUUUGCCCCUGUUUGAUCCCCAUUUUUAUCCAUAAUGCAUUUUUUCCAUCACAUCAACGUGGGACCAACACGCCAUUUUUUAUUGCAAAUUUGAAUUCAAAAGGCAUAAAAUUUCAACUUUACCCUUUGUAUCAAAACAAUUCAAAAAGUUACCAAAAAUCUGUUGAAAAGUCAAAGGACAGGUAAUGGAAAAGAAAAAGCCAUUUUCUCUGUGCAAGUUACAUAGGCUAUCAGAACAAUAAUUGGCAACGGUCCCAAAAUUAAUUUUUGACCGAAAUUAAUGGCCCCCAAACAGCCCCAGAGACCAAUAAUAAAAUAGAGUUGGUGCUAUUAACUGGUCAGAUAAUCAUCUCCACUUUGGAAUCCUAAAAUAUUAUCUGUUGCAAUGUAUUUGUGAUGUUUAAUUUAAAUAAUAUGAUAAUUAUCUAAAUAAAUUUUUAUGUUGGAUAGCCUCAAGUAAUGGAUAUACUGACAAUUUGUAUACUUGCUGCGGAAAAUGAUUAUUAUUAUUCUCUCACAAGUUUGAUACGAAAGGUGAGUAAUGUCUUCUAUGCACAACUCCAUUGGUCACUCACACUGGGUCGGGGUUAAGGGUUUUCUUGGCAAUGCUGUGGCAAAAGGAUCCAUUGCCAGAUGCGAGCUAGAGCAGAUGACCCAAAAUCUGUUGUAUACUGGUUAAAUUAAGAGUAUAAUUUUGAAUGCAGUUCUGGACAACCACUGAAUAAAGUGAGUAUGCAACUUCCCAUUUACCGGCUUCAUUGUUCAAACUAUAAAGCUUUACUGUCUUUUUUUCUGUUCCAAUUUUCGCUGUUCGUCCAAUUUGUGGAUAGUCUUUUUACUCAUUAUCAUGUUUGCCCUCUCACCAAUGCUGCCCUACUGCAUCACGGUGUAAUGCACUAUCCUUCGUUUCAAACCAUCCUUUUAACUCUACUCGUUGGGAAGAAAUUGAAUAUUGUUGAAGAUUACUUUUGUUUAUUUAUAGUCAAUGUGGCAAUCUCUCUCCGGGAGCCUGGAGGCUCCAUUUUUGUCACGAAGUUUGGAUAUGUUAUAUUAUAAAAUUAGAGAGUAAUUGAGUUUAUAUUAAAUCUUCUCAUAUAUAUAUAUAUAUAUAUAUAUAUAUAUGAGUUCUAUACAAGAUAUCAGACCUAUGAAUCUAUUUUAUUUGUGAUUAUUCACAGAUGGCAGAAGUAUUAGACAUUGGUUACUUGUCGAUAUAUAAAUACAUACCUUAAUAAAUAAGACGGUGCAACGUAAAAGUCGGGACUCAAUUCCUUUCUUUUAUUUCCUCUAAAAAUGUUCCUCUGUGGCACAUCACUACCAAAUCCAUUACAGAAGUGGACUUGCAAGUAUGCCUCCGUUAGCACAUUACUCAUCAAAAUCCGAGUAACAAUCUACUCCAUCAGAGUCAAAAUUAUGGGUCUCAUUCCCAAUCCUCGACUUCAACACAAAGCAUAGAAUAAAGAUAUACUAGGGCUCCCUUUGAGAGGAAUUUUGAGAAUUGAUUUUUUGACCGUUAGAAGAAAAAUGAGGUCCACCUGUGAAAAAAAAAAGUCAAAAAUUACGGUUCGAAUAGUGAAAUAACAAUCAAAAAAUCAAUUUUUUGGAGUAAAAAAUCCUUCCUAAACAGGCUCUAGAUGCCGUUAUAAUGGAAUUUAAUAUAAUAUACCAUUGCAAUGGUAGUUGGGAAACUACAUCACCUUAUCAAAAAAAAAUGAAACAGCAUGUGACCAUUACAAAUUUAAAGGAAACAACGGGUGACUAUUAAAUCACCUUAAAAACAAACUGAAGUUUAAAAGUACCUAAUAACAAAUCUACUAAUUUGAUAAUUCGAAAGAAUAACGAAUCUACGAAUUUCAUAAUUCUAAAGGAAAAAGAGAGAGAGAUACAAAAAAAGAAUAGAUAGAGUCAAGACUCAAGUUUGUAAGUUUGUUGCAGUAAUGGAUACAUAUUUAUAUAGUUUAAAAGGAGAGUUACAAUCUAAAUAAAAUAGACCCUUACAGAGUAAAUAAGAUUUAUCUAAGUAUCUUGAUAAGACUAAAUAGGCAUCAAUAAUUAUCUCAUAGUUUUACAAUAUUCUCUUCACUAAAAACCUAGUUUGACAAAAACUCAGUCGGGUCAAAACUACCAACACAAACAAAAAAAGUGUACAAAAAAUUACAACAAAAUUUGUAGUAAUAAAAUAUUGCCUCAUUAAUACCAUGUCAUGAAAAUCCAAUGAGACAAAACUUGAUUGAAAAAAAAAAAAGAAAAAAAGAGAAAAAAAAAGAGAGAGUAUAUCUACUCCUUUGAUUUCAAUAAAUAAAAAUUCUUGUAUUGAGUCAUCUAUGUCUUGUACGUCAUUAUUUUAAAUAUUUCAAUUCUGGUAAAAUAUGUUUCGUUUUGUCUUGUUAUAGCAUAAAAGUAAUAUUGUCUUCAUAGAAGAUUUUUAUAAAUCUUUGUUUGAUUUUAGACAACAUGAUGGCUUUUGAAAUGGCAAUAAUAAGCAAAAAUUAGACCUUAAUUUUUAUCAAUCUUAGAAACACGAGUCUUGAUUUUUAGACCUUCUUAAUUUGAAAUGGCUUUUAAGAACCGAACCAAGUAUGUUGCAUAAUACAAGGAUGACUUCUGGCUAAGGAUGGAAGGCCAACCAAAAUUAGAUACUUUGACUAAAAAAUUGCAAUAAUAAGCAAAAAUUAAGAACCUUAACUACAAUUAAAAUGUAGUGUAACCAAUAAAAAUUGUAAUACCAAUAUAACCGUCCUAAAAUAAAGCUUGGCAUCCCUUAGUAGAGACAAAAAAUAAAAAUAAAACCACCCGAAAGGGUUCUUUCAUCCUAUCUAAAACUUUAAGACAUGUUUUUUUAGCUCGAAUUACAUGGGCUAUAUGCUAAUACGAAAGAGGCAAAUAAUAGAAAUUUACUACUUUAGAACAUAAUUGUUCUUUCCAAAUACCUAUCUUUAAUUACCGGCAAAGGGCCAACUGAUUCAAAACUCCAGAUUUGCAUUUGGCCUAAAUUUGCUGAAUUUGUUCUAUCUCCUGCAAUUCUAAGUUUGGUUAAUCAUCAAUGUUUGUUGUUGUUGACAUAAAUAUGGUAAGAACAGGAAUUGUUGGUAGCAGAAGCUGAACACUCAGUUUAAAACUCCUCUACAUGCUAGAGAUACAAGCAAUGCAUAAGGAGAGCAACAUAAUUAUGGGGUAGAAAUACCAAAAGAUAUCUUGUACCAGUGAGGCCAAGAAACAAACCAAUAGGGAAACUGAGUAAUUCUUGACUUGAGUGCGUAUGUAACUCAUAUCAACUUGAGGUGUCAAUGAGAUUUCAAUGGAGAUGAAGGAGAAGAAAAAGAAAAAGCUAGUGAGAUGCCAAAACUUGAUCCAAGUGAAAUUUCACAGCACUCUCCCUUUCAGAAUGAAAGGGAAAAGGGACAAUAACAUUUUCUUAUGAAAAGGGAAAAAGGAGAAACAACAUUCUCCCUUUUCGUAUGAAAAGGGAAAAGGGAGAGUAACAUCUAAAGGUAGAAUCAUAGCACUCUCCCUCGCAGGGAUUCUCCUUUUUCAUAUGGUGCCUAGUGGCACCCCUGUUUCAACUGGGCAACCUCAGUCCGAUCCAAAUAAUAUAGCCCCCCCCCCUUUUUAGUUAUCCAAUUUGUGCUUCAAUACCGUAUCUGGCUUGACUUUAAUUAAGACUCAUGUUUCUAAGAUUUUCUCGAUCAAUCAUUCGCUAAGAAAGUUAAUUGGCGGACCAAAAUAAACUUAUAUUCUCAUCAUUCUUUAAUAUCUAUGUUUAAAACAAUAUUUUAUGGGAAUAUUAUAUUAAUACCUUUGAACAAUAUUUUAUUUUUUCUAAAAAAUCGCAAAUUUUUAUUUUGAAUAUUAUAUUAUUGAUCUCGAAAUAUCGUAAUGUUAUACAGUAAUAUUCUUUAACAAUAUUCUGUAGUUAUUCUUGGAUAAUUAUGAAUUUAUACACUUCAAUGUAAAAUAUUGUAUUGAUCUUGAAUUUUAACUAUACUGCAUUUAAAGAAGCAAAAAUUUAUUUAUAUUAAUAUUAAAGAAGAAUAUUGCUUUGAUACUCUAGAAGAGUCAAUAUUGCAUUAUGUGGGAGAAUAAACUUCCUGGAAAUAUGCUCAAUAUCAUUUGAUUGAAUAGUUGACCCACUCCUUGUUGUUUGAAGAAACCCUCCACUUCAAUACUAUUGAUAAUAACUUAGUACUAAAUUAGUAAGAAACCUACCAAGUUUCUAAAAUAUUUGUCAUGAUUGAUACUAUAUCGACAUUGGUAUAUUUGAAAUAAACAUUGCAUUGAACAAGAAGUUCAAUUAUUGAAUAUAUUAUUGCUUGACAUUAUUAUUUGGUUCAUCACUUGAUCAAUAAUAAUGCAAAAUUAAGAAUUCAAAUGAAUAUUCAGAAGAACUAUAAAUUCUUCAAUCUAAUGAAUUCCUAAAUAAUACUUUUUCCAUGUGUUACGAAUUGGUCUUGAUCAUCACUAGAUAAAGUUAGAACUAAAUAUCAAUAAUCUUGAAAUUAAAUAGGGCAUGUUGACCAUCUAGUUAUAAUUGUGUGUGAUAAAUAUAUUUACUAGAUGAUUGCAUUGUGUUUGCACCUGAACUUUGCAAAUUCUUUUAUUAAAUUUUAAAUUAUUAGCUUAAAUUUUAUAUUAUACCAUCAAGACAAUGUAUCAUGUCAAUGUUAGUAAAUCUACAUCCAAAUUAAUAUUUUGAUAAAUGUUGAUUGGGAUGACAAUAAAUUGUUUAACACAAUUGAUUGUUAAAUACCUCCAAUUAAUUUCUUAACUAUUAUUGUUAAAAACAAAGUACUUUCCAUUUAUGUUUAGAUAAUGACACAUUAUGCACCAAGCCAAUGUCAAAGUUAGAGCCUAACUUUUCAUUUAUGGUUAGAACCUAAUAUUUUUCAUCUAAUGAUUUUCUAAUGUGCAAUAUAUAUACCAUAGUGCAAUGGGAUAGUUAUUAAAGAAUGAUGAGAAUUUAAUUUUAUUUUGAACCCUUACAAAAUAUUCUAAACUCUCAAGGUUGAUAUUUUAUAACACAGUUUGCUCACGUCAAUUUAAUUAAAUAAUUCUCUCAAUAUUAAGGGAAGAAAUUGGUAGCUGAAAAUAUUACACAAUGCAUCAUAUUAUGCUGUCUAUAUCCUUGCACUUGAUAAUCUGAAAAAAUAAUUCAAUUGCAAAAUACAUUUCUGGCAUAUAAGAAAUUACUAAAAUCUCAUAUACCAACUAUAGACAUUCAAUGCCGUAUUGUUAUCUUAGAAAGACUAAACUAUUGCAACGCAUAAAUAAUAUGUUGAAACUUUGUGACAUUUGAUUCUUAAAAAAACAAAAAAGAAAAGAGAAAAAAGAAAAAAAGAAAAAAAAAACAAGAAGAAGAAAAGAGGUUUAUCCUAAUUAGGAAGCGUAUAUUCUUGGACGUCUCUCAUUAAAUUAUGUCAUUAUGAAAAAGAAAUAGAAUUGAAAAGAAAAGAAAAAGUUGUCGACAAUACUUUUGUACAUAAUAUACCACUUCAUAUUAUGAAUAGCAAAUAUAUCGAAAUAAAUUUGUUGAGCAUAUUGAUUGAAGAAAUGAUUAGCAAAAUUAAGAAUGCAAUCUUAUUAAAACUGAACUUAUUAGGGAAACCAAAAGCAUUUGGACCUAAAGUUCGAGGACCUAAAUGUAUAUACCCAUGCAAAAAGUAAAUAAGAAAAAUGAAGCGUAAUAUGUAAUGCACGACUUUUCAACAUAAUAAAUUUCGCCAUAGUGAAUGCAAUCACAAGUCAAUAUAUUGUUAUCAUCACGAUGCAUGAAAUUUGAAAUGUGAUUGGCAUCACUAUUAAUGUUAUCCUUGAAGAAUUUAAUAUGACUGAAACAUAUAAUUCAAGUAAUAUUAUUUUGAGGAGGAAUAAAUGUGUUGUACUUUUUUUUUUUUUUUUAAAUCAAGAUUUCGUCUCAUUGAAUUUCAUGAUGAGAUUUCUAAUGAGACAACUUUUUUAGUAUACUUUAAAGAAAAAUGUACUAUUUUUCCUUUAUUGGGAUUUUUUGCACAUGAUUUUUCUAGUAUGGUUUUAACGUGGCAUAUUCUUUGUGUAAUAGAUGUCUAAAACCCACUAGACAUUUACUCUCAAAAUAAUAUUCUUAUAUGUUACAAAUUGCCGAUGACUCUAGAAGAGAGCAAUAACACAAUCUAAUUUUCAUUGGAUCAUCAUGUUGUCUAAAAUCAAACAAAGAUUGAUAAAAAUCUUCUAUGAAAACAAUAUUACUUGUAUGCUUUAACAAGACAAAAUGAAACAUAUUUUACCAGAAUUGAAAUAUUUAAAACAGUGACGUACAAGACAUAGACGGUCGAUACAAGAAUUUUUAUUUAUUUAAAUCAAAGGAGUAGAUGUACACUUUUCUUUGUCAAUCAAGUUUUGUCCCAUUGGAUUUUCAUGACACAAUAUUAAUGAGGAAGUAUUUAUUAAUACAUAGUUUGUUAUAAUUAUUUGUACACUUCUUUCGUUUGUGUUCGUAGUUUUGUCCCACUGAGUUUUUGUCAAAUUAGGUUUUUAAUGAGGAGAAUAUUGUAUACAACUAUGAGAUAAUUAUUGAUGCCGAUUUAGUCUUAUCAAGAUACUUAGAUAAAUCUUAUUUACUUUGUAAGGGUCUAUUUUAUUCAGAUUGUAAUGCUUCUUUUAAACCUUAUAAAUAUGUGUCCAUUAUUGCAACAAACUUACAAACUUAGUCUUGACCCUAUCUAUUCAUUUUUUGUAUCUCUCUCUUUUUCCUUUAGAAUUAUGAAAUUAGUAGAUUUGUUAUCCUUUCAAAUUAUCAAACUAGUAGAUUUGUUAUUAGGUACUUUUAAACUUCAGUUUGUUUUUAAGGUGAUUUAAUAGUAACAUACUGCUUCUUUCUUUAUAAGGUGAUGUAGUUUCCCAACUACCAUUGCAAUGGUAUAUUAUAUUAAAUUCCAUUAUAACGGCAUCUAGUAUAUCUUUAUACUAUGCUUUGUGUUGAAGUCGAGAAUUGGGAAUGAGACCCAUAAUUCUCUCUGUUGGCGUAUUGUCACACGGAUUUUGAUGAGUAAUGUGCUAACGAAGGCAUACUUGCAAGUCCACUCCUGUAACGGAUUUGGUGGUGAUGUGCCAAAAGAGGUACAUUUUCAGAGGAUGUAAAAGAAAGGAAUUUGAGUCUUUCGUGUUGCACCGUCUUAUUUAGCUUCCAUUUCAGCCCCUUCUCAUUUUCUGCCAAUUGCUGAAGUCGUGUGUGCUACCUUGACCGUUGGAAAUACAUUUACAAUUUCACCCUUCUUCUCAACUUGCCGAUUCCUAAUUCAAAACUAUUAUAAGGGCAGUAUUGUAAUUGGUGUUGGCUAUGAUAGUAUUAUUUUAUUGUAAAUUCCACAUCCAAAUGACAAACUGGACGGUUCAAUGAAGUAAUAGACACGUUGAUCUAUCAAUAUCCAAUUGGACGAACGGUGUAAACUAGGAACAGAGAAAAAGACAGUAUAGCUUUAUAGUUUGAACAAUUGAGCUGGUAAAUGGGAAGUUGCAUACUCACUUUAUUCAGUGGUUGUCCAGAACUGCAUUCAAAAUUAUACUCUUAAUUUAACUAGUAUACAACAGAUUUUGGGUCAUCUGCUCCAGCUUGCAUCUGGCAAUGGAUCUUUUUGCCACAGCAUUGCCAAGAAAACCCUUGAGCCCGACCCAAUGUGAGUGAUCAUUGGAGUUGUGCAGAGAAGACGUCGCUCGCCUUUCGUAUCAAACCUGUGAUAAUUAAAUCAUAUGAAAUAAUAUCGGGUGCGACAUAGAGAGUUAAGUAAUUCCCAACCUAUAUUCUCUGUUUCUUGACCAGUAUUUUUCAGCGUAUCCUAGGACCAAAAGGACAUUCCAAAAUUAGAUGGAUCAAAACCACCAACCAAAAAACAAAUCUUGAUUCACUUUGUGCCCAUAGAGAUUAAUGAUAAUCUUCAGCAGCAAGUAUACAAAUUGCCAGUGUAUCCAUUACUUCAACGGAAAUUCUUCCUAAAAGAAGAGGAAGCUCGAUUGUCACAUACCACUAACAACUCACCAUCUUUAUUUAGACUUUCAAUGCCAGGGCAGAGCAUGAAGCAAAAUGGUAAUAACCAUAUACAUAAUGAAGGAAUGAUCCAUGUAAGAAGCCUAUGUACUUAAUAUGCUUCAAGUGUCAGGGUAAAGUAAAAAUAAAAAACUACUAGCGUCUACACCUCAGAAAAGUGUCAUCCUAGUACAACUAACAAUUGAAUAUUCACCAUCCCGAAAGACGUUGAACCGACCAUGCUAAUGAAUUUGCCACUCGCUUAAAUGUCCAUUUACCAGUAUAAUAUAAACAACACUGAAAGUUUAAAUGAGGUACAGGAAUUACCCUGAUGAGCCUGUAUUUUGGCUCGUAUUUCUUUGCACUCUCAACAGAAUCAUAGAUCAAGCCAAAACCAGUGGAAUUGCCUCCACCAAAGUGCGUCCUGAACUUAAAAACAAAUAUGGCAUUUGGAUCUUUCACUUCAUACAUCCUUGCCAAUUUCUNNNNNNNNNNNNNNNNNNNNNNNNNNNNNNNNNNNNNNNNNNNNNNNNNNNNNNNNNNNNNNNNNNNNNNNNNNNNNNNNNNNNNNNNNNNNNNNNNNNNNNNNNNNNNNNNNNNNNNNNNNNNNNNNNNNNNNNNNNNNNNNNNNNNNNNNNNNNNNNNNNNNNNNNNNNNNNNNNNNNNNNNNNNNNNNNNNNNNNNNNNNNNNNNNNNNNNNNNNNNNNNNNNNNNNNNNNNNNNNNNNNNNNNNNNNNNNNNNNNNNNNNNNNNNNNNNNNNNNNNNNNNNNNNNNNNNNNNNNNNNNNNNNNNNNNNNNNNNNNNNNNNNNNNNNNNNNNNNNNNNNNNNNNNNNNNNNNNNNNNNNNNNNNNNNNNNNNNNNNNNNNNNNNNNNNNNNNNNNNNNNNNNNNNNNNNNNNNNNNNNNNNNNNNNNNNNNNNNNNNNNNNNNNNNNNNNNNNNNNNNNNNNNNNNNNNNNNNNNNNNNNNNNNNNNNNNNNNNNNNNNNNNNNNNNNNNNNNNNNNNNNNNNNNNNNNNNNNNNNNNNNNNNNNNNNNNNNNNNNNNNNNNNNNNNNNNNNNNNNNNNNNNNNNNNNNNNNNNNNNNNNNNNNNNNNNNNNNNNNNNNNNNNNNNNNNNNNNNNNNNNNNNNNNNNNNNNNNNNNNNNNNNNNNNNNNNNNNNNNNNNNNNNNNNNNNNNNNNNNNNNNNNNNNNNNNNNNNNNNNNNNNNNNNNNNNNNNNNNNNNNNNNNNNNNNNNNNNNNNNNNNNNNNNNNNNNNNNNNNNNNNNNNNNNNNNNNNNNNNNNNNNNNNNNNNNNNNNNNNNNNNNNNNNNNNNNNNNNNNNNNNNNNNNNNNNNNNNNNNNNNNNNNNNNNNNNNNNNNNNNNNNNNNNNNNNNNNNNNNNNNNNNNNNNNNNNNNNNNNNNNNNNNNNNNNNNNNNNNNNNNNNNNNNNNNNNNNNNNNNNNNNNNNNNNNNNNNNNNNNNNNNNNNNNNNNNNNNNNNNNNNNNNNNNNNNNNNNNNNNNNNNNNNNNNNNNNNNNNNNNNNNNNNNNNNNNNNNNNNNNNNNNNNNNNNNNNNNNNNNNNNNNNNNNNNNNNNNNNNNNNNNNNNNNNNNNNNNNNNNNNNNNNNNNNNNNNNNNNNNNNNNNNNNNNNNNNNNNNNNNNNNNNNNNNNNNNNNNNNNNNNNNNNNNNNNNNNNNNNNNNNNNNNNNNNNNNNNNNNNNNNNNNNNNNNNNNNNNNNNNNNNNNNNNNNNNNNNNNNNNNNNNNNNNNNNNNNNNNNNNNNNNNNNNNNNNNNNNNNNNNNNNNNNNNNNNNNNNNNNNNNNNNNNNNNNNNNNNNNNNNNNNNNNNNNNNNNNNNNNNNNNNNNNNNNNNNNNNNNNNNNNNNNNNNNNNNNNNNNNNNNNNNNNNNNNNNNNNNNNNNNNNNNNNNNNNNNNNNNNNNNNNNNNNNNNNNNNNNNNNNNNNNNNNNNNNNNNNNNNNNNNNNNNNNNNNNNNNNNNNNNNNNNNNNNNNNNNNNNNNNNNNNNNNNNNNNNNNNNNNNNNNNNNNNNNNNNNNNNNNNNNNNNNNNNNNNNNNNNNNNNNNNNNNNNNNNNNNNNNNNNNNNNNNNNNNNNNNNNNNNNNNNNNNNNNNNNNNNNNNNNNNNNNNNNNNNNNNNNNNNNNNNNNNNNNNNNNNNNNNNNNNNNNNNNNNNNNNNNNNNNNNNNNNNNNNNNNNNNNNNNNNNNNNNNNNNNNNNNNNNNNNNNNNNNNNNNNNNNNNNNNNNNNNNNNNNNNNNNNNNNNNNNNNNNNNNNNNNNNNNNNNNNNNNNNNNNNNNNNNNNNNNNNNNNNNNNNNNNNNNNNNNNNNNNNNNNNNNNNNNNNNNNAUAUUGAUACAAGAUAUCACUUCAUAAGAGAAAGUAUUGCAAAGAAAGAAGUGCAGCUGAAAUAUGUAACCUCCCAGGAGCAGAUCGCUGACAUUCUCACUAAGCCACUCAAGCAUGAUGUGUUCCGCAAGUUAAGAACUCUACUUGGAGUGUCAAAAUCAAGUUUAAGGGGGGAUGUUGAGUAGUAAACUUGAUUUUUGGACUAAAUAAUAUGGGCUUAAGGAUUUUGCUUAUAGGCCCAAAUCAAUUAAAAGACCCAACAUGCAUAGCAUUUCUAGAAGCAUUAUCUAGAAAAAUCUAUAUAAAUAUCUACUAGAAAUAUCUAUAUAAAUAUCUAAGUAAGAUAUGUAGUUUUAUAAAGAAUAUCUAGAGAAUUCUAGGAAAAUAUCUUGAUAUGUGGUCUAGGUGUCUCUAGAAAAUAUGUGGACUAGAAUCUUCUUGUAAACACUAUAUAAAGGGGUAGUGCCCUCCAUUUUGUAACAAGCCAAAAAGUGUGUAAAGUCUUGAAUUUGAGAAAUACAAGUUUCCUCUUUUUUCACUUCCUUCUUCCUAUUAGUGUUGUCCUCUUAAAAGCCUUAGUCAAUCCAAGUUAGUAAACCCAUCUUUCCUCCAACAAGUUUUACUUCUAUAACCCACUGAUUUUACAGUUAACCUUUUCGGAAUCAGACAUGGACCCAGACGAGUACAAAAUAUAAGGACUUCUCGAUUCUCUGACAUAUAUACUUCAUUCCAUAUCUUACGUAAAACAACGAAGGUAGGAAAUAAAAAAAAAAGAAAAAAAGGGAAAUGAUGCAGAAAAAGCAUAAAACUAGCACUUAAAGGAAUAAUGCGAAUAAGUUGAAUUUUCCAUACAAAAUAGGCUAACCCACCAGUUAAGCGAGUUGCCUUGUAAAACCACAACAACGCCAAAAAUGGACCUCCAAAUGAGUACAUGGAGUCACACAAACUAGCGUCCUCAAUGGGAAAAAUAUUGGAAACCUGUAGAAAUUGAAGCCAACCAAAAGAAAGCAAUCAUCUCAAGGACAAUAUAUGACUUCAAUACAUCACUCCAAUGUACAAUUUCUUUCAUGGUCUGUAGAGAUCAAGGGAGAUCGAGAUUGAGUGGCAUGUAGGUCGCAUCGCCGCUGCUACAGGACCCUCAGUGGCAGUGGGAGCACCGGGGCCAAAUCUUGGCCCAGGUUGGUACGCCAAGACCAAGGGGCACCGAGGCCAGAUCUUGGCCCAGGUGGGUCCUCCGAGACCAAUGGGGGUCGGGAUCGAGUGGCGCGUAGGUCGCAACACCGCUGCUACCGAGGCCUUGGUGGUGGUGGGAGUACCGAGGCCAGAUUUUGGCCCAGUGUUCAGUCUAAAAUCGAGAUCAGGGGAGAUCGAGAUGGAGUGGCAUGUAGCUCCAUCAUAGCUGGAAUGUUUUAACGACUAUGGCUUGAGGCUUGAUGCAGUCGACUGCACGAUUUCUAGCUCAGGCUGGAAGAUUUUGAAAAGGAGAAAAUGGAAUUGAACGUUAUCGAAUCCAAACCGGUAUAUAUUUCAUUCUGUAUUUUAAUAAAUAGCGUACAACGAGAUAUUUUUUUUAUCAUAUUUUAAAUAAUAAAUAAUUAAUUACGAAAAGUAUUCUCUCCUCGUCUCAAAGCAUAGAACAAAAUAUUUGAAGUAAAUCAUCAUUAAUGAAGAGAUGUACUAAUUAAUGAAAAAUUGAAGAUAAGAAUUUAACUCCAAAAAAAUAAAAAAAAAUGAUUGCUAUAACGUGAAGUACAAUUAAAAUGUCAUGUAACGAAUAAAAAUUGGAGUACCAAUAUAAAUUGACAUCCUUUGAUAGAGACAAAAAAUAAAAAAUCUGAAACAUGUUUUUUUUGCUCGGAUUAUAUUAUAUUGGCUAUAUGCUAACAGAAAUGUAAUACAAAAGAGGUAAAUAACAGAAACUACUUCAAAACAUUAUUGUUCAUUUAAUUAUUGAUUCAAAGCUCCAAAUUUGCAUUUAGCCUAAACUUUCCGAAUUUGCUCCAUCUCUUGCGAUUCUAAGUCUGGUUCCUUGUCAAUAUUUAUUGUUGUAGUCAUAUAUAUGUUAAGAACAUGAAUUGUUGGCAGCAGAAGUUGAACACUCUGCUUAAAACUUCUUCACGUACUAGAGAUACAAGCAGUGCAUAAAGAGAGCAGCAUAAUUAUGGGGUAGAUAUACCAAAAGACAUCUUGAGGGAAGAAUAACGAGGCCAAGAAACAAACCAAUAGGGUAACUGAGUAAUUCUUGACUUGAAUGCGUAUGUAUCCCAUAUCAACUUGAGGUGUCAAUUGGAUUUCAAUGGAGAUGAAGGAGAAGAGAAAGAAAAAGCUAGCAAAACUUGAUCCAAGUGAAGUUCUCAAUUACUAUACCAAAUGGAUUCCAUUCCCAAGGCAUGGCUGUAUAUGGUUUCAAUAUGUUUACAACGAAUAGGAGUAAUUGGAAACUUCAGUUGGAUCCAUUUGGUAUAGUAAUUGGAAACUUUAGUUGGAUCAAGUUUUGGCUUCUCGCUAGCUUCUUCUUUCUCUCCUCCUUCAUUUCCAUUGACACCUCAAGUUGAUAUGGGAUACAUACGCAUUCAAGUCGAGAAUUACUCAGUUUCCCAAUUGGUUUGUUUCUUGGCCUCAGUAUUCUUCCCACAAGAUGUCUUUUGGUAUAUCUACCCAUAAUUAAGCUGCUCUCCUUAUGCACUGCUUGUAUCUCUAGCACGUGGAGGAGUUUUAAGUAGAGUGUUCAACUUCUACUGCCAACAAUUCUUAUACUUAACAUAUAUAUGACUACAACAAUAAAUAUUGACGAGGAACCAGACUUAGAAUCGCAGGAGAUAAAGCAAAUUGAGCAAGUUUAGGCCAAAUGCAAAUCUGGAGCUUUGAAUCAGUAAUUAAAUGAACAAUAAUGUUUUGAAGUAGUUUCUGUUAUUUGCCUCUUUUGUAUUACAUUUCUGUUAGCAUAUAGCCAAUGUAAUUCGAUCAAAAAAAAUGUGUUGCAGAUUUUUAGAUUUUUUAUUUUUAUUUUUUUGUCUCUACAAGAGAGAAACUUGGGUGGGGCGGUCGCACCAUCCACGUGGUACGAUUGCCCAACCCCGAGGCGCCAGCUCUGUAGAUGGCCCACAUACCCCCGGCCACCGCACCGCCACGUGGUGCAACCGCCCUACCUAAAUUUUUUUCCUCUAUCAAAGGAUGUCAAUUUAGAUUGGUACUACAAAUUUUAUUCGUUUCACUACAUUUUAAUUGUACUUCGCAUUAUAGCAAUCAUUUUUAAAUUUUUUUUGUCAAAUUCUUAUCUUCAAUUUUAAUACAUCGUGUCAUUAAUGACGAUUUACCUCAAAUAUUUUUUUGGGCGACUUUUGCGACAAUUUUCCCAUCGAAUCCCUUGGAGUUACGGGGAGAUGUUGGGUGUAAUUGAAGAGAAUAUUGUCGACUUUCCAACGUUAUCAAAAUUUGACGAUAAUCCAUGGUCAAAAGUGGCCGAAAUGUUGCAACAAAAGCAGCCCAAAAAAUUGAAAAUGUGGUUUUAAACUUCAGUGACCGUUUCUGUAAAUUUUUAAACUUCAAUGACCAUUUCUGAAAGUUUUUAACUUCAAUGACCAUCUCUAAAAGCGCCCUGAAACUUAAGUGACCGUUACUGAAAGUUUUAAACUUUAGUGACCGUUUUGUAAUUUUUGCAUAAGUUCAGUGACCGUUUUUGAAAUUAAUCCAAAAAAGUUUGCAUGUAGAGUUUCAUGUUUCUUAAAAUGUACAAACGAAUCUCACGAAAAACAAUUUAAAACAUUCUAAUUAAAGAAAAAUAUUUUAUAUUCUUAAUUAACCCACCAACUCCUACACCCAUCCCCUACAUUCCACCACCACUACAAAAUUAAUCAAAGAUAUAAUUAAAAGUAUAAUAAAAGCAAAAUAAUAAUAAUAAUAAUAAUAAUUAACAUAGAAAAAUAAAAAUAAAAAAAUUUAUGGCCCCAUUCGACCCCAUUAAUUUUAAUUGUAAUGGGGGAAAUAGAGUUUUUUUGAAAAAUGAAUGGUUGUAAAAGAAUAAAAAGUUUUCGAUUUACUUCCAAUAUUAUUUUAUUGAAAAUUGUGUGAUUUAAAAUAAGAAAGAAAAAUUUAAUUUAAUUUGAUGAGAUGUAAUGGGGGGCAAACGAGGGCAAUAUAAAAACGAAUGGCGCUUAUUCCUCAUCAAAUAAUUUUUAAACUUUUAAUUCUUUUUUUUAAUUAUUUGAUGGUGGUGUUGAUGGAGGAGGAUAUGCAUAGGGGUUGAGAUAGGGAUAGGUGGUUAAUUGGAAAAAUAAUUUUUUUACUAGAAUGUUUUAAAUUGUUUUGCAUAAAAUUCAUUUGUAAUUUUAAAAAAAAUUAUAAAAUCUAGAUACAACAUUAUAUAUAUAUGUCUAUCUAAAGACGAUGAUAAAUUAGUCAUUUUAUAAUGUUAUAAUAGAAAAAAUGGAUGGUAAGGAUCUUUUAAGCAAAGAAAUGUUGAUCUAAGUGUUCAAAUGUCAAAAUUGAAAUGAUAAGAACUAUUCACGCAAUUAAAGCAAACGAUAGGCACGUUUUUGCUCCAAAUUACACAUAUUUAACUGAAAGAUUUAAUGAAAUAUGAUGGAAAGCACCGAUUCUGCAAGAAACGUUUGAAAUAAGAGUGUAAAUGGCAAGUUUGAAACAAUAUGGACCAUUUUCACAAUGAGUACAAACGAUUGGAAUGCCUUUUGCUAAUUACCCUAAAGUAUAUUUACUCUCUAGAUAUCAAGGGAAUUUAGCCGUUGUCUAACACCAAUUAAAAUUUUAAUAUAUUUUUCUCUUUUCUUUUCAAUCAUGUAUUCAUCAAUAAAAUAAUAUUACAAGUAAAUCAAAAAAUUUCCUUCUUUUUUAACCACAAAUUCUUCCAAAAAAUACUAUUCCAUAAUACAGAUUACCAAAAUUUCUCAUUAUAAUGGAUGUAAAACAAAGGCUUAAUAUAAACUAAUUUACACUUUACUUUUAUAAUAAAUAAUGUUAUUCAUAGUGAAAAUUAUUGAUAGUCAUCCUUCAUAACAUACACAUGACAAUGUGUUAUUUGAAUUUUGAUGCAUAGGACGAUAAAAAAUUAUCAUAUUAAUGUAUCAAAUAAUGUCAUGUGUACGUCACGUAAGAUAGCUAUCGAUAGUCCUCACUAUGAUUAUCAUUACUCUUUUAUAAAUAUAACAUGUCCAAACGUGGCGACAAAAAUGGAGCCUCCGAGCUCCUAUAGAGAGAUUGCCGCAUUGACUAUAAAUAAACAAAAGCAAUGAAACUAUUGUGAAACAAUAAAAAUUUUCAAAAAUAAUCAAUUCUUCUCGACGAGUAGAGUUAAAAGGCUAGUUUGAAACGAAAGAUAGUGCAUUGCACCGUGAUGCAGCAGGGCAGCAUUGGUGAAAGGGCAAACAGGGCAACAUCUGUGAAAGGUAGUAAAAUAAAGGGAACCACCAUAAGAGAGGAGAAUUUGAUUUCAGAAUUUAAAAAUCCCAGCCUCUUAAUAAGUAUAACGAAAGGAGGGCAAGAGUAAAAAUGCUUAAACGAGAAACUUAGCUUGAACUAAACUGCUCUAUAUAGUAGAAAAUGAUGGAGUUAAAUGUUUCAUUGACCACCAAACUUUACACUAGUCACGAUUUAUUCACCGAACUUCAUUAAUUGUCUCAUUGGCCACUGAACUUUGCUCCGUUCAACUCCAUCACUCACCCGUUCAAAACCGUUAAUAGACGUGCUGAUGUGGCGAAUGGAAAAAUGACGUGGCCGGUUAACUCCUUCCAAGUAGUAAGUGAUUUGCCAACUAAGCUUCCACGUUAGUAAUGGAGCAUCCAAACACGGCAUUACCAAUUUCAUUUCACACGACUUUACAGAAUUAUAACCCAAUUAGUGUGAAAUCUCUCUCAAAUUACUUCCUCCCAUUCGCGAAGAACCCUAAGUAUCUGAACCAAGAUUCUCCAAAAAUCUCUCAAAUCCUAUCAUCCUGAAAUCCAUUUCUAUAAAAUCUCACAUGAAGUCUCUGUAUUCUGAAAAUCCAUUCAAUUCAUUCGGGUAAUUUCCCAUGAUAUGGUAGGACACGAAUUGAUGAUUUUUGAAUGGAAAAUUGGUUUUGUUCAUAACUCAUUUUAUUUUUGGUUUGCAUCUUCGUCUUUCCGAUAAUGGUCAAGAACACACUACUUUCUAGUCGUUAAUGGAGGAAAAACAUGUUUAUACCAUUCCUCUCCAUAAUCCAAUUAACACUCAUUUUGGGUAUUCUGCCAAUGUGAAUGUUGGGUAUUUUGUGUUUGGCUCUAAUAAAGAUAGCUCAUUGUUGAAACAGGUGACUGGAAAAAAGGCCCUGUUGAUGAAACUACUUUGACCGUUGAAGGAUUUGAAUCCUGAUGGAACUACUUUGCUUGUUGAUGAAAUGAAUAACACUAAAUUAAAAUUUGGUAGUAGGUGUGUUUUAGGUACUGAAUUUCAGAAAAAGCCUCCUAUUUAAACUCUCGAAUGAGAUGAAGGGAUUAAAGAUUGUUAAUUUUGCAGUGUUGCUGAGAAGAGUAAAAAAUUUGGCAGCAAUUCAUCUGUCUGUCACUGCCAAUAACAUAUUCAUGUUUGCAAUCAAUGGAAGGGGGGUAUCCGUUGCCUUUGUCCACCAUUUAUGGUAAUAGGAACUGGGACUGGUUGUGCUUGGAAACAGCUACAAUUUGCUUCAUUAAAAAUUCUGGUAAUUUGUUCUAUUUUACUGUAUUAUUUUUUAUUGCAUUCCCAGUUCUAUCAUUAUUUGUUUAUUUAAUUAAUGUUUAAUGACACAUCUUUAUGCUUUUUGUCCUUCAUUUAUCUCAGUUAAGUAGAGCCAUAUACCACACCAACAAUUUGAAGCAGAUCAAGGAUGGAACAAUUGUGAAGCACCUCUAUACUAAAGUUUUCAACCGAUUUCGUAUUUUGUAAUGUCCAAAGUUUUGUUUUUGGCAUGUAAAUUGAAGUCAGAUUGGGAUGGUACAAUGUUGUUGUUGAGAUAGAACAUAUUCACAUUUAUGAAAUCAGUGGGUUGCUGCUUCCAUAACUAUUUUAAGCACUAGACGUUGAGAUGAAUUAUGUUUAAAGCACUACAUGAAAUCAGUAUGUUGCUGUUGCCAUAACUAUAUUAGCUUUCGACUAGUUGAAGAAUGAGGUAUUAGAACAUCGUGGAACUUGUACGAAAGCAAGUCUUCGAAGUCUUAACUGCAGCAGUAAUGUAAUUAGACUACAAAUAUUAUAGUACUGUAACUAUCUUCAAAUGAUUCUAUAAUAUCUUGAUGAAUGAAACUAACAACAUCAACAAGCAUACCUACACAUGGUAAAAUAUCAAAUCAAAUCAAUUCAAUUUCCCGAAUAAUGGUAAGAUCCCAGGUGAACAAAAUCAAUUCAAGCUUUAUAAGAAGUGCAUACAACGGCAUAACUAAAAACACAUUACGAAUACAAUAACAUUGGUCCAACUUGAUGAAUAUUCUAACAUUUUUUAAAUCAACAACAUAGGCAGUCUAAUUUCACGGAGUUCUUCCCUUCUAUUUCCCGUUCUUUUCUACAUGACCUUUACCCUUGCGGAUAGUAACAUUGAAUGAGAUUUCCACUUCCUCUUGUUCGAUUAUGUGAAUCCUUCAAUACCCAAGACAAAUCUUCAAUUGGAAUGUCGGGCUGAGAGUUACCCGAACAAACACAUCGGUUUUCACCACUGGACUCACCCUCAAAUUGCACAUAUUCUUCCAUGCCAUGGAAACCUGCCAUUGCAGCCACGAACAGUAAGACAGUCAUAUGGUUAUCGUAAUGAAUUGGCAAUACACACACCAACAUUUAUGCUUACUACUCAUAAUUAACAUCUAGGAACUUGAAGGUAUGAGGGCAAUAUUUAAUGGAUGAGCUGUUUGUUUAUACUCUAGCACAAAAUUUCCAAACGAAAAUCAACAACGUGCUUAAUCCAACUUUGUGAAUAGCAUUAAGUUGUAAGCAUGGCAUUAAGAGUUCAUCAAGCUUAGAAACAUCUAAUCUCGUUCGGCAUAGUUAAUUCUGUCAUAAAAUUACAACUCAUUAACAUUUGGACAGUAACAUAUGAAGAAGAAAAUAUUCAACUUUAACAUUCAAAAUGUACUGCAAUUUCACCGUCUCACAUUUAAGGUGCUAAAUGUGAAAAUUGUUAAUAAGAGACUCAACUUUAUCAAAAACGCAAAACCAAAAAUCAUGCAUUUUCUAUUAAAGUUUGACAGACUCAACGUUAAGUGCUUGGUUUCACAUCAAUUAAACAUUGCAGAAACUUUUCCAAUUGAGUUAUCGCACAACUUCAAUUUUUUUCGGGUCGUGUCAUUAUAAUAAAAAAAAGCACAGAAAUAAGAACCAAGAAAUCCAUUAUUAAAUAAAGCCAAAAAUGAGUUAUUUAUCUAAAUUUCCAAAACAGAGGCAGAAAAAAAUUAUUCCACUAAGCCCACUAAAAUGGCGGAAUUACCUUCAUCAGAACCGUCCAUGUGUAUGCCUUCAAGUGUGUAGAACAAUUGCGGAUUUUUAGCUCACAUACUUCGCAAUUUGAUCGGGGCUAGGAUUCUUGAGCUGAAUUUGGGGAUCACGACAUAGAAGAGUGGCCUAUUGUUUGUUCACAUACUUUCGAUUCAAUCUUGCAGGUUGGGUGCUUGAGUUGCAGUUGGGAUUGCAACCUAGAAUAAUGGUCUAUUCUUUGUUCCCAUACUUCACGAAUCCAUUUUGAGGGUUAGGGUUCUUCAGGUGAACGUUGGGGAUCAAUUGAUUUGAGGAAGAAGCUUAGUUGAGAUGAAAUUAGGAUUCUUCGUGAAUGGGAGAGGAGCAAUUGAUUUUGAAGGAGAAUCUGAUUUGGCAUUUAGCCCCUGUUUGAUCUCCAUUAAAUUAAAUUACAUUACAUUACAUUUUUCUCUCUCCUAUUUUCAACCACACAAUCUUCCAUAAAAUAAUAUUACACGUAAAACGAAAACUUUUCUUCUUUUUCAACCGUUCAUUUUUCUAAAAAAAUACUAUUUUUCCCAUUUUCAUUUUCAGGUAAUGGGGGUCAAACAGGGGCUUAAUANNNNNNNNNNNNNNNNNNNNNNNNNNNNNNNNNNNNNNNNNNNNNNNNNNNNNNNNNNNNNNNNNNNNNNNNNNNNNNNNNNNNNNNNNNNNNNNNNNNNNNNNNNNNNNNNNNNNNNNNNNNNNNNNNNNNNNNNNNNNNNNNNNNNNNNNNNNNNNNNNNNNNNNNNNNNNNNGAGUUCAUCAAGCUUAGAAACAUCUAAUCUCGUCCGGCAUAGUUAAUUCUGUCAUAAAAUUACAACUCAUUAACAUUUGGACAGUAACAUAUGAAGAAGAAAAUAUUCAACUUUAACAUUCAAAAUGUACUGCUAUUUCACCGUCUCACAUUUAAGGUGCUAAAUGUGAAAAUUGUUAAUAAGAGACUCAACUUUAUCAAAAACGCAAAACCAAAAAUCAUGCAUUUUCUAUUAAAGUUUGACAGACUCAACGUUAAGUGCUUGGUUUCACAUCAAUUAAACAUUGCAGAAACUUUUCCAAUUGAGUUAUCGCACAACUUCAAUUUUUUUCGGGUCGUGUCAUUACGUAAUAAAAAAAAAAGCACAGAAAUAUGAACCUAGAAAUCCAUUAUUAAAUAAAGCCAAAAAUGAGUUAUUUAUCUAAAUUUCCAAAACUGAGGCAGAAAAAAAUUAUUCCACUAAGCCCACUAAAAUGGCGGAAUUACCUUCAUCAGAACCGUCCAUGUGUAUGCCUUCAAGUGUGUAGAACAAUUGCGGAUUUUUAGCUCACAUACUUCGCAAUUUGAUCGGGGUUAGGAUUCUUGAGCUGAAUUUGGGGAUCACGACAUAGAAGAGUGGUCGAUUGUUUGUUCAAAUACUUUCGAUUCAAUUUUGCAGGUUGGGUGCUUGAGUUGCAGUUGGGAUUGCAACCUAGAAUAAUGGUCUAUUCUUUGUUCCCAUACUUCACGAAUCCAUUUUGAGGGUUAGGGCUCUUCAGGUGAACGUUGGGGAUCAAUUGAUUUGAGGAAGAAGCUUAGAUGAGAUGAAAUUAGGGUUCUUCGUGAAUGGGAGAGGAGCAAUUGAUUUUGAAGGAGAAUCUGAUUUGGCAUUUAGCCCCUGUUUGAUCUCCAUUAAAUUAAAUUACAUUACAUUACAUUUUUCUCUCUCCUAUUUUCAACCACACAAUCUUCCAUAAAAUAAUAUUACACGUAAAACGAAAACUUUUCUUCUUUUUCAACCGUUCAUUUUUCUAAAAAAUACUAUUUUUCCCAUUUUCAUUUUCAGGUAAUGGGGGUCAAACAGGGGCUUAAUAAAAAGAUUUUGUUAAAUCGUGUUUGACGAAAAUUGCAAGUCGUGUUGGUAAGGUUUAAGGCUUUUUUGCUGUCGUGGGAGCUGAUUUGGUGAAAGAGUUAUUAUUUGUAGUGAUUUAACUGGCCAACUCAUUUUGCCGUCUUCCACAUAGGCACGUCUAUUAACGGUUUUCAUCGGGUGAGUGAUGAAGUUGGAUGGAUCAAAGUUCAGUGAUCAAUGGGACAAUUAAUAAAGUUCGGUGACCAACGAAACAUUUAACUCAAAAAGAUGUUACAGAUUUAAAAACUACGAUAACGAGUAAAGAGUCUAUAAACCAGAGUAAAACACUUUGAUCUAUCAAAUAUCCAAUUGGAUGAACAGUGAAAACUGGAACCGAGAAAAAGAUAGUAAAGCUUUAUAAUUUGAAUAAUGGAGCCGAUAAAUGGGAAGUUGCAGACUCACUUCAUUCAGUGGUUGUCCAGAACUGCAUUGAGAAGUAUACUCUUAAUUCAGUUGGUGUACCACGUUUUCUUCCGAAAUUUUCAAGAUUUUAUACUUUCUUAUUUUGUAGGUUUUUAGUUAAUUUCCUUAUUUCAAAAUCAUACUUUUAAUUAUCUGUGUUUAUUUUUAUUGUUAAAAUUAAAUUAAUUAAGGUUGUGUAAUCUAAAGAAUACAUUCCUCGAGGGAUCGACAGCUUGGACUCAAAAGAUCCACUUUAUUACUUGAACGCGAUCCGUGUACUUGCAGUGUACAAUUUUAGGGAAACAGUAACAAGUAAUCAAAAUUACAGGGAUGUUACAAGUAAAACUUGACAAUAAUACCGUAAUCAAGGAAUAGAAAGUCUUUCAAGCUAACGUUCAAGCUGAGCCACCAUAGCUUGGCAAUCCUAAAACAGACAUAAAUUUAGAUAAGAGUAGUUCUUAUUAUAUAAUUCAUCAGCAGCAAUCUUAAAACGGACAUAAAUUUAGUUAAUAGUAGGUCUUAUUAUAUUAAUUCUUCAGCUAAUAUAUAAUCAGUCCUUCCUAUAGCUUACUAGUUGAGUGUGAAAGGGGAUAGCAAAACAAAAAUAAAUUACUUUACAUUAUUAUUAUACAAAAUGGCUACAUUUUUGGCAGAAGGGAGAAAAAUACUAGGCAACCCUUUCAUUUCUGAUUAAACAGAUAUACCAUAAAAGAAUAAUUGACAUUCCUUCCCCUUUCAUCAUCCAACUGAACUUUCUUUAAGAAAAAAAAUAUCUUAAGUUAAAAAUCCAUGAGUAACAAAGAAUUUUUUCUGUUGUUUUUUCUCCUCUUUGCCCACUGUUUUUCCCGUCUUGGAUUUUCAAGUAAAUUUUGUGCUCUUGUUAUCAUUUUAUAUUGUCAAUUCUUGCUUUUUCGUAAUAUGUAAUUUGGAAAAAAAAAAUAGCCUUGUAAAAUAGGUAGUCCUGGUAAAGUUAGCAGUGAACAAAUAUAAUAUGAAUGUGAAAAACCAAGUGACAUCAAGCCAAAAAGCAGCUCGAUGAACUAUGUAAAUUUAUUAUUAUUAUGAUUAUGGUUAGUAGAUCUGUAGUAUGCUACAAAUACCUAGAUAUAUAAUUACUAAAGUCCAAGGUAAACCCAAUUUAUUUUCACUUGCAAUUCAACUUACAUAGUGAAUAAUUAUUCAUUAUCAACAACUUCUACAUCAUUAUAGAAAAAAUGAGAUAUCUAGGAACUAGGUAUUUGAUCAAUAAAAAUAGGGAACAUGGCUCAAGGGACUAACAAAAUUAUUAAUAAGAUGAGGCAAAUUAAAGAAACAAACAAAUGUAGGAAGUUGAAAUCUACUUAAGAAACAAAAUGUACUUCCCUAUCUGUCGGAAGGGACAAUAUGACAGAUACCAAAACAAGGCAAUAGCUUAAGAGAUUCAAAGAUUACAUAAUUAUAAGCCAGAAAAAAAAAAUAUUGAUGAUUUAUUGGAGUUGAUAAUGGGGGUUGACUAACAAACCUUAUGUAGAAACUAUACCAUUCGCAGUCAAACCAUGAUCCCUGAAUUUGAAACGGGCAUAUAACGAUUUGCAAAAGAGAUAAUGGUGUUGGAUUCCCAGUGGAUAAUGCACAAGUAGAAUCUGAUUCCCUGCGCACCGGGAUUGAACAUAGCUGCUUUAAAUGUCCCAUUACGAGAGAACAAAAACUCCCAGAAGCAUCUACAGAUUUGAAAUUUGAAGGAGUCAAAUUAGGGUAUGCGAAUUCUUUAAUGGAAAUACCAUAUGCGAGAACCAAUAAUAAGGCUAAAACACACAGAUCUAACCCCGAUUUUGCCCUAGUCGGCAUGGGCAACUAGCUGUGACGAUUGACAUUGCAGAUUUGACGGCGAGAGUAGAGGAAGAAGAGAUAUUACCUUUGUCUUAAGAGAUUAAGGCUUCCACUACCCCUUUCCUCUUGUUUUCAAAUUUCUACUUUUGAUUUGUACUUUUUUUUAUCUAAUUGACAAAUUAAUUAUAAGUAUGUUUAUAGAUAGCGUGUAGAAUAAUUUAAUUUAUAAUUUGUAAUUAGUUAAAAUUUGUAUGUUUUAUUCGAAAGAAUCAUUCUAUUAACUUUUAGGGUCAGUUUGAUUGUAAAGAUGAAAUUUGGAUAGAAAGAAAAUGAAUUUCAAGAAAUUGAAUUGUCUAGAAAUUAUUUUACUNNNNNNNNNNNNNNNNNNNNNNNNNNNNNNNNNNNNNNNNNNNNNNNNNNNNNNNNNNNNNNNNNNNNNNNNNNNNNNNNNNNNNNNNNNNNNNNNNNNNNNNNNNNNNNNNNNNNNNNNNNNNNNNNNNNNNNNNNNNNNNNNNNNNNNNNNNNNNNNNNNNNNNNNNNNNNNNNNNNNNNNNNNNNNNNNNNNNNNNNNNNNNNNNNNNNNNNNNNNNNNNNNNNNNNNNNNNNNNNNNNNNNNNNNNNNNNNNNNNNNNNNNNNNNNNNNNNNNNNNNNNNNNNNNNNNNNNNNNNNNNNNNNNNNNNNNNNNNNNNNNNNNNNNNNNNNNNNNNNNNNNNNNNNNNNNNNNNNNNNNNNNNNNNNNNNNNNNNNNNNNNNNNNNNNNNNNNNNNNNNNNNNNNNNNNNNNNNNNNNNNNNAAAAAAAAAACCAAGCAAAUGAAUUACAUGGAAAAUAUUUGCUAUCAAACAAAAGGUGGAAAAUAGACAAAAUUUUCCAUUUUCUAGGGAAAAGAUGCCCAAUCAAACAGGGCCUUAAUAUAUUUUUCCGACAGAAAUUGUGUAGUUUUAGGUCGAAAAAUUUUAAUAUAGUUUUAGUAUAUUAUUUUCAUAUUACCAAUAGAAUUUUAUCAUUAAAAUUUCUUAAUUUAGUUUUUAGGAUUUUGGUUUUUUUGUAUAUUAAAAAUUAAAAAUAAUCUUUAAUUAAUAGGUAGGAUUGAUUGAAAUUAAACGUAUACUGAAUUUUUAUUUUUAUUUUUGUUCUUUUUUUACAACAAGCAAUAAAUAUAGCAAAUCCUUGUUGCAAAACACACUUUCUCGCAACAUUUAAUAAUUGUUGCAAAAUGUUAUAUAGUAUGAAUUUUAACAAUAUGUACUGAGCAUUGCUAUAGAACAAAAUUUUUACAGUUCAAUAAACAUUGCAAAAAAAAAAAACGAAGAAUUAAAACUUUUGCAACAUUCAAAGAACAUUACAAAAAGCUAUAUAUCAAGAGUUUCAAAAACGUUUAUUGAACGUUGCUAUAGAACUUUAUUUUUACAACAUGCAUUAAACAUUGUGAAAAAUAAAACUUCUUACAACAUUCAAGAAACGUUGAAAAUGGUAAUAUUGACAACAUGCAAUUAAAAAAAAAAUAUUGCCAAUGCUUAAUUAAAUUAAUCAAUGGCAACAUUUUUCACUUUUUAAAAUGUUGCAAUAAACCCAUUUAGCAACAUACAAUUCACGAAUGUUGCCUUUCGAGUAUUGCAAAAGGCUAUUUUAAUUGUAGUGAAAAUUCUUGAUAUGUAUAUAAAAAUUCAUAUGUCAUUAAAUUAAUUUCGGUAUAUGUGAUAAAUGAUCAUGCUUAAAAAAAUUAUUACCUUCACUAAACUUUGAAAAAUUGAACUUUCGGACUGAUAACGUAUUAUGAAAAGAGAUAGAAAGAGCAGGGAGAAUAAAAGUCAAUAGACUUGUAUGUAUUAUAAUAAGAACUAGAGUCAUGUAUUCAUAAAGAAGGAUUAUGGAUACAAUGAUAAUAAUUUCUAGAUUUACAGGGGUACAAUUGUCAUUCACAAAUAAAACUUACUAUUUACAACAAAAUGGUCUUUUUUUAUUUUUAUUUUUCUUCAAUUUGCUCCUAAAAAGGUUUUUAUUGAUAGCAACAAGGUAAGUCGGACGUUCUCUUUUUUGAAUUUUAAGAGGCGCGUAGGACAUUUUGAUCUUCAUUUUUCGUCCCAUUUAUUUAUGUAUUUACUUAUUUAUAUAUUAUUAUGUGUUUGAAUUUAAAUUUUAUUCAAAAAAAAAUUUAAAAAAAAUAUUAUGAAUCAUGGAUGGGUUUGUGAUAGCGAUCAUGUUUCCUAACCAAAUGCCUAAUAAGGAUUAUAGAAUUCCCGACCUUCAAUCCACGUGGUGCGUUUCGUCCCACAUUGUCCUACCUUGAAUAGUAAACGAGGUGGGAUGCAGAACCUAUAGUCCCUAGUUUCGAAUUUUUAGUACUAGCUCUGAAUCAUUUUUUCAUUAUUAUAUUUUAUUUUAUUGUUAUGUUCUUCAUUUAAAUCAUAUUUAAAAAAAUUUAAUUAAAUAAAUAAAAUGAUGGAUGAUGGUUUUUUAUGUCUCAACCUACCCUACAUUCUAAAAAAUUGGAACGAAACAAGAAAGAUAUGAUGGCUACUAUCCAUUGUCAUCCUUAAUUUCAAAUUUUUGUUGGGUGAAGUAACUUGUGGCCAGAGGCGGUCUUGAGGGCGCGCGAGUUGAGUGACCGCACAGAGCCUCAAAUUUGUAGGGGCAUCAAAAAAAAUUUUGUUAUAAUUGUAUAUUUAUUUAUAAUUAAAUAUUUAAAAUAUAAAAUUUUUAUUAUUAUGCAAAAGAUAUUAAAAUUAAGAAUAAUGUGACUAACUAGUUAUAAUUUCCUUAAAUAUAAUAUUCUUAAAUAGUGUUUCUACCUUAAAUAAUGUGAGAGAAAAGAAAAAAGUCAAAAAGAGAUUAGGCCGACUAGAGAACUGAGAGAAGAGAGAAAAAUUGAGCAAUUGCCUUUUCCAAUUGUUUUUUAAAGAGAAGAAUUAAAGAAAACAACCAUCUUUUCCAAUUGCCUCAAAGAUAAUUGAGGCAGAGAAGAUAGAAACCAACCGUUUUUUUUUUUUUUUUUUUUAAAAAAUUUGAGAAGAAAAAACACCGUUUUUUUUUUUUUUUUUUUGAAGAAAUCAUCUUUUUUUCCAAUUAUCUUUAAUCUGGCUCCAAAAAAUUCUCUCUUUUCUUUAAGCAACGACUAACGAUUCAUAUUUUUCACUGAACUCUCACUAAAAAUUUGAAUUACAUGAUAUCUUUUCUUUAUUAUCUUUUCAUCAAUCUUAUUCUAUGAUUUCACUGAUUUGAAUUCUUUUUGCAAGAACUUGUUAAAAUUUGAAUUCGCUUUGCCUGAACGUGGGGACUGAGGAUUGAGAAAGCACGACAUAAUUUUCCUCCG
rnacentral:lncRNA from 1 species